UUUAAAUUAAUCACUUUUUAUGUGUUUCUUAAAUCAUAGACCAAGGAUUUUAGGUAUAAGUGAUCAAAUAAAUGCCAAUUAAACCACAAAAUAAUUAGAACAUAAGGAAUGUGUUAAAUUAUGAAUAAAUUUGGGGAUCAAAUUAGUAAUAAUUUUUAAAUCAUUGAGGAGCAUAAUAAAUGUAUUAUAAUUUAGGAGCCCCAAUUUGUAAAUUAAAAAUUACAAAAUCACUUCCUUUGGGAAAAGUCGGAUUUCAUUUUCAGCUGACAAUUUCAACAACCAUUGCAAUAUUGCAUAGUGCCUUCACCUCCGGCUUUCACAGUACUAACACUCCCUAGUCCCAAGUCCCAAGUCCCAAAUCCCAAAUCGAAGCUGCUCUCUGCCUCUCCGGCCUCCGCCAGUCCGCCGCACUCUACGUCUCCUAUCGGCUGUCUCCAUCUCAAUCCUCAUUCGACCUCAUUUCUCACUUCAUCAGUUCAUCACUGCCGUGCUGGUUUAUCGCUGCCGAGUGUCGAAGACGAAGCACCAAUCACUGCUCAUCUCUGGCUCGCUUAGGUAAGUGCUCCUCUCUGGCAGUAAAAUGGCCAAGAUCGACGAAAUCUGAGCUUCCAAUUGCAAACUCUAACUGUUGUAGUAGUUUAGAUUAGAUGGGAAGUUUUAGCAGCCAAAAAUUGGUAAUCUUACUAGUGGUUAAAGAGAGAAGAGCAUUGAUAUUUGGUCACUUAAAAGUGCAGAGUUAUUCUUAACUUGGAUGCCUUCCUUUGCAAUGGAAAUAUAUAUUCCUUGCUUGGCAUCUUCACUUUAAGUUUCUGGCUUGGGAUUUUCCCUUUAACUUUCUUGUUGGGGCCUUCAUCUUUAUUCCAUUAAGGGCUGACAAUUAUAUUUGCUGUUUACUUAACAUAUAUUUCAUUCGUUAAUCCUUGAAAGAUGAACUUAAUUUGUUAAAGAGAGAAUACUGGAUUGAUUACAGAUGAAUUCGGGAAAAGCAGCGUUGCAAACUUAAUUUGCUUCAGGGUAUUUUUUUUAUUUUAAAUAAUAGAUGAAUUCGGUCUAACCGAAUUCAUUACCGUUUUAGAAUUUGAAAUCGGUUACCGAAUGAAUUCGGUUAUCCCCAAUUCGAAAUUGAAAACGGUUUAGAUUUCUAUAGGUGCAAUAACCGAAUUCAUCGAAUUCAGUGCACCGAAUUGCCGCAUUUGCACCGAAUGCUCACCCCUGUCUCCAGGACAAUCUUUUUGGUUAGGUAUAGAUUAGAAACUCCCUUACUUUAAUUCUUUCUCCAUCGUGUUAUUCUAUUAGAAAAUAAAAAGAUAAGGAGGGAAGAGACAUAUUGGAUAGGGGUGCAAAUGAGUAUAAUCAAAUCGAGCACUCUAUUGUUUAAACUUGUUUGACUAUUUUAACGGGUUUGAAAUUUUGUUCAAACUUGACUUGUUUAUUUGCUAAAUCGAACUUGAACUAGAGUUUAAAUGUUAUCGAAUAUAAAAUGCUGUUCAAUUUUAGCUUGACUUGUUAGUGACCUAAUCUCGGACGAACUCUUACAAAGCUAAACUCGAUUUAAGUAUCAAGUAGUUUGGUUCAUCUUUUAAUCCUAAUAUUGGAUUCAAUUUCCGCUUGAUGACAUUGGUUAGUAGCAAUUCUAUUAAUAUUUCGCUGCUUAGUACAUGCAUAUGUACAUUUUGUAUAACAAAAUUCCCAUUCAACACAUCAUCUAUUAGCUUCUAAUUAGAAAAACCAUUGUUAUUUUCAUUCGAGAGAAAAACAUUAAAAAAUAUCAUUUGUUAAAUAAUCACAAACAAGAAAAAAAUUGUCAUCAUUAAAAGGUUUUUCAAUUUAGUAGCAUACAACCAACAAUCUUUAUCUAUAUUUCAUACAACACCAACACCUAUUUUCUAUGACAAUAAAAGUAACAAUUAGGAUAAAAAAAAAAGAAAAAACACUAUUUUUUUUUUUAAAACAUCCAUUUUUAUUCACUAGAAAGUGCAGGAGUACAUAGCAAUUAAACUCUGAGGUAAGGGAAAUUCAUCCUAUCCAGGCUAACAAAGCCUCUAACUCGGCCUGGCAAACUCCGAGGGCAGUAAGUGACCGAUGAGUGGGCUACGCUUGCCUGACGAACUAGGGCAUUGGCUGCAGAAUUCACCUCCCUAUAGCUGUGCUGAAGAUGAAAGUGCCCGUUCCAAACUAUACUCCAGAUCUGCCGGUGUGUUCGUUGACGGGACUUGGAGUCCAUCUCAACCACCACUCUAGUGUGGCCAAGCGCAAUGCAUGUCUUGAGGCCCUCCAGCAGAGCCUGCGCCUCUGCCUCCAGACAAGUGCUAUGGCCGUGAUACGUAGAAAAAGCAGUGAUCACCUGUCCCAAGUAGUCUCUAAGGAUUCCUCCCCCACCUGAGUGCCUCGGGUUUCCCAACGAAGAGCCAUCCACAUUAAGCUUGAGAAAUGGAAAUAUUGGUGCCUGCCAGGUUAGGACAGUAACUUUGUGGGGAAUCCUUGGUUUGAGAUAUGGAACCACCCUCGUUGAGAGGAGCCUCAAGUCAGCUGCCACCGUAUUUGUAAAGAAAAAACACUAUAAUUGAAUACCAACCAAAAAAAAACACUAUAAAAAAAAAAAAAAAAAAGAAUACCAACCAUCAAAUGGAGUAGAUCAUAUAGAACAUAAUACAAACUUCAUGAUGUCAUUUUUUUUCAAAUUUUGUUUAAUCUAAGCUAUUCUUUUUCACUUGUAGGGUCACUAUUAAGCAUGACCAUCAAGAAUUACCUUAAUAUCUGCAAUCAAAUAAUAAAAAUUUCCAAAAUUUAAGAGUAGAAAAUCUUAGAGGCUGACCUUGAGAUUUUCACAAUCACCAAAAUUUUGAGAAAAAUUUGAAAGUAAAUUUCCUUUUCAAGUCUCCUAAAUCCUUAUAUAUGCCUAAAGUAUUUCUCUUAUUCCACAAAACUACUAAAGUCUGAAUCAUUGCUUCUACUCACACACAUCAAUUAUCAAUCAUAGAAAGGCACCUAUAUUUGGCUCCGCUUUUGUAAUGGCAUAUUAAAUUUUUUUAAAAAAAACUUAUAAAUUGUCAUUAUUUUUGUUAAACCAGUUAAUAACAAUUUUAACUAAUCAUGUGAAAUAAUUGCGAAAUAUCUCUUAAGUUGUGUGGGUAAUUAAGUCAUUUCACCAUGAUUGAUGUAACAAUUGAAUCCCAAUAAUCUGAUAGGGGAGGAUAGUGAGACUAUCAGACUAUCAGAAACCUCAUGGGAGGUUUCUAAAAUUGUCCUUUAUAUAUUAAAAGUUUCAUCUUUCUCCUUAAAGCACUUUUUCACUGGUAUUUUGUCUGACUUGGACUAAUUUUGUUACUAAAAGCUUAACCUCGGAGGAGAUUUGUGUAAUUUUACAAAUCUCAGGGAAGGCUAGUGAAAUUGUUAGAAACCUCAAAGGAGGUUUCUGAAAUUAUCCCUUUUGCUUAAUCAAGUUUUGCAACCGUUGUACCAAACAUCCCAAAAUAUCUAGAAGAUGGAUUAAAUUGUAAAUCGUGUAAAUCAAGUAGAUCAUGUUGUUAGAAACAAACAAUAAGAAAAAUAUAUCCCCUAUUAUCAUCAAGCAAGAUGUAGGCGUUUGGGGCUUUUCAAGUGCGAGUUCGCCACAAUGUGCAAUUUACAAUUGUAGGUUCCAUCAUUGACAGCCUCCCUUCAUCCCGGUGGAGACUUAACCCAAUUUCCAAUACUUGGCGCCAUGAAUGGCUCCAUUUCUGUUAAUCCCUUGACACACAAAAAGCUAGAUAAACCUUUGCAUGUCCUCUAUAUUGAUAACAGCUUCUAAGAGGCACUGAGAUUUACCAACAGCUCUUGCCAACUGGAGGAAACAGUCCAAGAUAUUCCAUAACUAGCCAAAGUUGAAACACAAAACUGAAAAACUAAACUGAAAUAAGGUCACCUUCAAAAAAUAGAGAAGUUAGUCGUCCAUUAUACAGUAACAAAUACAUCUAUUGACAUGAAUGCAUCACCUUCACCAUGGACAUGGCAAUGUUCAUGCAUGAGUUUCCGAUGGGAUUGCAUAUUAGUUCCACAAGCUAUACAAGGCGGAAAGUCACUCAUUGCAGCCUCAAAACCAGUAAAAAAUUUGAGAGGGGCUGAAAAGCAUCUAACAAUAUGAACACAAGCUAUACUAUGGUCAAGAGAAGAUGACAUUCCAGGAACUCUAGUGGCUUAGAAGUUCUUACAAUGUGAUGUCCUGGUCAGUCAAGAAACAUUGCUACCUUGUCCUUGAGACUGGUCUUCUUCUUCAUAACAACGGGUGGUUCUUCUUCACCAAGCACAACACUAUAUGCCUGUUUUUUAACUUCACGGGUGAAGUUUAUCUCCUCUGCAAGUGGUACACCAUCCUUCUCUUGUUCUUGGGUUUUCUUGAGCAAAGGACCCAAAAACAGAUCCAACAUGUCUUGUGUAGGAUUUCCUGACAUAGUCGGCUUACAGGUCGGACCUUCACCUGUCAGAUUCUCCACUGCAAUACUAGAAGAACUAGUUCCUCGAUCUUGAAAUGAUCUGGUGUUUCCUUGAGGGACUCUAAUGGAGCUUCCACACUGGAUGUGUUGAGAAUGAGCAUCCUCGUCCCUAUGUUCAUGUUUUAAUGACACAACUGGUUGAGCAACCUCAUCAUCUUGCACAAACUGCAAAGAUUAAAAAAAAAAAAAACAACAACAUAAGUCCCCAUCUUUCAGUUUGCUUUAAGGCAGCCUACUAACUGAAAGAACAAAAAAAUCAUUCUACUUUUUCCAAUAUUAAGCACCUCAUAUUACAAAAGAAUCGUAAGCAUUCAUAGCACAUUCUUAAGUAAAGCAAGAAGGCAGAUUUCUGACGUUGGACCAAGGUUGUCUGCCAUAUACAUUAGAAGCCAGCAUCUUAACCAAGGUUAGAAGAACUGAAUGCAUGAUCUUUCUAAAAACCAGACCUGUCUCAAAAUUAUCAACUAAUAGUGAGGAAAAAUGAGACUGAAUAACCUCUUUUGCAAUGCUCAUUAGGUCUUCCAUUGUCAGAUCUUCAUCUUCUCUGUUCUCCACACAACCUUCCAAAUCAUCAGUAUUACUGUCAACCUCAAGACUUUUCUUAGCUCUCCCUUUACGCUUUUUCUGGUUGAUUGCAACUUCACUGUCCAUGUCAACAUCGUGACUGAUCGUCUCUCUUCUAGUCUGCUUUCUUACUCGACAUCUUCUAAGCACACCUGUGGACUUUUCUUCCAACUCUAAACCAUCAUUAUCAUUCCCUAUCUCACAUGACUUCCACUUCGGCCUUCUACGACACUUCGUCACUCUUUCCUCGUCUGCCCUGCUUCCUUUGUCAUCAUCAUCAUCCCUACUGUUCGAACUUGCAGUUUCAGAUUUAUUUAAUGCGUGAUCACCCAGCAUCCAUAGCGGCAGACGCCUUUUCAUACCAUCACCAGAAACAACUUUAUCAUCCAUUUUUGUUCAGACCCUCUUCGCUAAAAACUACUGGCAUCCAUACCCAACUGUCAUCAUGAACUCUAUUCAAACACUCUUUGCCAAAACCUACUUGCAGCCAUACUCACUCAUCAUCACAAACUCACAUGCACUUGACUAUCUACACAAAACAAGACGACUAAUUGUGAUAUUUGAUAAACCAAUUUUAGACUGAAUAAAAAAAGUCAAAAGCUAAGGCAUACUUUGAUAAAACUGAAUUGCAGUUGGAUGGAAGCUGAAGUACAAAAUCAGAGGCCUCAUCAACGAAAAUGGUAUCACAUUUUUUUCACCUUUUGCAUUGCUUCCUUACUCUUACAGCUUUUAUGCACAUACAUACAUACAUAUAUAUAUAUAUAUAUAUAUAUAUAUGUUCACACUAAAAAGGUAGCACAAAUUCUUGAAAAGUUUUAUUUGCACAUAUAUAUAUAUAUAUAUACCAUGGCGGACACCCGCGGCCACUUCUCCUGUCAAAAAAUUCACCAAAAUACACCUCCCCACUCGAUUUUUUGCAUGGAAUCAGUUUUCAGCCUUAGUUUUUACAAAAAACGAAUGAAAAGAGGUCAAAAGAGCAAAUUACAGCCGAGUUUUAUGCUUUUUAAAAUCGCUCAAAUCUUCACCAAAAAUCAUAAAAUUUAUACCAAAACACUACCUGUGAUUUCUACAAUACAACUAUGACCUUUAAUCAACAAAAAAACAACAACAAUAUGAUAAAUUAAAGCAAAACAGCCCUAAAUGAAAAAAAAAAUAUUUCAUUGCUUUUUAGGCUCAAAAAUUUCAAAAUUUUGAAUAACCAAACAUUUUCCAGACCUUGUACUAGCUAUAACCAUCUAUUUUAGCAAAAUAUAUACACCAAAUUUACUCUUUUAAUUCGGUUUUCACUUAGACAUUUUUCCAAACACUUAACAUGCAUGAUUUUGGCCUACACCAUCCAUGGAACUUAGGCAGACUUAGACCCCACAUUUUCACCAACACAUCACUAUAACAAUGAGAAGAAACUCAUGUGAAACCUUCCAUUUACAACCACAAGCAAAAAAGAAGGAAAAAAGAAAGAAAAGAAAGAAAGAAAGAAAAAAAAUGAAGAGCAUAGAUUAAAAAAUUUUUAAAAAAAUGUUCCGCCAUGACAAUGAGACAAAGACAUCACCUUGUUUUUGUAGUAGAAAAAGGCAAACCAAUAGAUGGUAGUGAUGAUGGUUCGGACUGCCGGUGAUAUUCUCCACUUCCUUCACCUUCUCUUUACUUUUCUCUUUGUGUGAAUUGUGAGAUUGAGAGAGAGCCGAGAGUAUGAGGGAGUUUUUGAGUGAUGUAUGAAUUUUGAGGGGAAAAGAAGAGAGGGACCGAGUGAGAAGAGUUGUGUUGGUGACUUUUGUUGGAGUGGCAGCAACUAGCAAGUGUAGCGUGUCUUGAGAGAAAAAGAGAGAGACCGAGAGGGAGAAAAAAAUAAUUGGUGGAGUGGUUACGUGAUCCGAUUUGUAAUGAUGGAUUUUGUAUCAAAACAGAAAAAGAAAGAGGAAUGGAAGAUUGCAGGGUUUCUGGAGUUGGUGGGAGGUCUUUAUCUCUUAGUAAAAGCCGUCCUACAGGUUUUCCUGUGGGAUUUCUAUCCCACAUUGUUUCUUGGGGGUUGGGGGGUUGGGUAGAUAAGUCCCCAGGGACCUCAAAAAUUGCCGGCUUUUGAGGUCAACCCUUGGGAUUAGGUUUAUUUGUGAAAUUCUUUACAUUCAUAAGAAACGAAAAAAGGAAGAUUGAGUGGUAAAUUGGGCUAAUAGUGUAUUUAAUGAAAGAGAAAUGAUUAGGGUGUAUGAGUAUAACAAAAGUUUGUUAAAAAUUUUCUUCUUUUUCUUUUUUUUUAGACAAAAAAAAUCUUCCAAAACAAGAAAAAUAGACAUUCAAAUCCAUACAAAUAAAUGACCCCAUAAAUAGACAAAAAUUCAAGAAAAUAUCAAAAAUUGACAAAAAUUUGGUAUCUACAAGAAAUCUAAAGAAAAAAAUCAAGAAAAUAGACAACAAUAAAUGACCCCCUUAAUUGACAAAAAUUUAAGAAAAUAUCAAAAAUUGACAAAAAUUUGGUGUCUACAUGAAUUUUGCCUUUCUUUUCCCUCCUUUAUCCUUUACAUCCACGAAAUUACUUUAAAACUAUGACAAUUUUAAAAGUUUUAAAGAAAAUUUCCUCAUGAACAACUUUCUUUUACCCUGUGUUUUUUCUUCUACUAAAGCUCUUCUUCUCACGUUAUGUACAACUAAUUUACAGUCAUUGUCAGGUUUUAUCAAUCAUAAAAUAGUGUCAUUUGAUACAUCAAUUGACAUUAUUUUGUAAUUGCAAGUCAUCGUUCAUCAUUAAAGAAAUUUUCAACAGUUAUUUCCGUUAAUUAGUGCUCUAAUUACUCAAUCAUUAGAUAUUAGUUUCGAAUAUGACAUAAUGUCUUAGGAUAUAUGAGUUAUUUCCCUCAUGUGAUGUAAAUAACUAGGCCCAUAAUUUUGUCAGGGGAGGCAAGUGUAAUUUUAUAAAUCUCAGAGAAGGCUAGUAAAAUUGUUAGAAACCUCAUGGGAGGUUUCUAAAAUUACCCCUAUUAUUGUGUUUUUAAAAUGGCGUUACGAGCCAAACAUGUUUUAUGUUUAUUUUAAAAAAAAAGAAUACAAAUAUUUUGUUUCAUUCAUAUAAACAAAAAUACAUUUUCGCAUUUUCUAUUAUGGCCUCUUUUUCUUUUCUUCUUGGUAUUUGGCAUUAUCCAUUUUGAUUCUCUGAAUCCGUCAAGUUUAUUUUGCUCUAGAAGAAAAUAGAAAAAAGAGUAAACUUACUUUUCAAUUAAGACGUUAAACUUGUCUUAAUUACAGGGUUAAGGUAUUGACAUUCCCAAAAAUUUGUGUAAAUUAGACGAAUUUCUUACUAGUUUUUCAAAUGGGUUAGUUGACAAUUCAGUUUCUUUAACUGGUGACACUCAAUUUACUUCUUGUUCUUUUGAAAAAACAAUUAAAGGAUAGAGCGUUGUUAGCAAUUAUUGAAAUGUGAAUAUCAUCAUGCUAAUUUAAUAGUGGUGGAUAAUAUGAUUCACUACUAUGUUGACUUUAUUGUACAGGAGAUUUUCUAAAUUUAGAUGUAAGGAAAAUAACUUGGCAAAAGUUCGUUGGUGGAGUGAAAAUUUCACUGUGAAAUGCAGCUUUAGCUGCUCUAGGAGAGUACCUAAAUGAUGGUAACCCUCUUAAAAGUCGGCAUUAUAAGAAGCGUCUUUGGGACGGAUGUCUAUUGAAUACUUGUUAAAAUAUACUUCAAAUGUCAUAUUUCUGGAGAUGAACAAUUAAUUAGGAAAAGUAAAUAAAUAUAAGAAAGGAUAGGUGAGAUUAAAUAGAUAAGUAUAUAAAUAUAAGGGUGAUAAUAAUUAUUUGUGUGUGUAUGUACAUUACAGGUUAUGUAAAUUUUGGAUACGUUAACUAGUGUCCAAUCGACAUCUGUUAGAAAAAUCCUUGUAAAAUUUGUCCCUAUCAUCAUACCACAAUAAGCAAUUUUUUUUUUUACUAAUUUUCUAAAGGAUUAAUCUUCUAUAUACUGACAGUGUAUACACUUUCACCAUUGGAUGCAUGACACAUAAUCCAAAAUUGAAUUUGAAACCUAAAUUUUGCAUAUGUGUCUUAAUGUAUAUACUGUCAGUUUAUAUAAGAUUUACUCUUUUCUAAAACUCUCCCGUGCCUUUGCAUAUCCUUUCCAUCUCCAACUGUCGGCAACAACAGAAUAAGAUCAUUGAAUCUGACACUCAAGAGAAGAACUUGUAAGGCACAAUAAGUAACGAUACUAAAAAUAUACAAUUGCCAUGAAGGACAUAUCUUUUCAUGGGAAAAAAAAAAAAGAAUUUAGUGUUUUCACCUCUUGAUGAUAGCAUUAUGCAACAAUAACGAGGAUGAGCUAACUAAAAUUCGUUACUGCUAAAUGAAUUAAGAAGAAUUUAUACUCAAAAACUCCUUUGGACAUUUUAUUAAUGCAUACAUGAGUAAGGCAUAAUUAUUAAAGGUUGAGACUUCAAGAAUUACACGUUUUGAAUUCAAAUUUUUAAUCUCAUUGCUCACUUCUUAAAUCUCAUCUCUUUCGUACUUUAAUUAAAUAAAGACAUGAUUAUUAAGCUAAAAUUUCUAGAUUUCCACAAACACAUGAUUCAAGUUCCAAUUUGUUGAGUUUUCAUUACAAGAAUUCAAGAAUAUUACAGACGUUUGUGUUUCUAAAGGUUAUAAAUAUAGAUGCAAUCGCAUUGUGAUUAUAAGGGUUAUAAACAAAGGAUGAAAUCACAUUCAAAUUCUCACUACCUACUGGAUGAGAUUUUAGACAAAAUAUGCUGAAUUCUAAUCCCAUCUUUCCCAUUUACAUUCUUUCUCAUUCAUAUCUCUUUCUAACAUUCACAAGAAGAUAGUUUGUAACAUAGAAUGUAAAAUUCUUUAAUGCCAGAAUCCAUGUGAUUUUCUGGCUCUUAAGCAGCUGCCUUGAAUUUAUAUGGUCCACAUGAGGACUAAGGAAGAAUUGAUGUUGGCUUCUGAGGUUCAUUUCAUCAUACCUACAAAGAAAAUGGCAGGAAGAGUCCAUAUUGAAAAAUCUCCUCCAUUAUGGUGGAUGAAAGCUUCUUUGAGAAUUACCCUUUAUAUUCCUUAUGCCUUGUGAAAUUUCCUCUUUUUGUCCAAGUGUGUGGUUCACCAUAAUGGUUUCAUAUGGUAAAGAUCAAAGCUGAUGUAAAACUAGAUGAAUGUAGAAGUCAAGAAAAGUGAAACUGCAUAUCAUCAUAUUAAUUGAGCACUUCAUUUCCAAAUGGAAAUCACACACAAGAAUAAAAGAAUGAAAAGAGCCUUGGAGACUCGAUAUUUAACUAGAAUAAGCUUGAAAACUAAACUUUCCCGCUCUAUUUUAGACUCUCUUCUGGAAAUGCAGAUACAGAACAAGGAUUACCGAUGCCGAAAGAAAUUAAAAGAAUUGAGGCCUAUAAGAGCGUAAAGUAAGUACUACAUGACAGUCAUGCCUUUUUAGAUCAUCACCUCCCUUGCAGACUUGAAAUCUGCGGAAACUCUUCAGAUCCUCCAACAACUAACUGAUCAGGUUGAUCAGCUGUCACUGCUGCAGAUUCACCGUUUUUACAUGGUUUAUCCAAACCACCUUCCUUAUCCAGUUCUGUAGUAUCAUUAUCAUCAGGAAGCUCCAGAGGUUGACUACCAGUGAAGGACAUUUCUGCUGCAAUUGUACUCAGCCAAGCUUCCUGAAUUUGUAAGACAUACUCCAGGUGCCAUAAAACUUCCCCCAUGGUUGGCCUGCUUUUCCCUUCUUCUGCAAGACACUUUUCAGCGAUCUCUCCAAAUCGAGUUAAAGAUUCUGGAGAAUAUUUCUCAUUGAGUCGUGGGUCAAUAAUGGUUUCAAGUGAUUUCUGGCGUUGCCAUUUCAUUGCCCAUUCUGCAAGAUUGAUCUGAUCUUUUGGCAACGUUGGGUUGAUAACAGCUCGUGCACAUAUGACUUCAAACAAUACCACCCCAAAUGAGUAGACAUCAGAUUUCUCAGUCAACUGCUGCCUUCUGAAGUAUUCAGGGUCUAGAUAUCCAAAGCUCCCUUUGACUGCAGUGCUCACAUGUGUGUGCUCCAAUGAUGGACCAGUUUUGGACAGCCCAAAAUCAGCCAUCUUUGCUACAAAGUUCUCAUCCAACAAUAUAUUUGUAGUCUUGACAUCCCUGUGGAUAAUUCCCCGUUCUGAUCCUGUAUGAAGGUAAUGCAGGCCCCUGGCAGCACCAAUGCACACUUCUAUUCGUUGCUUCCAUGUCAAUGAUGGAAGGUCAGUCCCAAAGACAUGGCUCCUAAGUGUACCAUUAGCCAUAAACUCAUAUACCAAGAUCAUUUCAUUUUGUUCUUCACAGAAUCCUAUCAUUGCAACCAGAUGCCUGUGCCUCAGUUUGGAUAGCAUCUCAAUCUCUGUUUCAAAUUCUGUGAGACCUUGUUGAGACUGUGGAUUAGCUCGCUUAAUCGCAGCCAGUGUGCAAUCUUCAAGUUCUCCUUUGAACACCUUGCCAAAUCCUCCAACACCAAUCACUAAACUUUCGUCAAAAUUGUUUGUGGCUGCUCUAAUCUCUGCAAGGGUGAAACGCCUUCCGGAUCUACUGGCUGCAAAUCCACUGGGAUUUUGACCUCGUAGUGAUCCCUUUGCAUUAGUAGUGCUGUCAAGAAGGAAUAUAGGUCGCCAUCCGGGAGAGGUCUUUUUCGUAUCACCCUGUUGAGUGCUUGGCUUUCUACAUAACCAGAAAAUAAGCACUACGAUAGCUGCAAGAAUGACAAUAGAAGCAAUGCCAGCACCAAUUGCCACCCACAGUAUCAAAGAUCUUGAAGACUUCUUCUCUUCUGACUUCUGAUAGCUCUGUACAAAAGCUAGAUUACCAUCCCGACUCAACUUGAAAACUUCUAAACCAUUCAAGAGAGCAUCAGUUCCAGCAGCAGCAGCGCUUGCAUCAGGACCAAGCUGUAUCCACAGGUUGUUCGAUUGGGAAGGCAUCACAUCAAAGUAAUCCUCAUGGUAUGCCUUGUUCAUUCCACCAGCUCGGGUGAAGAUGUCAAAAUUGUCGGCUGCAGUUUUAUUGUUUAUAUAGAUUCUGAAAUUUCUUUGAUUUGAUAUAUUAUAUACCAGCUCACAGAAAUGUAAUCGGACAAGGUAAUCAAAAUCAGGAUCCACUUCCAAUUUCCAUGACAUAUUAAACCUUUUCUCCAAGACAUCAUUAUUGGACAUAGUUCUAGCCGAUUCAUAUACGGGAAUGGGAGCAAAAUAGGUGUCAUUAGGUAAAGCAUAGACUAUGUAGGAUUUGUUUCUGAUUUCUGACCCUGCAUCUACAUUGAUCAUGUAGCCAGAAUCCAGCUCCCAUAAUCUCCAGAGCUCCGAAUCCUGAUCAGGAUUGAUUGUUGAUCCCCCUACAUUCAACCUAUACAUAGUUUCAAUCCCCCUUUUGCUCAAAUUAAGAGAACUAUUAGCACCAUUUCCACCCACUUUCUUUACAGAGUCAAGAAAGAGCUUAUCUGCAACUGGAAUAACUUCUAUUGCAUUCACAAAACCAAAAGAACCUUUGCUUGGAAUAAAGUCAAUUGCAAUACCAUUGCUUUCCACAUUGAAGAAAUACUCCUUCACCAAGGAAGUAAAACUAGAAUUGCCUUUAGAAGCCUGCAAAUUGCUAUUCUUGUCUCCAAUCUCACCAGGGACAUUGAACUCAGAAACCAACUUUAAACCAUUGGCCUCCACAGAAAAGUAAGAUUGAUUUGCAUUGAAAUUUUCAAAUGCAAAUGGAUAGAAAUGGAGCCGAAGAAAAUAGCUGCCCUGUGCUCCUUGCAACGUGUAAUUUAAUCUGUCGGUAAAAAUUCUAGCAGUUUUGUAUAGUGAUGCAUAAACUGUAUCUCCACUGACCAUGGCAGUGGAUGCUUCAAUACCAGGUGCACUCAUGGUGAUAUUGUUCCCUGGAGAUGAGUCACCAAUCCAUUUUCUGCCAUUCACAUUAAUACUGGAAUUCGAUCCACAAUUAACUAAAAAUGCAUUCAUCUGAGCAUCUCCUAUUCUAACAAGUACACAUAUCAUCCCUAUAACAAAUAGGCCAAAGAAUCCCAUGCCUUGGACCCUGAUGCUUCACCAAUAUUUCUUCCUUCGCCUUCCUAAUUUACCUGUUCUUCUCUUUCUGUGUUCACCCUUUAUCCCUUCAAAAAGGAUGCAGAAAAAACCACUAACAGCUAGUCAAGAAAAGGAGCAAGAACAGAUAAAAAGCUCAAAUCUUGAAUCACAGUAAUGACUUGACAUCCAAAUACAUCUCAGUAAAGAUAACAAGUUUCUAUCUUUCUCAACAUCUUCAAGAACAGAAACAAAAAUUAAGCAAAAGCAUCUAAGUUACCUUCACUGAACCCUUCUGGGCAUUUGCCAAAUCUUGAGAAAUGGGAUGAAGAAACACAAUCCCACAGGCAAGAUGCUUCAAAAGAUAAAUAUCUUCAACUGACAAUAGCCAAUCAAUAUGCAGAUCUGGAAACAAAAUUUUGUGCAGAAAUUGCAAAAGGAAAAGAAAGUUCAAGAGAAAACAAGUAUGGCACGAGUUUUCUUCAAUAAUUAUGCUGAAACUGCAAUGGAGAUUAACUAUAAGUAGCUACAGUGAUUUCUGGCAUAAUGCAUCCAAGUUUCUACUCCCCUUUGUAGAAAAAGAGAAACACGGCAUUGGCUGGAGUGGUUUGAAACAGACUGGAAACAUUCAUGUCAAUUGCAAUGGUCUGUUUUGUGUGGAAAAAAGAGUCAAGAAUCUUACAUAAGCAUAUCUUUUAAUCAAGUGGGUUAUUACACUACUUAACUUUAAUACUCAUAUAUUUCUUGUAACUGCUGUAACAUCAAUUUUCUUUCCCAACAACCCAAAGUGCAAGAAUUCUUUUUCUUUUCUUUCUUUUUCCAAAAAGCAAAAAAUCUGCCAUAUAGUGGUAUUUUUUAUUUUUUGAAAACAAAUUUGAGUGGACAAGUGGAUUUCGACUUUGAUUAUUAUCAUAGUUAGGACAAGUGGAUAUUUAUAAGUUACUCACCAACUAAGUGCUUAUGGUGAUAUUAAAACUAAUAGACGCAACCUAUUUAAAAAAAAAAUGUUCCUUUAUACCAAUUGAAUUAACAUGAAUAAAAUAAGUUUGGAUUGACCAUUUUUUUAAAAAUAAAAUUUUUAAAUACAAUACUACAGUAAUACAUAAAUAAAAAUAAUUCAAAAAAAUCUUAUUCAUACAAUAUAUCAAAUAUCUCAAAAAUUUUAUAGUAAAAAUUUUUUAUAUACACUGUUACAGUAAAAUUUUUUAAAAAUACUAAAAAAAAAAGCAAUUUUUUUUCCAAUUUUAUGGGCAUGAAGCUGACAAGUGACAGGUGUUACAAGAAAUUAUGGGCAUCUAUUAUUGAAGGGCAGGAGAAAUGUUAGGGGGGAAUCACAUGGAUGUGUCUGGAAGAUAAUCAACAGUUGAAAUAAUUUUGAUGCAAUUUGCCGAAUAAAUUUCAAGGAGGACCUUGUGGGCUGUCUUGUUUUGUUGUCUGAGUCUUUUGACAUUAACAAAGGCAAAAUCUUGUCUUUUUACUUUCCGUACAAGAGUACUCCAUCCAUCGGUUGUCAACAUUUAUAGUAAUUAAUUACUAGUAGUGUUUAAUAAAUAAUUGUACAGCUCCAAUUACUAGCACUGAUUAAUGUUUCUCCUAAAUUGUAGGCAUCCGGGAUUAAUUGAGUAUUAUUUAUUCAUUUCCUAUUGAGAUUAUGGUUUCAAGUUUUAUUUCAAUUUUUUUUUUCUAUUGGAUUGUGGUAGAUUUGAAGCAAUUUUGUUUACUUGAUUAUGUAGUACAUAGCAUUUUGUCGUGACUUGGGAGAAAUUUUUCUUAAUUUUUUUUUUACAAAAGGAGAAUUAUAUAAUAAAAUUUGAAGGGCACUAAUUAAUAAUUCAAUUAAAUUAGAUUUAAUUUAUUAUCUAAUUAAAUGCAUGUAAUAAUUAAUACCCACCUCUAAUUCCUCUUGUCUAAUGUGGCAAUUUUCAUUGAGUACCAAACUUACAACAACUUGGGAGAAGUUGUUGUACUGGGGUCUAGUUCUCAUGAUUAUGCAAAUUAAUUCUCUUUUUGAACAACUAUAGGAAACAAUUUACUUAUUCAAGUGAUUUUUUUUUUUUUUCAAAGAAGUUGUCAAACUUAAGCUUGGUCAAAUUUUUUGAAUUUAAGAGCAUCAUAUUGUACAUUUUCUUCAAAAUUUCAAAAAUCUCCAAAUUGUGAUCAUUUUCUCAUCAUUCGAAAUUUGCAUGUCUAUAUAUUUUUAACAAAAAAAAGGUACAUGUAAGCUGGCUUUUCUGGCAUAGUGGAUUGUGAGUUGGUCCUUCUACACAGAGCAUUAACUGAUUGGAUAUUGUCUUCUUUUUUUUUUUUUUUUUUUUUUGGGUAGAGGAUUGGAUUUUGUUUUUUAAAGGGAAGAUUACUUUUUUUUUGGGGUAUGUUUUACAGAAAUGUAUUUCUGAAAAUUUUCAAAUAUGUUUUUGGUUCAUUUUUUUCUCUUAAAUAUAUUUAUAAAUAAACAUGCUUUAGUAAAAUUUUUUAAUAGAGCCCUUUAAAUUUAGCCAUCCAAACGAAGCAAAGUUUCAUUAUGGGUCUUAAAAAAAAUUUGCUCUCAUCAACUAUUUAAGCAAAGAAAUAACACAGUUAAGCAAAGUUCCCAUAACCAGCAAAAUAUUAUUUUGCUUGCAUCGCAAUUGCAAUUCCCAAUCGGUUUUUUUUAUCUUCCGAACAACCUUUUUAUCUCACACAAAUUACAUCAUAAAAAGUGUUAAAGUAAUUAUUUCAAAUAUUAUGUCACAUAAUCUACUAUUCAAAUACUCUAUGAUUAACAAUUUCUACAUGGCCAAUUUUCUUUUACGUCAACAUUCGAUGUGUAUACGAGUUAAUUGACUAGAAUGUAUAGUGCUUCCUCAAUUUUGUCAUAUUAGCUAACUAGGAGUUUUAUGUCUCUCUACCAUAAUAUUUUUUUUGCAUUGCUUUAAAUGGCUCUUUUGUCAAAGUUUUAGUUGCAUGCUUCUAGAUUUAAUAUUAUUAAUCAAUUCGUCCAAGCAUAAUAUUAAGAGUAAAGGGCACAAAUAUACCUGGCAAUUGGGCGGGUUGGGUGGGUUUUGGGGGGGUUGAUGUUGGGUUUUCAUUUAAAUGGGUUACACCUAAUCCGCCCAACUUUAGAUUGGGUUAAUUUUGGGUUGGGUCAUAUUGGGUUAUCUUAAACCCAUGACCCAAAUAUGACCCAAUAUAUUAAAUAAUAGAUUUUGAUACAUAAACUCUUUUAAAUAUAUUUUCAUAUACAAAAAAAAAUUCACACACAUAAAUACAUUUUCACAUAGAUAGAUAUAUUUUCACACAUUAAAACACUCACAGAUACAAACACACACUCACUUUUUAAGUUCUUUUGAAAUAUUUGAUUUUAUUAUCCUUUUAGAGUAAUUAUUUGACAUGUUGCUCCCGAACCAAUGAAAGAGUUUGACAUAGAUAUACAAAGAUCUCACUCGAUCUCAUUUAAUGUGUCAAGUGGAUCCCACCUAACAUGUAAAUUUCCAAUGUAAAUUUGUUGGAUAGGAGUGUUUUUCAAAAAUUAAUUUUUCAAAUACAAUAAAAACUUUUGAAAAGUAUUCUAAACGGUAAUCUAAAAAUUAGUUUAAUUUUUUUAAAAAUUUUAAAAACUAUGUCAAAAUAUAUUUUAGAAACUCUUCUACUCUUAAAUAUUCUAAAAUAUUUUCUGAAAAUAUUCCAAAAUAUAAUCUAAAAACUCUAUUACAGCAAAGUUUUUUAAAAACACUCUAAAAAACAACUAAUCCAAACAGUGCCAAAGCUAUUGAAAAUCUAGAUAUUACUAACAUAUGUAGAUGUGGACGUCCAAGUCGAAAUUUCAUCUGCGUCCACAUGCAUGUUCUAUUGCGUUCUCAUUGCCUCUAGUCAACUUCUAUUUCCUACUUUCUAUGCAACUAGACAUCUGCUUAGUAUAAGCCAUGCAUUCUCAUCAAGUUUGGUUGUACCUUCAUCAAUUAUAAUCACUUUCUAUUAUCACAUUUAAGUAGAAACAUUUGUACCUUUUGUCCAUGAAUGCUAGAUAACCUAUUUCGUCCGUGAAUGCCGGAUGGCCUAUUCCGUCGGUUAAUUAGAUUAGAUUUUAAUUACAAAAAAAAGAUUAAAAAUUAUGACAUGUCUAUUUGAUAGAUACAAAUAUGAAAGUUAAAUGUCAUUCCAACUUAAUCAAAAAGCACUUAAGAAAAAUAUAUUAUCUUCAUUGAGAAUUUUUGAGGUAGUUUUGACAUUUUUCACAUUUUUUUGCUGAUGAUUCCCUUAUUUUCUAUAAAGCAAGUGCGUUUGAUGCCACAAAAUUGAUGAGAAUUUUAAAAUCUUGAAGUGGCCGCAAAAUUGGUGCAUUUUGCGUUUAAUUUGUUUUUUAAUUUAAGUUGGGUAAUGGGUACCCAACACAAAUACCCAAACCGCCCAAAAUAUGUAUGGGUUUUUAUUACCCAACCCAAAAUUGACCCAAUACCCAACUUACCGAACCCAAUCUCUCAAAUAACUUAUUGGUAUAAUUGCUAGGUCUAGGCACAAAUAACUUAUUAUUAUCCAAAAUGUUUACUUAACUAACAAAAAAAGCACAUAUUUAGUCACUUAACUUAAAAAAAGCAUAAUUUUUAUCACUUAUUUUAUGAAAACAUAUACCUAUUGAUCUCAAAAUGUAUGUUCUAAUUCUAAUUAGUUGAAUGACCUUUUUGACUAAAAUUUUUUUUGAUAACUAAAAAAGGGAUGUUAAAUAAUUUUUUAUAGCCAUAUUUGCCCCAUUUGCUCUAAAAUAAGGAAGUGAGAUAAAAGGUUUGAGAAAUGGAAUCAAACAAAACUUUUUAGUUUGUGUGUUAUUGUUACGACAAUGAAUAGCAAGGAUGAGUUCAAAUAUUAAUAGAGUUCUUCUUAUCCCUAAGAAGAUAUUAGUCACAAGUAUCAUUACUUUCGCUAUAAUAUCUGAUUCCCUACUUGUGACUAAAGAAAUAUAUUGACACUAUGUAAUUUGUAAUUUCUAAUUGGUAAUAUAAUUUAGUAGACGAACUAUUAUUGUUUCCUUGGGCUUCAUUUGGAUUAAGGGAAGGAAAGAAUGUCAUUAAGUAGAUAUUAACAAAUAAAGUAGAUGUUCUGAUAGAUGGAAGAAAAAUAAUGCAAAGACUAAAUGCAUACUUUGGAAACAGAAAGGUAGUCUGAAAUAUAUCCAUACCUCCUCAUUUCCUUACUUUCCAUUUUUUUUGGUAGUCCAUUUGAAAUAUAGAACUAGUAUCUGUUGAAAAAAGGAGAAGAGUGGGAAGAGGGAGAGGGAAGGGAGAAGAGUGGGAAGAGGGAGAGGGAGGGGCGGCGGCAGAAGGUGGUGUGUGAUGGUAGAAAGGAUGGGAGUGAUGGUGAAGGGUGGUUGCUAGGGGACGACCAAAAAUUUUUUAAAUUAUCUCAAUAUAAAUUUAAAAUUUAAAAAUACCUCCAAAUAUAUUUACAUUGAAAAUUUUUUAUGUAUAAAAUUAGAGUUAAGUUUUUAAAAAACACGCCUAAAAAUACUUAAUUCACAUGGAUCAAUGUUUCCCCUAAAUUGUAGGCAAAGGCACAUGGCAGUAGUUUGUCUGUUCCAUUUGGUCACAUUUAUGUGGCCUAAAUUGAGGCUGCACUUCUAAAAUUUAUGAAUAAAAAAAAUAAAAAUUUGAAAUUGACUAUUUACAUGAUCGCACUAUUAUCUUAUCGAUCAACGACCUAAUUUAUAAGAUACAAAAUUUUGAAUUUGGCGAUAUCAAAGAAGGUAAGAGGUGAGGCUAUUAAAGUUCCCUCCUAAAAGUGAGAGUUUCUCUCUCUGGGUAAGAGCGCGAGUCUCUCUUUUUUGAGAGUUCAAAACUUUUCAAAAUUUUCCGCAAACUUUUACACUCAAUCCCAAGAAUCAGACAAAGAUCAACAACAUUAUUGCUGAUGAAAUUAAGAAGUUCGGUCUGUAAGUGAUGAUUUAGCUAAAGCCGAACAUCUUGGAAAGAUUAUUGCUCCCCAUUAGGGGGACAGUUUUUCUCUAUUAAGAUUCCAGCUCAACGUCGGCAAGUGUCUGCAAGCAGAAGAUAGCUCGGUAAUUCUGGUUCAAGGAAACAGACUCCAUGGAAGAAGAUAGGGUGCUGACAGGUAUCCUCACAGCCAUAUUUUCCAUGGUUCACUCUUGCUUUUGUUACUUUUUUCUUUAAAAGUUUUUGGGGUUUACCCCGAUCAAUCUCUUUGUUUCAGGUUGUUUAGGAUUUUAAGGUUAAAAGUUAUGGUUUUUCCUCUUUGUUGAGUAGUUUGGUUUUUUCUGUUUAGAGUCUUUCUUUCUUUUAAUACAUCUUUGUCUGCCGAGGUAGUUGUCGUUUCUGUUUUUCUUAGGCCUUGGCCGUCUUGUCUUGGUUUUUCUCAGUAGUGGAAGUAGGUUGUUUUUAGAAUCUGUUUAUACCCCAUGGCGGAAGAACUAGCAGAUGCGAUAAGGAAAUUUGCUCUUUUUGACAAAGAGCUGGAGGGAACUGACCUGGGAGGAGAAGAGAUUGACAGAGGUAUUCAAGAAUGUCAGUCAAGCUUAGUGGGUAGGAUCAAAGGUGAGAAAGUGGUGAAUUUUGUUGGAGUUAAGAACUUUGUGAACUCAGCUUGGGGGUAUCCAAGGAAUCUUAGGAUUAUAGAGCUGGGUCCAAAUAUGUUUCAGUUUUAUGUACCAAGCAGGGAAGAUAGAGACUGGAUAGUAGGGGGAGGACCUUGGGUCAUGGACAACCAAAUUCUGGUGAUAAAACACUGGUUUGAAGGUAUUGAGGAUGACUCUUCUGCUUUUGGUCUUGCACCCCUUUGGGUUCAAGUCUGGAACCUACCUGUGCAUUGGAUAUCAAAAGAAGCAGGAUGGAAAAUUGGAGCGAUAUUUCAUGAAGUAAAGGAUGUUGUGGUGCCUCAAGUAGGAGGAAAGGAAUGUAGACAUCUAAAGUUAUUAGUGGUUAUGGAUACCUCCCUACCUCUCUUAAGGGGAAUGACAGUUAAAGUAAAUGGAAUCCUGAGAUGGUUGAACUUCAGAUUUGAGAGGUGCCCAGACUUCUGUUACAAAUGUGGAGUGAUUGGACAUGGUGAAAAGAAAUGCAAGGAAGUAAUACAGGUAAGCAAAGGGAAGCAGGAACACCAGUAUGGCCCAUGGAUGAGAGCCAACAUAGGUAAAACAUCACCCCAAAAGGAACAACAGAAUAAGUAUAACUCUGAGAUGAAUUAUUGGGGCUUUAGAGAUGGAGAGAUGGUACGGUUAAAUCCUAAGGCUAAGGAAAAUAUGGAACAUGGUCAUAAGGACUCUAUGUCAGGAAGGAAUGAUGAAACUAGGAAGAGUAAUGAUGAAAAUAUGACAGGCAAGGAGAAGUCCAAAAAGGAUGAAUCGCGGGAGGUUCAGCAACUAAGAGGUGAGGCUAGCAGUAAAGAAUUGGAAAGAAAAAGCUUAAUCCAAAAUAGCUGGAACAGUCAGAAGGAGAGCUCUACCUCAGAAGCUACAGAAUCUCUCCCAAAGGGAAUCAGUAAAUGUGUAUUAGAGGAAGCAAGUUUGAGUAUCCUAGAGGAGGUAGAGAUAAAUGGUAAGAACAAAGGUGCAGUGGAAAGAAACGGACUUGAACAAAUAGCACAAGAGCUUAUGCAAGUCACAGUAAUGGAGGAUGAUUCUGGCAGCCCUGAAACAGCUUUAAUGAUAAUCGAUCCAGGAAGUUCUGAGCUGGGUACUAUGGCUGCCCAGAAACAUAACAGGAAAAUGAAGAAGCAGUUGAGAUCUCCCAAAAUCUCUCGUCAGCCUUUGAGGGAUCUGAGUGGGAACAGGAUAUUGGCUAUUCAACAAGGAAAAAGGAAACUUAAUUUGAUAGAUGAGGAGAUGGUGGAAGUGCAGGUAACGGAGAUUGUUCACAAGAGAAACAAACUGGGAGUUGGGGAAGUGAAUCCUGGAGAGAAACAAGAGGGGGAAGGGGCCAACCUAAACUGGCCCCUCAAGUUUCAAUGAAGGUUCUGGUGUGGAACUGCCAAGGAGCAGGGAGCCCCUUGACAGUUCCCCAGUUGAGGGAGGCUAAUAACCUCCUCUCCCCAAAUAUAUAUUUCUGAGUGAAACCAAAAAUAGGUAUAAUUACAUGAAAAGGGUCCAAAAAAUUCUGAGGUUUGAGGAAAGUGUGAUUGUAGAAGCUAUGGAUAGGAAAGAAGGUAUGGCUUUGUUUUGGAAUAAAGAUAUUGAGGUCAGGGAAGUAGUUACAACAGCUCUCACUAUAGAGGCUUUGGUUUUUGAUCCGGAGCUGCAGAUUGACUGGUGGUUUAUUGGUGUAUAUAUGAGCUGUGAUGCUAAUAUUAGGAAACAACAGUGGAAAGUUUUGACUGCGAGAAGACAGUUGUGGGGAGAUAAAUGGCUUCUGGCAGGGGACUUUAAUGAUAUAUUAACUAAUGAAGAGAAGUGGGGAGGUAAUGCAAGAGCAGAGAGGAGUUUCAAGUAGUUUAACAGCUUUAUUGAAUACAACAAUCUUGUGGAUAUAGGUUUUACUGGUAAUCCCUGGACAUGGAGCAACAAUUGGGAUGGUGAAGGGGAGAUUAGGCAAAGACUGGACAGAGGAUUAAGUACCAUUAACUGGAGCCAAUUUUUUGACAAGGCUAAAUGUGAUCACGUGGAAACUGUUGGGUCAGACCACAGCAUGUUGCUCAUAGAUAAUUGGCCUAGAAUGGAUAAAAAAAGAUCAAAAUUCUCUUUUGACAAGAGAUGGCUCAAGAGGGAAGGGAUCAGUCAAGUGGUUGAGCAAGCUUGGAAACAAACAGUGGAAGGAAAUAGGAUGUAUAGGAUUACAAGGCAGAUUGCUAACUGCAGAGUGGCUCUACUCAAAUGGAAGAACAAUUUCACAGGAAAUUCUUUGCUAAAAAUCAAUCAAGUGAAGCAACAGAUUAAGGAGAUAAAGGAAUCUAAGGAGUCAGGUGUUAAGGAUAAAAUCUCAGAGUUAAAAAUUCAGUUAAAAGAGGCCUACACAGAAGAAGAGCAGUUUUGGGCUCAAAAAGCAAGGAUUGACUGGCUGAGAGAAGGGGAUAAGAACACAAAAUUUUUUCAUGCUUGUGUGAAGGGGAGAAGAAGGCGAAAUAGGAUGCUCAACAUACAAAGGGAUGAUGGUUCUUGGACUAAGAGUGAGGAGGAGCUGGGAAAGGAAGUGGCUGAAUACUAUAGAGUUCUUUUUGCUAGUUCUGGUUGUGAGGGUCUGGGUGAGAUUCUAAAUGGUAUACCUACCACUAUCACUACUGAGAUGAAUGCAAGGCUAACUCAGGAAGUGGAGGAGAAGGAAAUUAAAUCUGCUCUUUUUUCCAUGAAUCCAAAUAAGGCACCAGGCCAAGAUGGCAUGAAUCCUUUGUUCUUCCAAAAAUUUUGGCACGUUGUGAAAUCUGAUUUAAUUGCUGCCAUUAGGCAUUUCUUUUGGUCUAGCAACAUGCCUAAGUCUUGGAAUCACACUGUCAUCUCCCUCAUCCCUAAAAUCCAGAAUCCUACCAACUUGAAGAGCUAUAGGCCUAUUAGUCUCUGUAAUGUUGUUUACAAAGUGAUUUCUAAAAUUCUGGCCAAUAGACUCAAGAAUGUUUUAAAUCACUGCAUUAGCAAAACUCAGGCAGCUUUCAUCCCAGGCAGACAAAUUCUUGACAAUGUCAUUCUAUCUCAUGAAUAUUUGCAUUACAUGAACAAUAAGAGACAAGGACAGAAUGGACUUAUGGCUGUGAAGCUAGAUAUGUCAAAGGCCUACGAUAGAGUGGAGUGGAAAUUCCUUGAUGCCAUGAUGGAAAAAAUGGGCUACUGCACAGUAUGGAGGAAGUGGAUUUGGAGCUGUCUCUCCUCAGUUACCUACUCUUUCAAUAUUAAUGGAGUACCACAAGAAUUUGUAACUCCAGAAAGAGGAAUAAGACAAGGUGACCCACUGUCACCUUAUCUUUUCCUUUUGUGCUCAGAAGGUUUCUCCAAUUUACUAAAGCAGGCUGAAGGAGAUAAAAGGAUCACAGGGGUGAAGAUAUGCAGAAGUGGGCCAAGAUUGACUCAUUUAUUCUUUGCUGACGAUUCUUUGAUUUUCUGUAAUGCUGACAAAGAGGAAGCAAGUGAACUUGUUCAAAUUCUGAGGAAGUAUGAGAAGGGGUCUGGUCAAUCCAUAAAUCUGGAAAAGUCCUCAGUUUUCUUCAGUCGCAAUGUCAGUCAUCAGAGGAAAGGGGAAGUGAGACAAAGCCUUGGCACAAUCCAGGUGGCUACUCAAGGAAAAUAUCUGGGGCUCCCUAUGGUGAUAACUAGAUCAAAACAGCAAGUUUUUGGUUUUAUUAAGGACAGUAUCAGCAAGAGAAUGAAGAACUGGAAGAACAAGCUGCUCAGCCAAGGAGGGAAGGAAGUCUUAUUGAAGGCAGUUUCUAUGGCAUUGCCAGUGUAUACAAUGUCCUGCUUUAAACUUCCAAACACACUGUGCAAAGAAGUGACCUCCAUUUUUGCUAAGUAUUGGUGGGGAGAAGCUGAAGGGAGAGAUAAGAUUCACUGGUGCUCGUGGGGAAGAAUGGCCAUGGAGAAAAAAGAGGGAGGUUUAGGCUUCAAGGACUUACAGAAGUUUAACAAAGCCUUGCUGGCUAAACAGGUUUGGAGGCUGAUUACCAAACCAAACCUCUUAGUCAGCAAGGUUUUGAGGGCAAAGUAUUUCCAUAGGGACUCUAUCUUCAAGUGCAAAGUCCCAAAGUGUUCUUCAUGGAUCUGGCAAAGUCUGAUGAACGUAAGAGAUUUGGUGCAAAAGGGAACUAGAAAGAGGAUAGGCAAUGGCAAGACAACAAACAUUUGGGAGGACAUUUGGAUCCCUGGUAAUGAGGAUGGGAAAGUCACUUCUGCAAUGCCUCAGAACUGCAAUAUCAGAAGAGUGGAUGAGCUCAUCAGUGGUUUUAGGUGGAAUAAACCAUUAGUGCUUAGAACUUUUAACCAGAAAGAUGCGGUGGAAAUCUUGGAUAUCCCUAUCAGUAUCUCUGGUAGGGAAGACAGUAACUAUUGGGUACAUAGUGGUCAUGGCAGCUACACGGUCAACUCAGGAUACAAGGUACUGUGUAGAGAGAGAACUCAAUCCAGGGGAAGAAGAGAAAACGAAGCAGAAACAAGUUCAGCAAAUUCCAAAGGUAAACAAUGGAAGUGGCUGUGGAAACUGAAGCUAAAAAGCAAGUUAAAACAUUUCAUUUGGAGGUGUCUAAAUGGUAUGUUACCAGUUAACGACCUUGUUUUCAAAAGGACACACCAAGGUGAUCCAAUCUGUGAUGGUUGUGGUGAAAAGGAAGAGUCAACUGAACAUAUGUUUUUCAUUGCAGCAGAGCUCAAGAGGUUUGGAAGAUGGCACCAGUACAGUGGGAUGGUUUGUCUGAUCAGACAGGGAACUUCACAACCUGGUGGACAGCUAUGCUGGAUGCCAUAUGUAGGACAGAGGGCAGGGAACAUAUAGAACUAACCGUGAACAUCCUUUGGCAAAUUUGGAAGAGGAGAAAUGAAUGGAAGUUUAAUGCAAAACGUAAACAUCCCUGGAAAACAGUCAAAAAGGCUCAACAAGAAUGGCAUGAACAAGCAACAGUUUGGAGCAAAGAGAAUACGACCCCUGAGAUUGCUGCAAGAGAUAAAGAGGAAGCAGAACCAGAGGAGGGAGGACGUGAUGAAAUGCAGAUCAGAAUCUCAACUCAAGUGCAAGAACCAACUAAUAGAAUUGGCACAGGGAUUAUAGCAACUAACUUCAACCAUCAGCUGGUGGCAGCCUGGGCACUUAUUGACAGGAAAGCAAGGAAUCAGGUGCAGAAUAUUGCUGAAUCUGUGAAGAUGGCCAUUAUAAAAGCCAAACAACAGCAAUGGCAGAAAAUUACAGUCUACAUACCCAGCCCUCAGCUGUUGAAAGGGUUAACGGAAGGAAUAGCCAAGGAUAUCAAAAUGGCUACCCUGACUGAUGAUAUUAACAAUUUAAGAGCUUUGUUUCAGAAAUGCUCCUUUUGUUUAGAUAGGAGAUUAGACUCCAGAUGUGAUUUGAUUAGUGGUUAUGCUUUAGGCAUAUUUCAAGAUGAGGAAUGGAUCAAUUCUCAGUAUGUCUAACACUUGUGUAUAGUACUGCUUGAGCCUUUGCUCAUAUAAGUGUAUAUCCUUUUGUCUAUUCAAUACAAAAACUACCGUUGCUGAAAAAAAAAAAAGAUAUCAAAGGUUGUACAAUUAUUUGAUCAAACAGCAAGGCUUGUUUUGAAAUUUGGACAAAACAAUUUGCCUCUCUAAAGGUAUGGGGUGGGGUAUUCAUACUUUAUCCCCCUCCAAAUUUGAAAAGUGUAAAUCUUAUAUACACUGACAGUGUAUACACUUUCACCGUUGAAUCCAUGGCACAUAUGCAAAAGUUGGAACUCAAAUUCAAAAUUUGCAUAGUUGUCAUUCAUCUAAUGCCGAUAGUUUAUACACUUUUACCGUUAGAUCUAUGAUACUGUAUUUUAACUUCGUCACUCCAAUUAUAUAUUUCUCUUCGAAGAGUACCAUUGACUUCUUGUAGCCUAAUAGUCAAGUUUAUGGCUGUUGUAUUAAUACCUUUAUACCUUUCUAGCUAGGAAAUAUUCAUCAAGAAGUGCAAUGCAUGCCAAAAAUAAAAAUAAAAACAAGGUCAAACCAAAAUUUUUUGUGGUCUAGCUUCACCAGAUGAACUUAAAAUUCUCAACUUUCAGAUAUCAAACUUCAACAAAUGAAUCACGGACAACUGUUUUUCGAGCAUAGCUAAAUGCUCGAUAGAAUCACUUCAAUACUUCUUAAAUCUCCUAAUUCGUCCUUUCAUUGAAUGAAUAAACCUUUUAAUUGAGUGAAAAUUUAGCAUAUUUUAAGGGAUUAGGCAAACUUUUCUGGUUUCUCUCAAAAAGGUUUUAGGACUUCUUUCCAAGGGUUUAUUGCCCUACAUACGCAUGGCAUGCCUUUUUUUUAUUCCAGUACAAGGGUACAAUUGUACCUUCACUAACGAAUCUUCACUAUUUAAAUCAUUUGAGAGAAAGUUAAAUUGGAUAGUAAUACGGAAUGAAUUAUAAGUUGAAAAUCUUAAAUUCAAGACUGGGGGAAGGGGGGGUGUGUGUCGUUUAAUUGGUCAACAAGGGGGUAAAGUGUAUAUUUUCGAAAUUCGGGGCGAUAAAGCGUGACCAUCCCAUAGCUUCACUUCAGGGAGCAAAGUGUGAUUAACCCUUAAUAAACCCCAUUGAAAAUGAGAAAAUUGUGCAAAUAAUCCAAAGAAAGGACAAGAAAUAUGUGUCUCAAUCCUUGAACACGCACUCAAGAAAAAGUAGUAGUACAUUCAAAAGUUCCGAAUUCCAACAAAUAUCUUAUCAUUCGCAAGAAAAAACAAACCUUUACGGUUUCUUCUUCCCUCUCAAAAUUAUACUACUGCUAGAAUAACCAGGAGUAGGUUGCUUGCUUGCUUUGUCAAUUGUCACUUCAUUUCUGAUUUCUCCAUCAAAAAAUAUUUUCAAGAAUUAGAAAAAUACGGGGGAAAAGCAAAAAAUUUGGGUUGACUUUCUGGAUGGGGUCAGAGUCAGAAUGCGGUAAGAGUGAGGUGGUCUUGGGUGUGGAUGGCGGUACUACCUCUACUGUCUGCGUUUGCAUGCCCCUUCUCCCUUUCUCCCAUCACCUGCCGGACCCUCUUCCUAUUCUUGGCCGGGCAGCCGCCGGGUGCUCCAAUUACAACAGCGUCGGAGGUAUAUUCUUGCUAUUGUAUUUCAAUAGGAAAUGAUUUCAUGAUUUCUGGACGGUUAUGUAUUGUGAAGGGUUAAUUGAUUUUUGAAGUUAAUUGUUAGUAUCAGGUUGGUAGAAGGUCAAAAUGAAAACAAGGAAGGGGGAAAGAGGGAUUUGGUUAUCAUGGAUUUUAUUGUGGCCUGCAUUUUGUUUUCUGGGUUGAAUUUAGAUUUUGAUGGCUUUCAUUAUGAAGUUGAUUUCAGUUGAUUUCUGUUUUUUUGGAGUUGAGGAAUAUUAUUGUAUGUAUUAUAGAAAUAAUUUGCUGGUUUUUAGUUUCUGACCUGAAAUGAAAAUUCAUGACAAUUGGUUGUAGGCUGUGGUUUGACUCUCAUCCCUGCUAUUUGUAAGACCUAUUCCUAGUGUGCUUGAGAAAGGGGAAAAGAUAAAACACCAGUUGCUCGUUAGCGAUAAAUGUCAUUUGCUAUUUUUGCUGUUUUGUGUUCUCAGAAGAUGCUGCCAAAGAUACAUUGGAAAAAGUUAUGGAAGAAGCGCUUUCGCAAUCAGGUGUGAAAAGAUCGGCUGUUAGAGCUGUCUGUUUAGGUGUAUCUGGAGUUAAUCAUCUGAAGGAUGAGGAAAGAGUAUUAAAUUGGAUAAGGUAUGGUAUCUUUCUGUUUAAGUAUGAUCUCUUUUAUAUUAUCUUUUGGGUUUGGUAAGUAUUAGAUCACGUAUUUGUUAAGAUACAGGCUUAUAUUUAAAAACUUCAGUUGGAGUUAAUGAAUCCAUUCAUCCAUUAUGGUUUACAAUCCGUUUUAUCUUCCUUGAUGGUAAAGGAUCCUAAACCAAUGAAUGAUUAUUUUGAAUAGUGCUAUUUGAACCUUGUUGAUCAUCAUAGUGUUUACUGCAUAGACGGCUACAUGGAUUUUGGAACGUGCCAAAGAAGCUGCUCUUGUACAAUUUUUAGAUGAUUGUAUGUAGCUACUCUAGUAUAUUCUUCCAAUGAUAAUACUGAUUGAUGAGUUCUAGGACAUUAGCAUGCCUUAGAAAGUUCGGGCAAUAAAUAGUUUUACAAUCUUGGGUCAGUAUGCUUGGAUGUAAUAUUAUGUCUGCCUACACUGCUUUUUCUCUAUUGGGUAAGAAGGAAUUGAAGAACCAAUGCUUUAGAAGGUUUCUCGUUUUGCUUGGGGCAAUCACUUUUGGCAUUUAUGGUUGUUAUUAAAGUUGAAGCAUGCAUACUAGCAUAUUUUGCUUGCUAUUACCCAUGGGAAGAACAUAAUGCCCCUUCUGCAUUGAAGGAAAGACUACUUUGUGGUACUUUUUUGAAAUAAUUUUUCUCUCUUAGAAAUCUUCUUUUAUAGAAUAGGAAUUGAAAUAAUGUUUUUUUGGGUGAGUCAAUAAGUAAAAUUUAAGAGUAGGAAGAAGAUUUUAGAGAUGGUUGCUGAUAUUGCCAGAGCAAUUCUUAUAAUCCUGGAGCGAUUUUUUAUCAAAUGGAAAAUUACCCUGUUGACGCCAACAUUUCUAUGGGACUGACCAAUGAAUUUUUCUCUUACUUAUACUCCUCACUCUCCCGUUUCCAUUUUCAGUUUCACUAUGAAUCUUUUUCUAUUCUCAACCAACCACCUUUAAUGGCUACUGACAUUCACACCUGAUGUGAUGUUGCUGGUUAAACUAACUAGCUCCAUUUUCAAAGUGCAAAGGUUAAAAUCAUAUAGAGCCAUCACUUCCUAAAACACUUUUUUGAAUGUAAAGGGGAAAAAAAUUUGAAACAUUAUAAGACAUCAAGGGCCUUGAUUUCAUAUUCCUAAAUUUUAACUUGAAUCAAUCUUGGUAGAACCCCGAAAUAGCUUAGUAAAUCAAUAUUUGGUGAAUAAAGAUCAACCGCACAACUUAGUAAUUUUACGUGAAAGCACAAAAUGUAAGUUGGAAAUGUACAGAUCUAUCAUGAAUGGACUAAGAUUCAACAAUACAAAUGAGAUGAGCACCAUAUAUAACCAGAAGGAAAAAAUCAUGGUAUCAUACAAUACCAGUCAAAAACCAUUCUGAUAACUGUACCAAACUUGGGAGGAAACAAAUCUGGAAGGCAGCAGGGUAGGGAGGUUGUAGAGAGAUACUCAUCGACAAGAGCAAGAGAGAAGCUGGUUGGGAGUGGUACUUGUUGAGACCUGGGAUUGGGGAAGGAAAUAAAGUGGAUGGUUGGUGAAGGGGAAGCAGGACUGAGUGGAGCAGCAGCAGGGCUGCUAGGAGUAGGGUGUCAGAGAGAGAGGUAGAAGAAGGGGGAGGGAGUUGAAUACGACAAACAGAAGUGGAGGGAGUGGGUUCCAUAUGAAUUAAUGAAGAUGUUGGGGUUGACUUGGGGAAGGUUAGUUUGCCAUUUAAUGAAUAAUGGCUCUGGUAUUAAAAGAAUUUCUCAGGCAAUAUUGCCAGCCUUUUAGAGAUUCGUCAUUUACUUGUCUUGCUCAUGCUCAAUACUCCUCGAAAAGAAAGUAAUCAUGGGCAGUAUUGCCAGCCUUUUAGAGAUUGGUAGUUGACAUGUCGUUCUUGUGCACAGUGCUCUUGAGAAAGUAACCAAUUUACCUUGAACUGUUUAGCCAAUGGUUUAAGCUUCAUGUCUUAUGUGAUCAUUUAGUUUUUCUGUUCUUUCUACCUUCUCUUUCAUGCUUGUGGGAUGUUUGUUAAGGGUAUCAUAACUUAUAUAUCAUAGAAGGCUUGUUGUGUUUUGAAGUUGGAGAAACUGUGAGCUUUGCAAACUGUAGUGUGAAUAAGUGCAGCAUUUAAUUUGGAUCACAUGAUCCUGAUUUGAAACCUCUGUUCUCUGAAUUUUGGUAUUAGAAAAUUAUGGCUCCUUUAGGACAAUUGAAGAACUGUUAAAGGCCUCAUGACUUGGAUGGAAGCAUUGCUAGAGCUUAUGGGAGUCGAAAUUAAUGGAGAGACUAGCCUGUAUUCUAGAAUUAUUGCUUCAUGAAAAUGGAAAAAACAUCUCUUGGUGUACUUCUCAAGAAUUUUGUUAACAAACGAUAUUAACUGUUUGCUCUAAAUUUUUAGGCUGCUUUAUUAUGUGUUCCUUUUGAGUUAUUAUUUAACGGUGUGUAUCAACCCCAAACUUUUAGGCUGCUUUAUCUGUGUGUUCAUUUUGUGUUGACAUUUUAUGUUCAGAAAAGGUUACAAGGCCUAAAGAAGACAAACAUAAAGUACUUUUUAUUGAAACAUAUGGCAGAUUCAAAAAACUCCAACAAGUGGUUCUAAAUUACUGUAAUUUUGCAGGGACUUUUUCCCUGCUCAUGUGAAGAUAUACGUUCACAAUGACGCUGUUGCAGCUCUUGCAAGUGGGACUAUGGGGAAACUUCAUGGCUGUGUGCUUAUUGCUGGUACAGGGAGCAUAUCCUUUGGAUUUACUGAAGAUGGAAGGGAAGCUCGUGCUGCCGGUGCUGGACCUGUAUUGGGUGACUGGGGCAGGUGAUGUUAGGAAAUGUGUUUUAUUGUAUAAAAAGUUGCUCUUUGUGAUUCUUUUUGUCUUUUAUCUAAGUGAUGAAAUGGAUGUGAUAGUUCUAGCAAUCAAUAUUAGUCUAUCCUCUUAAAUUUAAGUAGAAAGCAAAAAUCAAUAAUUUGUCCUUCAUCAUAGCUUGAUUAAGAUAACUGAAACUGGUGCUUAUUCGACUCUUCAUUUGGCAAUUGUGGGCGCAUAACAAACAUCUAGGAAUACGAAAGUGGCAAGGGCAUUGGGGAGACGGGGAAAAGAGGGAUAUACAACACGAUGUAGUUCCCAAACAUGGUACCUGUAGUUCACCAUGCUGGAUGAGGGAUUUUGUUUUCUUAGCUGUGACUCAAAAAAUAUGCACACUGAAUCAACUUUGGCCCUCGAAGUUUAUGGAUUAAUUUAUCUUCUGAUUUAAUGAAUCAACUUUCAUAAUUUUGUAUUUUCUUUGUUUAGAAUGCUUCUACUGAAAUUCAGCAGAGACUGCAAAAUAAAAAUUGCAGAUUAUCAAAUGAAAGUGAGCUAAAUAUUCUUUCUCGCAUGGAGAAUCUUUGAGCUAAAUAUUCUUUCUUGCAUAGAGAAUCUUGUGAAAUAUAUUGAUCAAUCUUAGGACAAAAUGUCGGUGUCCUGCUGUUACUUUAAAGCAAUGGCAAGGAUAUUUGGCAUAGGUUUAUCUUAGGUUGCUGGAGCUCUGUGAUCAAAUUUUAAAGGAAUGACGAAAAUUAACAUUAAAGUUUGUGUUGUUUACAACCAAAUGACAGGGACUAAAUGAGAUGGCACAAAAAUUUAAUGGACAAAAACUGAAUUUCUUCCCAUCUCUUGAUGAUUUUGUUUACUAACUUCAAAUAAUUAGAAUCUUGAAAAAGAAAAUGACAGAGAGCCAUUGCAGAUUUUCCUUGCAGCAAUCUUUUUUUUUUUUUUUGGGUUUUGUUGUUGUUGCUACUCAUAUAAAAUCUAUGUUGGACUUGUAUGCUUUCAUAGCUCCAAACAUUUGCAUUUCUGCGAAUGGAUGGUCUGAAACAUUUUUGUGAAAGGAUUCCUAUAAUUACUUUUUCUGGAAGAUUGUUUUUGCAUUUUUCUCCAAUCAGCUUUUGUGUCUGAAUUUGCUUGUCUGACCUGGACAAGACAGAAUUAACAGUAUAGCUCAGAAAAUGCUCUACGUUGGACUUAUCAGCUUCUGAAUUCCUUGUAGCAUGUUUGUGAGAUGACUAAAGAAGAUGGUGUUUUUAAACUAUAUGAGUUGACCAUAUAUAUAUAUAUUUAUAUAUAUAUGUAUAUAUUUUAACCGUAUAGUUGGUUCUUUUGUAUCUAAGAUAUAUCUGAUUCUGUGCAGUGGCUACGGAAUUGCUUCUCGGGGAUUGACGGCUGUAGUGAGGGCUCAUGAUGGUCGUGGCCCGCAGACAAUGCUGACAGAUCAUAUUUUGGAUUCACUUGGUCUUUCUUCACCUGAUGAACUCAUAGGGUAUCUCUUCAAUACCCAUAAAAAAUUGUUGUCAGUUCUGUCACAAGUCAUUGAUCAAAUACUAAUAAUGAUCUAAAGUUCAGCAUUAGGGUUAGUUGUGAGUUGGCAGUUUGCAGAUGUGAGAAUGCAAAGACCAUCUCUGAAGUUUUCCUGAGUCAUUAGACUGAAGCCUUCUCACAUGGAAUGAUAGUUCUUAAACAGGGUGAAAUCAUCUCUAGAAUAUUAAAUCAAAGAAGUAACAUAGCAGUGCUUUUGAGGUUGAUCAGCUUAGAGCUUUCUCUUGCAUUUGGUUUUAAACCUAUAGAUCUCCAUGAUCAGGGAAGGCUGUUCAUAUUCCUGGCUAUUGUUUGGUUUUGUGGCUCACAUAUUGAAUUGAGGUUAGUUAUACUAUGCUAGUGUUAAUUGCUCUGCUAGCCAUUUAAAAGUAAAUGUGGGUCUAAUGUAUUUGGGAGUCUGAAAUGAAAUGGAAAUCCAUUUAACAUGCCCAUGGAAGAGAGAGAGAGAGAGAGAGAGAGGGAUCGCUAUCAAUCAAAUUUUUAGUCUUAAUCUACGGUAUUCUUUUUUAUUUUUCAAAAGAUGUGUAUCGCUAGAUAUUCGAUAUGUAUAUCAAGUAUUUUCUUUUAAAGUCGUUUAGGCCAUGAUAUAGAUCUUAUUGUGAUUUUAGGGUGUAUUUGAUAAAACUGAAGUCUGAAAUUUGAAAUUUGAACUCUGAAUCCAUUAAGUGUUUGAAUUGUUAAGUACUAAAUCUGAUACAUUUGAGUGGAUAUCACAUUAAGUGAUAAGUGAAUAGCUUAUCACUUAUUUUUAGGAGCAAGUUUUGUCUCGAAAAUUCAGUGUCACUUAAUUAAUUUAGAUCAAUUUUUGGUUAUCAAACGCAUCUGAACAUGGUAAGAUCAGAAUCUAUUAAGUUUAAGUGCUGAAUUGGGCCGUCUGAUCAAACAAGGCGUUAAUGACAUAUCAGACAAAAAUUACUUCAGGCUUUAGUCAACCAUUACUUGUCUAAGAUUUGAGAUAACAAACAGUGUGAUUGCUGGGUUCAAACUGGUGUUUUUUCCUAGGAGUUUAAUGAGUAAUUUGCCACUUACUGAACCAUUAAAUAGGACAAUCCAUUACAUUCGGAAUGUCUGAAUGUAGUUCCUCAAAUUUCUGAUUUGGCUUUACUUAACUUGUAUAGUUUGCUAAAUAAGGACAACUAAAAAAUUGACUCUCCAUUUUAACCUAUUAAAUAUGCUUGAAGGUUGAGACUGAGGUAAAUGUUCACAGCCUUUUGGAUAAAAGAGAAGCUUUUAGUAUAAUGUCAUUUGUUUCAUACCAGCUUUAAGCAUAACGUCAUUCGUGUCGUACCUGGUUGUAGUCCUAUUUUGACUUUUAUGUGGGUCUAUUAUUAUGUGUUUCUCAAAUGUUCUAUCCUCUUAAUAGCAACUUAAUGUCUCUGGAAGAUACUUAAGAGUUCGAAAGGGAAAAGUGGAAAGUGUGGGUCAAAAGCUACAGUUUUCAUACAAGGGAUGUUUUUUAUCUUCCCAACAACUGUUUACAACUUCUAACUUAGGGUCUGUUUGAUAACAUAAAAAAGUGCUGAAACUGAACUUUUUCAGACAUUCAGGUGUUUUGAGUGUUUGAUAAAUGAAAAUCCAUUUGCUGAACUUGUUAAGCACUGCUGAACUUGUGUGUAUUUUUUUCAGUACAAGAAUCCUAACUGAAUGCUUAAUUCUGAUAAAAAUCAAUAGAAUUACUUGAACUAUCUUAUCUUAUAUACCAAAUCUACCCUUAUUUGUUAAUUAUGUUCAAAAUUCUUAUCUAAUUAAACAACUUGAUAUUCUCUAUAUAACAGUUUUCUAUUUUUCUUUUCUUUCUUUUUAAUGACUUUCACAUCUUCUCCAUACUCCUCGUUUAAUAUAUUUCAUCUUUUAUAUUAAUUUGAUUUAAAAAUAAAUAUUGUCAUUUUCAUACCUAACAAUUUUAAACUAAUUAAAUCAUAGGUUCUAUUUCUUUUUUGGAUGAAAAGAUAUAAGGGCAAAGUUGUCAAAUUUAAUUUAUUAAGCAUUCAGUUAUAAAUGUUUAUCAAACAGUAUAAAUAGGUUUAGCAUUAAAAUUCAGACAUUCAUAUAUUUCUUUUCAGCGCUUAAAAUUCAGCAAAUUAAUUGUUUUAGUAUUCAGACUUCAGAAUUCAGAUUCAGUUUUAUCAAACGGAACCUUAGUCUAAAAGUGCGUGGAUCUAUCAAAACUGAGAAUAAUUCUAUUGACUGUCCUAAGUUAAUGAGCUUUAGAAAGGUAAGGGACUCUACCCUAAUAGAAGUUUGAGAUGGCUAAAUUGCAGACCUUCUAAACAUAACGGACUAAAAUUGCAACUUUACUACUGGAGUAUAAAAUUUUUCUGAUUGCGGUAUAUUAAUUAGAAGCACCGUCAAAAUUUCAUGUUCUCUUUAUUGGAAUUUAGGUGGACCUAUGCAGAUCCAUCUUGGGCUCGUAUUGCAGCCCUUGUUCCUGUUGUAGUAUCUUGUGCAGAAGCUGGUGAUCAAGUUGCAAUUGAAAUAUUAAACAAUGCAGUAGAAGAAUUGGGUUCAAGUGUAAAAGCUGUUGUUCAAAGGCUAUCCUUGGCUGGGGAAGGUCAAUGCUUAAGCUUAAUAUUUAAUUGCAUUGAGCGUGCACACAGGCAUGCACACCCACACACACUCACUCUCAAAUACUUGAAUGGAAAUGUUGUUUUCGUUUUCUCUAAAAGGUUGGAUUAUUUGAAACAGCAUAGAAGAAAUCUAAGCUCUUGAAAUUUUCUGGUAAUUACAUCUUGCAAUAUGAGGAUAGCUUUGAAUUCUCACAAAUUUUGAUCCAGCUGUACUCAGCUUUAGGAAAUGGUGGUGGGGGUGGAAGAACAAUUUAAUUUCCUAUGGACAUGCUCAUGGGUUUCAUUAGAACUGCAAAGCUGAAAAGCAUGGUUUUAUUUCCAGACGGAAAGGGUUCUUUCCCUGUUGUCAUGGUAGGCGGUGUUCUUGAAGCUAAUAGGAGUUGGGAUAUUGGGAGAGAAGUUAUCAAUGCUAUAUUGAAGACCUAUUCUGGGGCUUGUCCGAUUAGACCAAAGGUUAGUAAAAUCAAGUCUUUUGUUUGAUGCAUGACUUCUUUCUUUUGCCCCACGCCAAUGUAGCAUUGUUACCCUUGUGAGAGUGCAGAAAUGUGUUAAGGGAGAAUCUUGAAACUUAGAAGUGUUCAUCUUUCAGUAUAGGGCUAAUAAAUUAAUGCUCAUCUAGUUUUUAUUCAAUUCAACAUUUUCAUAAAUUUCUGGAGGGAGGAGGUCUUUUAUAUGGUUGACAAUUUAUACACAUUACCAUUUUAACUCAUUCACCUCCUUUCCCUGUUUUCCCCCAUUCAAACUCAAAAUUAGCAAAGUGAAGGUGCAUGCAUAUUUGGAUAUGAUGGUGAAAGAGAAAAGUUAUUGACAAGGUAUAUGUAUCGGAUGUCGCAUCUAUUUUUGUGGAUUUGCAUUAACAAUUAAGUUGCUUUAGCUUAUUGUUCCCUUACUUGCAAAGCAUGGAAGAAGCUUGGGUUGAAUUUUAAUAAAGUGAGAGUCUGGGUGAGCGGUUGAUGUAGUUUUUCAGGUACCAAAUUAACAAGCCUUAUGCUGUCUUUAGUCUCAAAUAAGUUGGACCAAUAAAGACCUGUCUAUAUACGAUUAUUCUUCUCACUUUUAUUCUUUUGAGGGAAUGCUAGAUAUGAGAACAAUGAACAAAAAGCAAAUAAGAAAAGCAGGAAUCCUUGCAGAAGUUGCUUUUUCUGACUACUCAAUUUAUAACCAUCCACUAGAACUCUAAAUAGCAACGCAUUCAACUGAAUAGUUACAAAAGAUUUGCACUUGUUUUAGUACGAGGCAUCUGGGAUUUUAACUUGGCCUGUUUGUGCUUGUGUUUCUUUUUAGUGUUAAGAAAGCUUUUCUCAUCAUGCAGUUCUAGAGGUUCUUAAUUUCAAACUGUUAAAAACUUUUUAGGUGGAGCCUGCUAUUGGAGCAGCCCUUGUGGCCUGGAACUCCUUGAUGAAAGAGCUACCGGCAAAUGGCCAUAGAUGACUUGGAAUGGAAAAUUAUUCAAUUGUACAGAAAUUAUGUAUUACAGAUUGAUACCAAUCAUCAAUAAAUUGUGGAAAUUGAUAAAAUAAUCAGCCACAGAGGGAUAAAAGUUCUCAAUGAAUAUUAAUUUCUGUGAUACUUGUUCUUGCUGCUUUGCAUUGCUUUGCCGUCUGUAUUUUAUUUUAUUUUUAAUACAAGGGAUGGGUGGGAUUUAAGAAACGAUGAAAAGAGGGAGAGGGAUUUGACCUAAUGACUUUUAAUUCUUAAGGCCUACCUCGGACAAUUUUGGCAGUAAAUUUUGGCUGACAGCCCAAAUUUUCACCUAUUCUCAUUUGUGCUCUUUACGAGUGUAGUUUCUUUUCUCGGGUGAUUGAUUUCCAAUUUCCUCUCUCUGAAACAUUACUUAACCAUGGGGAGUCAAUUGAUCUUGGGAUUAUCGAUGAAAAGAAAAUAAAAUUCUGAGAAAUGCAUUUAAUUGUGUUGGUUUUUAACCAAACAAUGAAAGAAAAUUAUAAGUUAUAAGACAAGGGAUGCAUGGUUGAUUUUAGACAUCAAUAACCUGAACUUCCGGUUAUGUCUUUACAAAUCAUUUUUAACUCUAAUAUCAAUUAGUCUAUUAGGGAAAGUGUUGUUCUUGUUGAUAGAGGUUCUCUCUCUCUCUCUCUCUCUCUCUCUCUCUCUCUCUCUCUCUCUCUCUCAAUUUUGGUAUUGUGGGAAAAGGGGAAACAGUGGGACUAAGGAAGUUAUUACUUCUAAUUGGUCAAAUGCUAUGUGCCCUUUUGUGUUAAUUGUUGUCAUAAAUGGAAAAAAAAAAAACAAUUCUGUUCAGAUGAUUAAAUUCUCUUGCUUUACACAUUUUGCCAUCAAGACAUCCUCAUCUUGGAGAUGGCAAGGGAACGAUAAAUGGUCUCUUUUUAUUUCCUAGCCCUUUCUUCUCCUUUUAGCUUCUGCUUUUUUCUUGAAUGGUUUUCAUCUCUUUUUUUGUUCAAUGGUUUUAAUUUGGAAAUUGGGAAAAAAAAGGUAUUACCCUUUUUCUUUUCUUUUUUUCAUUAACUAAAUAGUGAAAGAUAGAUAAAUCCAAUCAUAGGUUAGUUAAAUCUGUUGAGGGUGGAACUCACUCUCAACACACAACAAAGGUAUUUUUACGAUCAGAUGUUAAGAAAAUAAGAAAUUUUAUUGGAUGAGUGAUAGCACUUUCAACGCAUCUAAAAAAGGAUUUUUUUUUUCUCUUUUCAUUACAACUUGUCAAUUGUAGAGACCUUGUACUUUGGUCUGUACAUAAUUAGGAUGAAGUUGGUUUUUUUUUUUUUUUUUUUUUGACAUAAGUUCAAUGUUUUUUGACGAGAAAUGUUGAUGAAGGUUUUCAAUGCAAUGCAAAUUUACAGGAACUAACGCUUAACUUCCAUUCCAUAUUCGAAGCAGAAAUUAGGUUCUAUUAAAUCAUUUUCGCAGAAAAAACACCAUUAAGACGGACAUCCAAAGGGAUGCAUGCUCCCUUCUCUUCCUGCCGAUCAGAUAAGAAGGCUUUAUAUUAUCUCAAGGUUUUCGUAGUAUGUUAUACUGGUACUUCUGGUCAUUUGAGUUGUGCAGAGAAUCGAAUAAACCAGCAGAGGUCUUUAGCACAAACAAUAUAAGCAGCCAGCAAGGUAGACGGUGUAGUAAACCAUUUUUUUAUACAUCAUUCACAGAAAUUUACAGUAAAUGCUAUACAAUCAACUGGUCAAGGAAAAAGAAAAGAAAUGUUACUACUAUAGACUGCUAUUGAAACUAAGAAACUUUUGGCUACAAUAGUUGAUGAUACACCUUUAAAUAAUUGCACAACAAAAUUGAUUUCUGCACCACAUAUCAGGUUGGACAGUAGUGUAACUUGGGAUUCUUGGCAUCUGUCGUUCUGUUGCAGCUGCAGGUGCUUUCCAGAAUUCUGGUGAAUAUGAUUAACUAAUGUUCCACCAUCAUAACUGCAAAAUACCUCCCUUAAAAGUAAGGGUUAAAAAAGAUUGUGCUCUCGCCAAAGAGGAUUGAUUGGCUUGGAAUUGGUUCCAUGCGAACCCAAAAACUAGCAGCAGCAGGAGCAGCAUGCAAUGAUGUUUGAUUCUGCUCACCAGAAGAAAUAUACAACCCUUUAGGAGACACCCUUUUAACCAAUUCAAAAUUAAGUAUGUCAGCAAGAAUCCAAGCAAAUACCCUGUAGGCUAUAGAACAUAGCUAGGCAGUAAAAGGCAAAUAAGGUGAAGAGAACAUAUUCUAGGCUAUUUGUCUAUUUCUUUCAUCCGAUUAACUGUUUUACAAUCUAUUUCUGGAAAUGCCCUUUUCAUUUCUUCCCCCCCGGGGGGAGGAUAUAGCGGUAUAGUGGUUGGCUUUGGUGCCAGCCUCUAAGACUUACUGCCAAAAAUAGCACAUAAACAGGAAGUAAAAGGUAAAUCAGAUGAAGAAAACCGUUCCUAAGUUAUUCUUUCAUCUUACAGCUUUAAAUUUACUUUUUAGGUUCCUUUUUUGUUUCUAUAGGGCGGGUUAAGUAAUCGGUUUUUGUGCCUGCCUUUAAGGCUUCUACAAUAAAAGAACCUACCUUAGCAUGGGGAAAAUUGUCGUUGCUUCAUCGAUUCUCCAGUUAAUUCUCGUCUAAUGAGUUUAAGGGUCUCCAUAACCUGCAACAUGAUAAAAGAAAUUCUGGUAAAACAAACUGAUAUCAGAUAUAUAACUAGAUGAUAGAAGCAUUAUCAUGUGGCAAACAGAUUCCCUAGUCUGUUAACAGAAGACCAGGAGGCAACGGGCUAGGUUGUUGCAUGAGGGGAAGACGUUAUAUAAGUUGAGUAUGCAAGAAAGAGCUUGCGGGUGGGGGGUGGCGGAAGGUUUUCACUGGGCUGUUCUUCAUAUCGUCUACUCACAAUUUACGGUCCUUCAGCGGGAAAAUUUAAUAAUUUUGCAUGCACAGAAAAGCACGAAUGUCUAUGCUCCUCAAGUUGAGGUUAAGAAGGUCUUGACAAAGGUUGGACCACGAAUAACAAUAUAUAGGUCAAGUUUCCACCCUGUGGGAAAUGAUCCAUCCUCAGUGAAAAAGAAGUAUCGACUCUGACCAAUAUGGAGUACUCCUUUAAGACAUGUUUUGAAAGCAGCCUUUUUCACACUGUCCUAAUAUUGAAUCAGAAGAAUCAAGCUGUAUCGCAAUACUAGAAGUAUGGGGCAUUUUCCAAAAAGCAGAAAAUGUAGAAAGCAUUACAGAAGUCACAAUCCGAACAAGCAUGGCGAAGCCCAUGAGCUUGAGGGCAAAUAGCAUUCUUAUACAUUUUUGAGUCCCAACCCCCUCAAUAUUGCAGGUCUGACCCAUAAAUAGCCAGUAGAUCAAGUUACUCACAAUAGGUGGAGCGUGUGUACUCACAGAAAAGUAAGUAAGAGUGCUUAUAAUGAUGAGAAAAUUUGUGAAAAGCCACAGUUUGGGGAGAAAUUAUGUCAGGAGAGAUACAAGCCAUCAAUCAAAUAACAAAAUACUUCAGUUAAUUUUUGACAUGCAAAUUAAAAUGUGCAAAACCCAGCAAGAAGGAUCUCACUUGUGAAAUGGAGGAGACCUAUGAUUUAUUAGAAAAAUGCAAAUUUAGACAUAUGCUACCACAGUUCAUGGAUACGCUGCACAGCCAGCACAGCCAGACAUAUGACAUUAAGUUUUAGCCCCAGAGUAGCACGUCAUGGUCCCCACUAGGCAGUGCUAGUUUAAGUAUUAAAGACUUUCCAAAGAUUAUUUGGCAUCUUUUCAACCCAGCAAUAACAAAGCAAAGAAUAUACAAAAAGAUUGUUAAUGAUAAUCUCCUGGUUACAUGUAAAGUCAAUUAUCUGUGUCACCAUUUUCUCCAUUUCAAUCCAAAAGAGCCUCCCAGUUCUUCAAUAAUACUCUCCCCUACCACGUUGAGUUCUAAUACCACAUAACAGAUGACAAUUACUCCCAAUUUCCCUUACUUCUUUUGGAGUGUACUCAGUACGUGAUUACCUCCCAGUUCUCCAGUUAUUUCUCUUGUCCACCUGUUUGCUCACGUGGUUAGUAUUAUGUGACAACAGAAACCAUUGAGCUUUUUCUUCUCUGCCAUCUUGGCAUAUUUGGCUUCAGUUUAUAUACAGUUUACUACAUAUCCUUCAUACAAUUUGGUUUAGAAGAUAACAGUUCUUAAAUCCCAGAAUUACACAUCAUAUUCCAAAUUCUUCAUCCUCUUUUAUGGAGUAAUUUUUAUAUGUUUACUGCAUGAAAUUAUUUUGGACACCUAUUAUAUGAAAAAUUCCAGCACAGAUCACUUGGGAUGUAAUUUUGGUCCAAAUAAAAGAGUCUAUAAGAGUAUAUUAUCUUCCCACAGACAAAUUAAUUUAGCUGCAGGCUGCAAAUCAUCUUCUACUUGAAAAAGUCUUUGGCAAAAUGAGGUUGAAGAAGUAUUGACUCUAGACAAUUUUGCAGGAAAAAAGAAUGAGAUUCAUGCUUGUUUGGCCACAACUCUAGCAAUGGCAGUACAUCAUAUGAUGACACUUAGUAGUUAUUCUAGAGUGCUAACUUUGUUACGCUUUUGGGCUUUGAAAAAAAAAACCAUCACUGCCUGAAUUCCAAUAUAAGUAAAUUUUUUAAUCUAUUACAAACUUGGAUUGGAUAUAAUGGAUAAGUACUAACUAGGUCUACUCAAAUUUCCAACCCAGGCCUAAGGCCAUUAUCCUAUCUUUACUGUAAUCUGAUUUUUGACAAAAGAAAAACUAUUACAACUAUUCCUAGUAAAAUGUUGGGUUUAUCUUUAACAAAAUUUUCAUGUACUUUGAACAACAAGCCACAGUAUAUAUGAAGAAUAUAAGGCCUUGUAUAGUUGCCUUGGGCUUUUUCUAUUUCAAAAUUUUUGUAUAUUAUAUUUUCAUUUUCUGUUUAAUCUGGAUAAACAUGUACUCAAGUUCUUAGUGCGAUAUAUUUUGUGGAACACACUACAUUAUCCAUAUGCUAUUUGUUCUGUCUAAAGGAAAAAAUUUUGAAAUUUUUUCCACUUUUAUUAGAAAAGUCCAAAAGAAGUAAUCACAAUUAGCUCAUGACAGAACACAAAUUCAAAAGUGAUUGUAUGUUAUCCUUCUGUAAUAAAUAAUGGUUCAAGGGGGAAAACAAAUCCAACAAGUAAAAGAGACAGGUUUGAUGGUAAAUUAAGUGGGUUUUGCCCAGCAUCAUAUCCACGAAGGGGUUCAAGCUCAGUGAGAUUGAAAGGAAUGGAUCAUUUCAUGGGGUUUGGCUUAGCUGCAGGUUCAUAAGGAAACUCCCCCCCCCCCUCUCUUCAAUCGCAUUCCAAGCAAAAGGAGAGAGCACAAACCAUUCAAUUGAUGCAAAAGUUAAAACUAGACAUGUCUAACGAUACAAAACUUUACUGCUUGCUCUAUAAGGUGAAAAAGGAUCACAAACAACAGAGCAAAAGAUGUUAGCUAAUACAGCAUGGGAACCUUCAUGGCCAUAGCAUCUCAGAACUGUGGUUAAUUCCAAUAGAUAGGCUUUUAGAUGGUAUAUAUGAACAACUAGCAACACUUUCUGUUAUGUAGACCAUAGGCAAAAGCUAACUCUAUAUUCAAUCUUAAGACUCAAACCAUCAACAUCUAAGGUAGUAAACAAUUGAUGUGUUGCAUGAUUUCAUUUCAAAAUGCCAUAACUGGAGAUGAAGUAAAUGUUAACAUGGAGAACAUGGAGAGUUUAAACUCAAACAGAUUGGCUUAUAAACACGGGAAGAAAUUUUAAAACUGGUGUGAUUAAACUCAAAAAAAUGCCUCACAAAGACCAAAACGUUUUUUCAGAAAUUUAUGAGAUUGGGCUCGUGAGAAGGUUAAAAUUGCAAGGUUUAACUCAACAAGUUGGGAAUGAACUAAAAAGGAAUUCUUUCGGAAAGGAGAAGAAAGCGGUUAAAUAAUUGCAGUAUCCAACUUUUGCGUUAAGUUCAUUUGAUUAACCAGACAGAUGCAAAUAUCUAGAUAGCUGAAGGUUGUCUAGGAAACUGCAUAUGCUUGUAUUAGUCUAGUAGAUCUAGUAGAUAGAUGAACGGUUAGACAACCAUACAAAAUGGUCACGGUGUUUGAAGUGCAUACAUCUAUAUAAAAACCAACAAGGUCAUGUGACAUGAUGUAACAGAGAGUAGUGAACUUACCCCGGGAUAAUGUCGUAAAACUGGAGAGUAGUGAUCUAGGGCUAUGUAUAUCUUCUCAAGCAAGUUGUGAAACUUAUCCACCUUAUCACCCAAAAGAUCAACCUGAAUUGCAGCAGAGUACUAAGUUAAGAAGCGCAAAUGGAGGACCACAAUAUACAUCUAGAUUAGGGUCUAAAAGUUCCUAACAACCAAACAUUGUGUUUCCUUACUGUAGGAUCUAAUAUCUUCUUACUCACUGCUCCCAUAAUCUAAACCAAUGCCAUAAAUAUGGCUUAUUCCCAAUGCUGAACAUUAUACUAAGAUCCUCCUCAGUCUUGCUCUCAACUUUAUUUUCAAGACACCACAUCUUUGAUGCUUGUCAAUUAUCAGAAGAACCAAGGACAAAUUACUGCACUAAUAUUCUGGAUGUAGCAUGAAAGGAGUAACUAUAUUAUGUACAUAAACACUUUGCUGUUUGUUUCUUGAUAAUAAACGCACCAUUUCAAUUAGCACUAUCAACCAAGUCAUAGGGCAAAAGACGGAGAAAUAUCAACUAAGAACAAUAUCCUUCUCAAAUACCAUAAAAGGCCCUAUCUCUACUUAGGUACUUCUGGUCCAUUCUACAAGUUAUUGUAUCUUUCUAAUGUGGACACACACAUCAAUCAACCAUUAACUAGCAUCUUAUGCAUGAUUCAAUAAUCAAGUUCCUCUGUUAUCAAAAAAUACAAUAUCAGAAUUUACUCAUAAUUGAUUGAUUUACCAAAUUUUCUCAGUUCACCAUCCAUAUAAAAAUGCACCAACUAGUACUCAUUUGACAUGAUGAGCAGACAAAACCUUGUAUACAGGGCAACAAAAGAGCAUAAUUAAUAACCUCAGCCUCAGCCUUUUGAAGAUGUGCACGUUUCCUCUCAAGCCUCUGCUGAUACAUGCGCCCUGUCCUUUUAAGCGAGUUAGCUUUCUUGACCAGAGAAUUCAAUUGAGAAGAUGAAUCUUCGACCCUGAGAGGAUAAAGGAAGAUUUCAAUUGUACAUGAACUCGAUUGCUCAUUAAGACUAAUCUGCAUCAGAGGAAUACUUUUGUUGUAAGUAGUUGUAAGCAGGGGCCAAUAAGGAUUAAAAGCUCCAUUUUAAGUCAAAGCACUUGACUAAUGUUUGACCAUAUCCAACAAAGAUCACAUAACAGCACCCAUGCCAAGUCCUGUGGACACCUGUUCUUUGGGGUUCCCUUACUCUUAUUACCAAUGACUAAUCUGUUCAACUCAUAAUUACUUUAAUAGAAAAGCAAUUCCGGUUGGGGUCAGGUGAACCUUGUUGUUUAUGAUGUCAAGAAUGCAAUUGAUGCUAGUUAAUGGAACUUAUUCCUAAGAGACAAGGAUAUUAGAGAUGCACAUCCAUCCUCAAGCAGGGACAAACACACAUAACACACAAGCGUGAAUGCAUAAAGCCUUAGAGUUUCAAAAUGAACUCACUACAACUUCAAACAAUGCAAAAUAAGCACUAGAUAAUAGCAAACUAGUAGUUUUUUAAACAAACUCCAACCGAUUACUGUGCUCAUGAAAUAAAAAAAAUGAAAAAACCUAGCAGAAUAUAUGUACCUCAGGCUAUUUGCUUUCAUUUUCCCUGUUACUUUGCAUUCAAAAUCAGCAAGCAUCUUCAACAGCCCUUGGACAUCAACAAUUACCGCUUCCAUCUGUUCCCUUUCUUUAGAUUUCAUCAGUAAGAAACUUGCAUGCUUUGCUUGGUUUAGAGCAAGUUCCAUCUUUCUUUGGUUGUCAGCCUCCUCUAAAUCCUGAUAUGCUUCUUUGAGUUUUUUAUUCAAUAUCUGGAUUUUCACUUUAUCUGCUUCAAUUUGUGAUGAUGCUUCUGCCAAUUGGUCCCUUACCAAUUCCAAUUCAUUAGUUCUCUGAGAAACUAGUAGUUUCUGCUGACUUGCAUCUGUUCUAAGCUCUAGAGUAGCUAACUCAAACCGCUCUCUCUCUUUUGAAAUGUCCAUUGCAAACUUCUCUUUCUCUUGCACUGACACUGCUAAUUCUUGCUUCAGUCUUUCGUGAUGUUCAGCCUCUGAUUUCAAUUGAUUAUCUUUUUCCACAGCCUUCACCUCAAGAGAUCUUAGACUUUGACUUUCUGUCAAAUAUUUCCCAUACCAUGUAUUGAGUUCUUCAACAGCAUUCUUAAGAGAUUCUCUAAGUAAUACAUCAAAGAUUCCUUGUGCAAUUAAUGACUCUAAUUCAGAAUCUUCAAAUUCAAAUGUUGGUGCAACUUCAGCUUUGGCAACAACUCCCUUCAAAACAAUAUCAUAAACCUGCUGCGUUAUUAAAUACUUCAGGUCUGAUUCUUCAGUUGCACAUUUCAUGCAUCUUGCUAUCUCACUUACAACACAUUUAUAUAUAUCUUCAAUAACUGCAGCUUCUAUAUGUGCAUCUUCCAAAGCAGAGUUGGCCUCAACUAUUGAAUGCUCCAACCUUUUUUCAGCAGCAUCAGCAACUUGGGAUGACAGAAGCUUCACCUCAUUUUUCCUGUCUCUAAGUGAGUCUUUUAGUUGAUGAUUUCCAGAGAGCAGGCCAAGAGGUCUGUCUUUUAAAUCAUGGAAACUUCCAGUAUUACUAUUAGAUGCAGGUGGUUUUUCAUUUUCCUCAAGGAUGUCAUCCAAUUUCAGAAUAACUGCUGGGAUCCUUUUCCUUAAUAGAUCAAAUUCCUUAUCCUUCUUGUGUGGCAAACAGGAACCCCUUUCUUUAAGGUAUUCCCUUUUUAGACUAUAAUAAUCCUCAGUCAGCUGAUGCACAGUUGAUUCAUGGUCUCUCCUCAACUUUGUUAUGAUGUUAUUGAAAUGAGCCACCAGUUCUUCCUUGUUCAGGUGUUUCAGUUGAACUGCUUCAUAGUUCUCGGGCACAUCUGUUGUAGAACCCUCUAACUUAAGGUAUUCCCUUUUUAGACUAUAAUAAUCCUCAGUCAGCUGAUGCACAGUUGAUUCAUGGUCUCUCCUCAACUUUGUUAUGAUGUUAUUGAAAUGAGCCACCAGUUCUUCCUUGUUCAGGUGUUUCAGUUGAACUGCUUCAUAGUUCUCGGGCACAUCUGUUGUAGAACCCUCUAACUUUCCAUUUCCAUCCCAAAGAGAUGAUGAGGAAUUAAUGUGGUUGCUCAAGGCCCUGCGGUGGAAAUGAUCUGCAUCAUGAGAUCCAUGGGAUGAUAGUUGCUCUGUUUCUGAAUGGGACAAUGACUUUAACAUGGCAGCUAGCUCCUUGCGUACAUCAGAAAUUUGACUGAACUUUUCGAUCCAAUCAACACUUUGACUGCCACUUAACAGAGCACUUUCACUCCAGAGUUUUUGCUCAAACUCUUCCUGAAUAGUCUGAAUUGAACUGUGCAUGACCAUAUUCUCAAGUUCUUCUUGCAAGUCUCUCUCCCAAUGCCACUGACUAAGUGUUGACUUGGACAACCUUAACAUGUCAUAUGCCUGAUAACAGAUGUUUUCUAGUGUCAUCGUCAAAGUGUCUAACAUCCUAUCUACAUCAACCCAGCUUUCAGAUUCCUUCUCCCACAGAAUACCACCUAGUCCUACCAACUCUGAACCAGAAUUAAUGCUCUUAAUUGAACUACAGCCUCCAGCACCAACAAUUCCCUUCUCAAGGUUCUUAAAUUGCUCUCUUACUAUACUACUUAGGCCUUUCAAGGACUCCCCCAUCUUAUCAUGCACUGAGCAAGCCUCCUCAAAAGUCACACCCCUCCCACUACGAAUACUUUCCAGCUGAUCCUCUAUCAUGGAUGGCCCAAAAGACUCAAUAGCGUCAAAAUCCACAUUAUGAAAUUUCAAAAUCUCCUCCAUGUUGGCCACCUUGAGUUCUUUUGCCGCAAUUUUCUCAGCUGCCUCUUGCUCCACCGCAUUCACCAUUCCCUUAAUAACAGAGUCACUAACCAUCCGUGAAAUCAUCAGUCGGUCAUCGAUAUCAUCCAAAUAAGUAUCCAAAUCCACCAACAGCUCAUCCUCCAAAUUCUCCCCUACAUUUUCACCAAGCCCCGCUUGCUCCCCCUCAUCCCCAUCCAAUCCACUCACAUUCCCUUCUUCCACUCUCUCACCCUCCAUCAACUCUUGACUCUCCAUUCCUUAUCCAACCUAAAAUAAAUUUAGAAAAGGAAAAAUAAAAAAAAAUUUAAGCACUUAUAAGCUUCAAUAUGCUUUAUCAAAAAUCUUAAGAUUAAGCUAAAAAUAUAAUAAGGCAAAAGUGAAAAAAUUAGAAAAGAAAUUUAAAUAAAUUUAACUCUUGACUCUCCACUCCUUAUCCAACCUAAAACAAGUUUAGAAAAGGAAAAAGAAGAAAAAAGAAGAAAUUUAAGCACUUACAAGCUUCAACAUGCUUGAUCAAAAAUCUUAAGAUUAAGCAAAAAAUACAAUAAGGCAAAAGUGAAAAAGAAAAAAGAGUUGUUUCCUCUUAGCUCAAGUUCUAAUGCCUAAUUUAGCUCAACUUUGUACCGGAUGUACCAAAUUUAAAUGAACUAAACACAAAAUUACAGUUAAAAAAAACCAAAUAAGAAGUUCAAAUGUAACAAAACUUAUGCAACAAAUGCAAAACAAAAAAAGAAAAACUUAAAAGAAAUGAAGAGGGCUGCUCCUUCUUAAACCUUAUUCAAAUAAAAAUCAGAACUUUAUCCAAAAUUAACGGUCAAGAAAGCAUUUGAACCCAACCUUACCGUUAAAAAAAUGUGGGUUUUGCUCUCUGGCAACAGCUUUCAAGUGGGUUUCUUUUACUUCUGCAAGUUGUUAGGGUUUUUGAGGGAUUUACUGCGUGUUUGUAUGUGUGUUUGCGGGAAGCUGUUCGAGGUUAGACUGAGCGGGAGAGAGAGAGAGAGAGAGGGCUGUGAAAGAACCUUUAAUAGCUAGUUUGGGAGUUCAGAAUAGGAAGGAAAAGAAGAGAAAAGAAAGGAAGGGAAAAAAAGGAAAACAUGUUUUAAUGUUGUUUGGAAAUUUAAAUAAAAAAUGAGAUGAUUUGAAAUAUAUAAACGUUAAUAAAAAUUUGUUCAAUAUAUAUUUAAAAAUAAAAUAGAUAUUUUAAAAUAUUUUGUUAGACUUCCUCAACAUUCCUUUGCUUUUCGAUCACAUUUGGGCGGAAAAGUAUAUCAAUAAAAGCAACAACAUACUCUCCAUCCAAAUUCUUUGAUUUCUUUUCUUUUCUUUUGUAUCUCUCGAAAAUUCCCAAAUGACAGAAAGAAAGCCUUUUGUUCUUCUUUUCUUUCUUUUCUUAUCAAAUCCAAUCUUCCAAGACCACAUUAAAAAGAGGGGUACUAAGUUACUAAUCCUCUCCACAGGAUGACCAUCAUAAUUCAUAAGAAUAUUUAUGACAUGAUUUUUAUUUAUUAAAUUAUAUGAUAAAAUAAAUAAUAUGAGUGUUAUUAACAAAAAAAAAAGUGGAAUUUUAUUAAGAUUUUCCAUGAUUAAGGUUGUUGUUUGUUUAAAAAUUUUGUUAAGCAAUCAUGGAAGCUCAUAAUUGCAUUGAUGGGCCCGCUCGAAAGCUUCCAAAACCAUAAAGUGAAAAUUUCCCACCGAGUUAAGUAAUAAGCAUUUACUAUAAGCAGACGCGUUUUGCUUUCCAAUUGAUUGUGACCACUGAUUGAUGGAGAUUUAUUAAAUGUUGGUGGUUGCUUCUUUUCUUCUCCUUUCUUUUUCCAAAAGAUCCUUAGGAUGGUUGAGAAAGUAUUUUAGAAUCUUAACAUUGGUAACUUUCAUUUUCAUCAGAGGAUUUUUUUUCUUUUUUUUUUUCUUUAAAUAAAGAGUAUCAACAGUGGCACUUCACUUAUCCGCUCAGGAUUUUGAACAUUGUAGGAUAAUAAAAUAGUAUUAGGUAUGUUAAGAGCUGACUAACCUCACCUUUCAUUGAAGUUCAUCUUAAUUAUCGAGUUUGGUUAAAGGUUAUUAUUUCAAAGCUAGAAUGUAAUUUUAGGUAGCUUGUUAGCCAAACUAAUAUUGCAUCAUAUGAAUUGUUGAUCCUUCCUCUUUAAAAAAAAAAAAAAGAAAAAAAAAUCUGCUUUAUGAAUGCCAAGUACUUGGGAUUAAUAGCCACUGGCCAUUUGGUCCAGUGGUCAUCACCAUUAAAGGUGAUGUUGGAGGUCAGGGGUUCAAUUCCUGACUCCCACAAAUUUGUCACAAUUUGUGGCGGUCUUAAUUGAUGUUCAUCGAUAGAGUCUGUACUCACAUCGAACCCCCUCCCCUUCCCUUUAGACUAGGCUAGAUUAGAUUAUAGGACAUCUAUCGUUGCGACAAAAAAAAAAAAAAAUACUUGGGAUUAAUAAAGUCUCCACUUUGCACCUUCAAUUUUUUUUAUUCAAUACUUACUUGGCAAAGACUUAUAUAGAUUUGGUCCGUCACUUAAAAAUAGACCCUGCAAAAAUAAAUAAGGCAUGUCGCCCCUUUUACUUUACAAAUCUUCAGGCUUUUCGACAAAAAAAAAAAACGACGUGGCGAGUUUUCGGCUACAUGGUCCACAGCCUAGGCGGUAGACUGGGUCUACCCAAAGUAUUUGCCUACUUGGUAACUUUACACCUCAUUCUCUUGAUUUUGGAAAGUUUGUCCACUAGUAGCCACCUUGUCUACUUGGAAAGUUUGUCCCAAAGCAUUUGCCUUGUCAGUGACUUGACACCCUAUUCUUUUGAUUUUGGAUGAUUUAUAUGUUAUGUUGAUAAAUGUGUAAUAUUCUCAUUUUUAUUGGCUAAAUUUGCAAUGCACAUACUAAGUUUAAGGGCUUAAAAUUUAGAUUUGGAGUUGAUUUAAAGCCUAAUUAACGUAAUUUUUCACACAUUUGUUCUAUGCAAACUCUUGACCCGUGUUUCUUCCAACUCGAACACAUAUUUCUUCUUCCGCCAAACCCUACAAAAAUCAAGCAUUUAACACAAACUCAAUCAAUAUUCAAAAAGUAAAAAGGAUUUUUUUAAUAGGCGUCCAAUGGGCACUCAUUAAUAUAUUUAUAUCACACCUAACUUAUCAUAUGAAUUCACACACAAAUAAUUAUUAUACUAUCUUACAUUUAUAUAUUUCCCUAAUUAACGUUAUCUUUUCAAAAUAUGAACACUUGAAAUCCAUCUUAACAAUGUCCGACACCCGUUAGACAGGUCCAAUAAAAAAAAUUUGAACUUUUGUAUUUAGAAAUAAAAAAUAAAUAUAUUUUAAAAAAAGCGCUGAUGGGUCCGGCAAAUUAUUGCUUGGAACCCAACGCAGAUCGUUAAAAGGUUAUGAAAGUUAAGCUAUACUUGGUUAGAGGAGGCCCAGUAGACUUUCAAUUGGAUCCGUAGGCUGAAGUUGUCCUUAUUCACGGGUCGAACAAGUGAAUUGGUUUGAAGCAAUUGGUCCACCAAAAAACUAUUCAACACUGACCCGACUGAUGAAAUAUUUGCACAUUUUGGUCAUGCAUGAAAUUUGCUAAAUCAAGCAAGCAAAUACUACUUGGAUAAGUUUGGUUUUAUUGACCAAUAUACACUGAAUAAGGCACAAAUGCUAAUGCUAGUUUAAAGCACCUAAUAUAUAAGAUUAGGUUUACCCAAAUAUUUUCCUAUCAACUAACUAGACAUGGUAUUCCAUUGUGUUAAGAUUAGUUAUACAAUUGGUGCUCAAGCUUUGAGCAGCUUUCAAGAUAUGGAAUGGGUCUAUCCUAUUCCAUUGUGCUAAAGAUGCACAAAUUGUAUAGUGAUUAUUGAGUCUUUGCUCAGAUUGUACGUACUUUUGACAUAAUCAAUACAAUUUAUCGUUUCGAAAAAAAAAAUUAUAAGUGGUAUUCCACCAUUUGAGUAGUCUUUCUAUACUUACGUAAUCUUGAAGCAAACACAUUGAUGAUUUAGUAUUGAUCUCUUGUUUAAUGUCAGAGGAUUAGUAGUAAAUUAUCGGUGCAUGUUUCAUUCUAGAUUGAAAUCAAGUUGGUUUAUUAUGUGACACUUAACAAUUUGUCUAAUCUCUUGGCUUGCACUACAUUGAUAAGAUUGUAUUACCAAUUUUACAUUUUUUUUGGGGGUGAGAAAAAGGUUGUGGCAUUGAUCUUGGUCUUUGACAAUUUUAAGGGGGUAUUUUGCAAAUAUAGUACUAGAAGACUUCAAACUUGCGUGGAAUUGAUAAACAUGUAGACGCAUUUUAUUCGUGGAAUACUUUCAUCAUAGCUAAUUGAAUAAAUUCUAACACACCAGUGUUUUUUUUUUUUUUUUUGUCUAAGAGUGGACACUCGUUAACAUGAGAUUCAGGUGUUAAUUUUUUUUUUUUAAAAAAAAGAAUUAAGUUAAAUAAGCCAAGUAUUUAAAUGCAAGGGAAAAAGGGUAAUAACUAUAAAUUUUUGCAUGCAUAUCAUAAAUUCGGUGCAGAUCGUGUGUAUCAAUAAGUGGUCACUUGGUAUACCUUAAAACAUUAUGGUUUUUUUUUUCCUAUUAGAAUUGGAAUCAUGAUGAUGAUGGAAGGAUAUUUAUUUUCGUGACUUUAUAUACCACCUUGGUUAAAAUUGGAAACAUUAAAGUUUCAGAAUUGUUUUGUAGAAACGUUAAAACCUGCUUUAGAGCAGUAUCUAAACUUUGAGAACACAAAUCACAAUUCUCUCUUAAUUAUUACCUCAAAACUUACGCUACUUCAAUUGCUAUCUAAUUUCCACCCUUGCAUUUCACUUCCCAAAAUUUAUAUACUUUUUUAACCAAAUUAAUAUUGAGAUCACGAAUUAAAUUUCAUCCUUCGCAACAGAAUACUUAAAUCCUCCACAAACAUCGGGCCAGAAAAUGUCUGAAAUAUUCAUUUGGAGGAUUCUUUUCUCAUACUGGCUUCCAUUAGAUCCUUGCAUGUGUAAUUAAUUGGGCUCUCAAAAUAUGUUCAUCAGAUUCAUCUGGUGUAAAUAUGUAUCAAAAGCAUCGUGGAUGUGAUGAACACGUACCCGCCCCAAGUUGCAAAUCUUGGGUCCGCUAUUAUUUUGAGGACACUCAUCUUUGAUCAACAAUCUCAUUUUCAUAUGCUUCUCUUUCAUGGUUCAUUAAUUAAUUAACUUACCAUACAAAAUUGAGUAUUUAUUGUGCUUAAAUACUCAAUUUUGCAUAGGACAUUAGUCAGGCGACCAUGAUGUUCUUAGUUCGACUUUCAAAUCAUCUUCUUUUCCUUUUUCGAUUGUAAGGUUUGGAAUCUCACAUUAGAUAAAAGAAAUGUAUUUAAAUUUUCUCGCUUUUAUUUUUUAGGCAAUUGAGAUAGUAGAUGGAAUCAGAAGAGAGGAAUUUCAAGGGAUUAGAUAUGCUUGGAUAACGAUGAAGAAAAGAAAAAUUAGAGCACAAAAAAAGGAGGGAAAAAGAAAACAAGAAUCUGGUUUAUCGGCUUGGAACUUUUUUCGUGUAUAAAAACUUUGGUGUUUUUGGCAAUUCCUAAGAAGGUCAAUGCCAAAGGAUAGGAGAGAAAUUAUACUUUAGACUUUACUAUAUACUACCUAAUUUUGCCUGGAUUUAUGCCCUACUCCAUAUAGUUUAGUUUUGUACCUAAUUCAGACUGUUUUUUUUGCCUUAAUCCAUAAGCUAGAAAGAGUUGACAGACGAAUUUCCCAGAAAAGAAUCAAAAGGCUACUUUUGAAAUUGGAGCAUAUAAUUCGUGGAAAUUGUUAAAUUGGCACAAUCAAAGGGCUACUUGUACAGCUCUUACUAAAACUUGAAAUAAUGGUGCCAAAAGAAUUGUAAAAUUUCAAUUAAAACUUAAAAAACCAAAAAAAAAAAAAUUGCCACAAAAUUUAAAGGCCAUAGCAUGAAUUAAUCAUGACAAAUGUUUGAUUUUCUUCAUUUGGCAGAGCCUAAUGUUAUGAGCUUUCUUUUGUGCCCUUUUCCCAUCUCUUUGGAAACAGUAAAUCUACUUUGUCUUUCAUUUCCCUGUGUCUACUACCUAUGAACAUGUAUCACACUCUUCUUUAUGACAUCUUAUCAUCUCUUUUCUUUUCCUCUUCUCUAAUCGCACAUAUAAAGUAAUUCUUUAAUUUUGAGAGGUUUGAAUUUUUUUUUUUAUUUUCCCCUCUUUAUUGGACAAAAGAAGCUGGUAAUGAUCCUGUGCUGGAAUACAAUAUACAAAUACACUAUACUGACUUCACCUUUGACUUAGGCUACUAGAUGAUUCAUGCCAUGACAAAAGUACAUAAUUGCAAGACGGCCAUCUAAUGAUGCCAUCCUUUGCCAUAAUGUUGAGGAUACAAGUAACUUUGAUCUUUUUCUUAACCAUCAAAACAUGUACCAAACUUAUCCAUGCCAUGCAAAAAAGUGCUACUUAUUGCUAAACAGCCAUCUAAUGAUGUGAUAUCUUGCCAUAAUGUCAAGGACAAAGCCAGCAAAACACGUAAAAAAUUAUUUGUUUAUUCAUCUAAGUGGCAGGUUAGAGUCAACCAGUUCAAUCUGCCCAUGUUAAUUAAUGGCACUGUUUCAUUGUUUGGUGAGUAAGACACUGCUAAAUCUCUGAAUUCAACCCAUAUUAAAUCAUAUAAAUGCCUGAUUUUCUUCAAUUGGCAGAACCUAAUUAAUGUGAUUGCUUUUCUCUUGUUUCUUUUUCCAUCUCUUUGGAAAUAGUAAGUCCAGUUUUUCUUCCUUUUCUUCAUGUCUAUUACUACAAUAAGAGGCAAAAAGAAAAGGGAAAAAAAAAGAAAAAGAACAUAUGUCACAGUCUCCCCAUAUCUUACUUACAUAUCUCUUUUCCUUUCCUCUUCCGAUUCUUCAUACAUACAAAUACUUAAAUUUUGGGGGGCUUGAAGUUUUCGUUUCUCUUCUUCUCUAUUACUCCAUAAAAAGUGCUAGUAACGAUAACACUCUUGAGCUGGGAUACAACAAUCACUUCACCUUCGACUUUGACUCUCAUGAUUCAUGCCAUGCAAAAAAUACUACAUAAAUGCUAGAGGGCAAUCUAAUGAUGUGAUUUCUUACCAUAACAUCAAGCACAAAACUAAAUUUGAUUUUGAUCUUCCUAAUUCCCAUCAAAACAUGUUAAAAUAUUGUUUGUUUAUUCUUGUAAGUCGCAGGUUAGGGUCAACCAGCAUAAUCAGCCCAUAUUGAAUAUGACAAGUUUUCAUUGCUUGAUGCAUAAGAAAUUGCAUAUAGCACGAAAUCGCUGAAAGCUGCCUCUCUUCUACUCCUCUUCUCAAGCUUAAUCCCUUAAUUUAUCUAAAGAAGUUGCAAACUUUUUCAUAUGAAGAUCUUCGGUCCAAUUAUCACUUGGUCAGUUGGUUUAUUUAUUUAUUUAUUUUUGGUUUUCUAAUAACUUAUCUGUUGUCAGUAUAAAGAAUGUCAACGAGUUAUGGUUGUUAGGUCCGAAAACCAUCCCUAUCAAUUUAAGCCCACAAGUUUUCACCAGGAUAAUUUGGCAGUUGAGGUGCAAUCAAAUCCUCCUUCACAUUCACACUGCUGUAUAAAACUAUGUCCACUGAAGUAUAUAACAAGAUUUCUCUGGAUUUGUUGUUGUCAGCUAGUUGGCUUCCGGUGCGGUUUUUCUUGACAAUAUUUAUUAACUUACAUAUGCUUUUGAAAAAAGAGAACGAGAAAAGGAAGAGUUUCUUAGCAAAUGAAAGUCAGCACCUGACAAAUGACAAUAACCAUUCUUGGAAAUAAUUCAUGAUUGAGAUCUUCUGAUUUGAAUUUUAUGUAGCAAGAAGAAAGUUGGAGUAAUCUAAAAUGUGCUUGGCUACAUAAAUGAAUAGUAUUUUUUUGUAAUUAUUUAGAGUUAUUUGUAUACAAUAUUCUGUGCAAUUGAUACUCACAAUUAUGCAGCAUUGAAUCCCAUGAAACCCUAAGUAUCAGGUCAUGUUGCCAAAAAUGUCUAUUUCUGUUUGAAACAUGGGUCAAUCCUUAGCUGAAAGAUGCCAUCAAAAAAGUGUAGGUUAACUAAAGUGGUUAGUAAUUGAGAUGGCAAUGCUUUAAUGUUGGUUUGAAUAAAAGAAACAAAAGACGGCAAUGGAUGACAAAUCACCCCUCUCGGCAGACACCAAUCCGAACAUUUAUUAGACCUGCAAAGCAACCAAAGAAUCCUCAAAUUAUUAUUAAAACCUUUGCAGGUAAUAGGAAAAGUUCAAAAGAAGAAAAUCUUGUCCAUAUUUAGGUCAUUGACGGUUUUGUUUUUGGAUUUUUUAAAAAUUAAUCUGAGUUAUUCAUUCAUUUUGUAUCUGAUAGCUCAUAAAAUUUCAUUAGAGAAAGCUUACCAACUAAACAUCAAAAUGGAUAAAUCAUCUUCAGAUUCUUACGUUGUGGCCUUGCUAGUAUAAUAGGUUCUUGGGGUUUACAGAUUUUGCUUUCAAUUAAUGUCUCUUCUCUUAAAACCUCAUAAUACAACUGGCAACUAACAACAGCUAUUUUGCAGACUUUAAUGUCGUUUGACAUCUUAAAACCAACAUCAUACACUUGUACCCUCUUCAUAUGCUUGUCGGUUUACAUUUUAUUACUUUCGAGUUGGUGAGGAUCAAUCAUUUGUUGGCACAUUAAAUUUCUUAAUUUGUGUAGAAGUAUGAAAAAAUAUUGAAAUUCCUUGUCUUGUGUACAAGCCAAAUACGUAAAAGGACAGCCGACUUGUCAUGCAUGGAGUUUGAUGCGUCUCCUCAUAUGUAUUCAUUAGUGCCCACCGUUAUCACAGUUGGAGAAUUGACAUUGGAUGAUUCGAAACGCCACCAUUCAUACAGAUGCGUAGAAGAAAAUGAACACUAUCAUUCAUAGAGUGUAGAAUGAUAAGUAUAGGCUACAACAAAGCAGUUUUUGGGGCAAAUUAAAAUUUAUUAUGAUUUAGUAAGCCGAAGUAGUCUUUUGCCAAAGUAGUUUUUGUUUGACAUUUUAAUUUUGACGGUUAGUUUUAACCAAAAAAAAUAAAGAUGAAAUUUUAGGCCAAAUUAUAAUAGGGUUGAGUAUAGAUUUUUAAGUUAAAAAAAUUAUGUAAUAAAAUGCUAAAUCAUAGAAGGGUUAAAGGUAAUUUGGCCUUAUUAAUUGUGCACUCCUUGAUUAAUUUGAUAGGUCUACUAUGAAAACAAAUAUGGAACUCUACACGAAAUCAUUUUAAAUUAUCUUAAAAAAAAGGAAAAAAACAAUGGAGGGCUUCGACUUUAUCUUCCUAAUUUUCCCCUCACUUCCAUUCCCCAAAAUAAAUAAAUAAAUGAAUGAAUAAAACGAAAAAAAGAAAAGAAAAGAAAUGGGAUAUCCCUUGAUGUAGAAGUAGCCUACACCAGCUAGAGAGAGUUUCCUACAUGUUUGGCUAACUAUAAAUAUUCAAUGAGCUAUACAUCCAGCAAAGCCAAAAGGACACGAAAAAGUAUGGCUUCUUCCCAUCCCAUUCACCAAGCUAAUGAAAACAGCCCCUAUGGAGAUCUUACAAGAGAGGAAUUCUACAAGAAACAUCAAAUACUUCAUAAAGAAAGCUUCAUGCUGAACAAGAAAAGCAUGAAGAUUUUCACUCAAUCAUGGCAGCCAGAUUCCACAGCUAGGCUAAAAGGGUUAGUGGGAAUGGUUCAUGGCUAUUCUUCAGAAAGCAGCUGGCUGUUUGAACUAAACGCAGUAGCCAUAGCCAAAGCUGGAUACUUCGUUUGUGCUCUUGACCUUGAGGGCCAUGGAUACUCCGAAGGCUUACCUGGUCAAAUCUCCAACUUUCAGUUUCUUGUCUCUGACUGCAUCCUCUUCUUCAAUUCAGCAAGAGCUGAGCAUCCAAAAUUGCCAGCUUUUCUAUAUGGAGAAUCAAUGGGAGGUGCAAUUGCCAUCCUCAUUGGCUUGGGGCAAAGAAAUGAAUGGAAUGGUAUAGUUUUGAGCGGUCCUAUGUGUGGAGUUUCGAAUAAGUUCAAACCAUUAUGGCCAUUGGAGAAACUUCUCCCAGUGGCUGCUUUUAUUGCACCUUCUUGGAGGAUAACUUUCAUGAAACCUCCAGCAAGAGGGUCUUACAAGGAGGCCUGGAAGAAGCAGCUGGUGGCCAAAAGUCCAAACCGGCCGAGCUCGGGAAGACCACCGGCUAUUACUGCUCAAGAGCUGAUGAAAACUUGCAGUUAUAUUCAGAGGAAAUGCCACGAAUUGGAGGUUCCUUUGCUAAUUUUGCAUGGGGAAGAUGACAGGAUUUGUGACCCUGAGGCUGCUAAAUUUGUGUUUGAGUCAGCAGCUAGCAAGGAUAAGACUUUGAAGAUUUUUCCUGGAAUGCGGCAUCAGUUAAUUGGAGAACCAAAUGAAAGUGUUGAGCUUAUUUUUGGUAUAGUAAUUUCUUGGAUUGAAGUGAGAGCUGAUUUGGUUCACGUAAAUUAGAUUAGGCUCACUCCUUCGAAAUUCCUAAAGUUCCCCUGAUUGAUGUAUUUCAAUAAUUUACGAUAUAGAAAGUCCAUGAGAAUUACCGUUAUCUUGUUUAUAGAAAGACACAGUGAAAAUGUAUAAGAGAUUACUAUACCUAUAAAUACAUAAUACCUAUAAGAUUAGGCUUAUGUUUUCACACAGACACUGUGAAAUUCAAAUGUUUAAAAUCUUGUCCAAUUAGCCUAUUCUUUUAUUCAGUUACUUUAAGCAAAUUAUGCUAGAAAUUAACCGUUUAGAUUGCUAUUUUUUGAAGUAUUUGUAGAAAAAUAUGUUAUAGUACUUUGUUAUAUGUGAAGUAAAAAGAUAUUUGAGAAAUAUGUUCGAAAAAAAAAUUUUGAAAAAAAAUGACAAUUCAAAUUUGUGAGAUCCCUGAGCUAAGCAGUUGCAGUACAUGGAGUAAAUCUUGAUACAGAAUUUAUUUGGUUUUCUGUCAAAGGCAUAUUCUUUUUCACUUUAAGGACAAAUAGUAUGACAUUGUCAUGAAUGUCGGUAUGCAAUUAAGCUUUCUUCUGACUUAAUAAAUGCAACGUUUCAGGUUAUCAUUUAUAUUUUUUAGUUUCAGAAGAAAAAUUGCUUCACUUGUGAUUUGUGAACGUGUAGAAUGAGUAGCUAGAGUCAGAGAGUAGUGAUUACUAAACUUGGACCAGACCGGUCACUUUGACCGGUUCGACCGAGAAUAGGCUGAUUGAAACACCAGCACUUCAUUGAAUUGGAAAACACCAGCACUUCAUUGACCCCUGUUUCUUGAUUGCAAAAGACCAGGAAGAAAAACAAUUUUAUUCUUUUUUUUUUUGGGUACUUUAGUUGAGUUACUACCCGUUUGAGAUUCAAAACACUGCUAAAUAGAGAAGCAAGAUCCAAGAAACUCUUCUCAUAGAGGAAGAAGUAGAAAUAUCAGUGGCAUGGCAGCCUCCGCAGCAGGGAUCUUUCAAAUUGAUUUCGGAUGCUAGCGUGGUAGGUGGCCGUGUGAGGGGUGGUGGGAUAGAUCGGGAUCAUCGUGGCUAAGUAGUAGUCGCUCAUUACGAGGAGUUUGGGGAGAUGGAGGUGUUACAGGCAGAGGCGCAAGCUUUUGUGUGUUGGAUUGGAAUUAUGUGUUGCAAGACAAAUUAAUGGGAUUGUUGCGGAAGUUUGAUUCUCAAUUGCUGCAACUGUUGUUUACUUCGUCCACGUUUUCUAGAUGGCCUUUGUGCAAUGUGAUUUCUAAAAGGGAUAAUUUCAGAAAUGCAGCCACCUCUCUCUUGAGAUUUGAAAAAUUAUGGGAACCUCCCCUAGAAAGUAUGUUUUGAUAACAAAUGGUGAUGUAAGUACAAAAAGUCUAAUGAAUAUCCUAUAUUGCCCCUAUUUGAUUUACAAAACAAAUUAAAUGACAAAAGAAAUCAAAUAUCAACAUUACUUGCCAAGCAAAAAAUUUUAAGGUAAUCUUUGCAGCAAAAUUUUGGCCAUGUUUCAAGACAUCAUUUUUUUUUUAUUUUUAAUGUUUGGACUUCUUUUAUUCUUUGCUAAGUAAGUUGUGAUGAAACUAAUUUUAACAAAUGCAUCCCUACCAGUCAGCUAUUUAUGAAACUAAACAAGAAAUCCAUUUAAAUGACCUAGAAACCUAAUAUAAUGUAUUAGGUGAGAUGAGGGUAGAACUUUUGGAUUAAGAAAUAUUUGAAAAAUAUGACGGUUUUCCUUUUCUUUACACCUACUUUUCAUUUAGGAUUUGUGGAGUCGUCAAAACUAUUAUAGUCUUUUCACAAUACCAAGGAAGAUAAGUGUAGUUUUUCAAAUCUCAAGCAAGGUGGCUGCAAUUGUCGUGAAUCUCAAAGGAGGUUUACGAUAAUUCUCAAAGGAGGUUUACGAAAUUAUCCCUUUCUAAACUAAAACACCAAUUGCAGAUUUUAAAUGGGUCUUCAUUUCACAAGACAUUUUCUCUUCCACUCUGUCCAGCAAUUACCAAAAAAAUGUAAAAUCAGUAGUACAACUAGAUAGUUUUAGUUUUCCUUAUCUGAGAAUUACAAAUGUAAGAGAGUUGUAGUCCUAGUUUGCUACUUUCAAUUGUACUGGAGGUUUUCCCCUCCUUCAAUUGCUUUUUAAUAGUUAUUUAAUAAAAUAAAAGCUGGCAUCCCUCCCCUGUGUACAGAUCUGCCAAAAAAAAAAAAAGGAAGAAAUAAAAAUAUAAAAGAUUUGAAGUUUGUAUAAAGGAUUUUUUCUAAUGAGCAUUUAAUUGACAUGGUUUAGUUUGAUUUAGACCCAAAUAUGAUUGCCAUUUAAAGAUCAAAGGCAUAGACCUCACAAUUAUAGUUCCCUUGCAUUUUGGCACUUUUUGGUUUAACUUAACUUCUUGCAAGAACUAACGCCUCAGGAAAAAACCCUGUCUACAAAGUUUAUUUUUCUUUUUUCUUCCUCAUUCUUUCAUUUAAAUAAAAGCUGUUGAUGAAUUCUCCAAAAGAAAAAAAAAAAAGAAAAAAAGGAUUAUCGAUUCAGUAAUAGCAGAACAUAUGUAAUCAAAUAGUACUAAUUAUUCCACUAAUUCCGAAAAGUUACAUGAAUUUGGUUUAUUGAAGAAAACUUAAUGGUCAAUUUUACCAACAAGAUCCAGUAUCAAAAAGGUGUUUCUGACAUGCAUCUGGUUUAUUGGAGGAAAAACUAAGGUUAUACCAUGCUUUAUGUUAAGAUUUAUUGUUAGAUAGAUCUUCCUGAUCUUUUUUGGCGGGUGGCCCGUAGUCUAACUAGUAUAAUACAGUAAUAAGUUUUCUCUUACUGUUUAACCAGAAGACACCUUAAUCUUUAGGGAUGGGCAAAAGAAAAUAAUCGCUGAGAUGCAGAACCUGUCCUGUUCCUUCUUAAAUUUGGAGUAUCUGUACUUUUUAAUCAAAGCAAAGGAGGAUUGGGUACCCAUAGACAUGUAGUGCAGGCUAAGGUUAGAGGGUUGAGAACCCGCGAGUAGUACCCGACUUGUGGCGUUUAUAUACACAGACAAAUUUUUGAGAAAUAACUAAGGUCCGAGUAAUUUUAUUUAGCAAAUUGCAUACUAAUUGUAAAAAACGAUAAUUUGUUUACAAGAUUCAAUUGUUCAUGCCAUCACCUUUUUUUUUUAAAAAAAAAAACAAAAUUUAGUUGAUCUAGAAUAUGUAAAAAAGGCAAUACUUAUCACACUUUAUAUUUUCAUGUGAAAUUUUUAUCUUGUUGAAUUAGUCAUAUCUAACGUUAAAACCUCAUGCUUAGAUUUGAAAGUAUUUGAUUAAGACAUUGAAGUUGAGGGACAACUUGAAAUUUUUAUUGCAUUAUCUUGGAGAUUGGAUCAUGAAUUUCGAUGUAAUAUAUUGUUCGCGGACACGUAACUUUAUUUUGGUAAGAUCUCUGUUGAUUGAUGAACAUGUGAAAUUGAAAAUAAAGUUGGUGUACCGUUCUUUAUUCAUUUUUUGAAUUAAAUUAUAGGAGGAACAAAAAUAGCAAAGAAAAUUAAAACAAUGAACAUAUUGGGGGAACCCUAGGAAUGCACAGCCAAUCAUGCUCCAAGAUAUAUUUCUUGAGAAUAAUUUUUUAAUACGCAUGGCAUUUCAUUCCUCAAACAUUUUGGGAUUAUAUAUAUAUAUAUAUAUAUAUAUAUAUAUAUAUAUAUAUAUAUAUAGAUUACUUGAAAAAAUCUGCCCUCUUCUCUCUUUCUUUCUUCAACAAUAAGAAAAGUUUUUGCAUCUUGAUCCACCUAAAAUUUAGUACUCUGUUUAAUGCUUUAAAAACAGACAGAAAAUAAUACAAUUAGUUUUGUAAAACUCCAAAAUAUGCAAAAAAUGGUCGAAUUCGAGUUUCAUUUAAACCUACUCCAAGUUUUGAGGACUAUUUAAGUUUUCUCAAAAUAAGCAACAACUUACUACUUAAGACUUUCCCUAAUUAUAUAUAGUCUCUGCAAUUUUCUUGCAAGCCAAACAAACGCGUUAAAAAAAACAGGAAAAUUAUUGGAGGAAUACUCUUUUUCUUUUUUCUUUCCCACAGAAUCCAACAAACACAAUCUUCAAUAAUGUUUCCAUAUUCUCUUGCCUAAAAUAAACAAUGAAGCUAGCUGGAGGUGGUUUUCUCAUUAUUCUGCAACUUAAUUUAGUUAUUAGGUUAUUAGAAAGCCCUGCUGCACAUAAAGUUGAAACACCAUCUCUUUCGACAAUUUCUUUGAAGUCGUCUGCAAGAUCUUGAGGUAAUUCAUAACUCACAAGUUACAUUAUUCUAUGUUGAUUAGGCUACUUUUCUCUUCAAUAGAGGUUUAAUGUUUUCAUAAACAAUCUUUUUUAUUUUAUUUUAUUUCACACUAAAACCUUGUUCGAGUAGAUGAUAAAAUUUAUUGCAGGAAUUAUACUGUCUGUUGCAAUCUCUUCCCUUGAUCUAUUUAUUGCAUAUGAGUUCUUUAUUUCUUUCUCUUGCUCUACUAUGAUCCCAGCUUGGUGUUGAUUUUUCUUUUCUUUCUUUUUUUUUCCCCCCUUGUUCUAAGCCUAAACUAACUUCAACUUUCUUUCCAAAAUUAACUUUGCCUUCUUAUGCUGAAUAUUUUUUUUGUGUAGCUUUUUUCAGGAAUUUUUACCUCCACAAUUUUCGAAAAGAGGUUAGUGAUUUGAGAUCAGUAUGAUCACAGUUGCAUACACACACUUCAGUACAUAUAUUUGCCUCCAUAAUUCACACCAUCUAACUUCCCCUUGCUUUACAUUCUUUGUGUGUGUUUUUUAGUUCUCUGCUGAAACUCUAAAAUCUUAAAGCUUUAUAGAACUGUUAUUAAAUGUAGGUCAUACAAAGAAAAUAGCAAUUAGAAGAAAGGCAAUGCUUGAUUUCACAUGAAGAACUACAUACAUUAAUGAAUUACUUCAUAGUUAAGCUACGAAUACAUCUCUCUACGAAGUAGAUUUGUAAUGUUUAGCUGUAAUAUGUAUCACUUAAAAGGUUAUCAUUAAGUUCAUUCAAAUGCAAUAUUAAACAUGAUUACUGGCCUUUAAUCCUCAGAAAAUACUUUCAUUUGGAAUUUUUAUCUGUGUUUCCAAUCAAACAAUGCUGUCACUUGCAGGUUUAACACUCAUCAUUUGCUGAAUUUUUCUCUUAAUUGUAAAAGAGUACUGAGAAGAUGAUUCUUAUUCUUAUUAACAAAUCCUAGUUUUGGAUUUUGAUCUCCUAAUCUUUUUUAUUGGAUUGGAAGUUUUAUCUAUGCCUCCAAUUAAAAAGUGCUGUCACUUAUAGAUUCAAAACUGAUCGUUUAUUUAAUUUGUCCCUUGACUCUUCUUCUUUCCACCCAACCAACCCUUCUGGUAAAAGAAUUUUGAGAUGAUGAUUCUUAUAUAUUCUUACUAACAAAACCUAGUUUAGUUUUGGAUUUUGAUGAUCUCUUAAUCUUUUUUAUUCAUGUUUUCAGCGGGUCAUACAUUUGAACCAUAACAUAGAAUUCUCAUCGAUGACAAAGACAACAAGCUCAAUUAUUGCAAGAAACCUUGCUUUUGUAUCAGCCAUCGUUGCAGCAAUUGUCAUGGCCACCAGUUCUGAGAAAAUUGAAACAGAUGAUUACAUAUUCAUAGCAAAAUUCAACUGCUGGAAUAGCUUCAAGCGAGCAAUUUUUUGUGUCUUUUUUUUUUUAUUUCAAUUGUGCUGUAUUAUAAUUUGGGUCUCACUUUGAAUUUUAAGAUAAAAAAUUGGCUUUUUUCUUGUUCUUUUUUUUUUUUCCCUUUAAUUGUCUAAAUGGAGAUAAUGCCAUGUAUCUAGGUACUUCUUUGCUGCAAAUGUCUUUGGAGGCCUUUAUAACCUUCUGGUACUUCUUCUUCCUUCUGGGAGUUUGCUUUGGCGCUCGGUGCUCGUCCUAGACAUGGUAUUUAAUCCUUUAAUUAUUGGCCUUAUUUUGAUUGCCUUCUUGUGAAAAGUCUUUGAUUCCUUGUUGUGAAAAAUCUUAAUAAAUUGUCAUGUAUGUUAUGGGAUUCUUCUAUUCCGUGCUUUAGUUGAAUGAAUAAAGGUAAAUCCAAUUUCACCUUUUUUUACGAAAAAAGUAUACACAAUUCAAGAACUAGAUUCAAUUAUAAAUAUUCAUAGUUUUUUUUUUUGGUGUAGUUAUAUAGAGUCCCUAGAACACAAAAAUCCUUAAUUUAUAUGCUAUGAUGUGAUUCAAUAACUCACUUAUAGGGGGACAAAUAACCCAAAAAGGGCAAAACUAAUACCAGCAUAGAGGGAAAUGACAUUUUGCAGUUAAGAUGAAAAUCCCUCAUAGUACUCAAUGUUCUCCAUAAAUCUAUUUAAUUAUUUUUUGUAUUGGAGCCCUCAUCACGGGUUCUAUUGGAUGCACGGUUAAUUUUCUUCUUCUUUGUUACUCUUUACAUGUGAUUGUAAAUCCCCUUCUGCUUCCUGAAUGAGCUUAAUUAACUAGGAAUAAGAAGUGUAUGGAACUUUUCAUCAUGAUCAAUCUUGUAUGGAACUUUGUUUUUUCUCGUAAGCUCACGAGUCAUAGGUGGAGAGAUUAAUUGUUAGGAAAAAAAAAAGAAAAGAAAAAAGAGGUCAGGGUCUUGCUCUUGUAGGUGGAUUUCUAUUGGAUAUUUCAGUUUUUUUUUCUUGUUUUAGCAGGGCAAAGAUGAGAUUUAAAAAGCAGGGAGGGAGAGGGGAUUUGAAUAUAAAACCUCUAACUUUUAGGAUUUCGACUUUAGCUACUAGACCAAUACUUCCUCAAUUAGUGGAUAUUUCAGCUAAAUAUAUCAAAUUCUAAAGAUUUUGAUUACAUGUAGUCGAGUUUUGUGCAUAUGGUCAACUUCUCAAUAGGAAUUUACUUGCUUUAUUUGAAUAAACUAGUUUUUGGCCCCCGCGCCCAGCGCGGGUAGCCCGUGACGAAGCCAGGGAGUUAAACUUAAUUUUCAAAUGAUUGCUGUAAUAUGAAAGGGUAUUACUACAAUUAAAAGUCAAACAAUAUUAGAAUAGCUCCAAGUGAACACAAAUACUGAAGUGUUAUCAGAGUUGAAUCUUAAAGCUUGUAUCAUAAUCACUUAUCACUUGCCGCAGGCAUGCUCUUCUUCUAGCUUAUUUAUCCACAAAAAAAAAAAUCAAAUCAGAUAAGCUGGGUAAAGGAAUUAAAAAAAAAAAUCCCUUGACAGGCGAUCAAAGUAAGAAUUCUUGUAAAUGUUUUUCUAAAAAAUAACUUGGAUGAAUAUUUGGUGCAAUAUUAGUGCGACAUUUAAGGAUAACAUUCCCUAAAGCAAUAAAUAAAAAUUAAGGAGAUUUGGUGUUUCCAUAAUGAAAAAAAAGAGAAAAAAUUAUUUUUCUUCACAUAUUUUUAAAGCUUUGCAAUUGUAACAUUAGAAGAAUUCAAUGUAGAUAGCCAAAAGAAGAAAGAAUGCGUUAGAUUUAUUAGAAAACAAAGGAAAGUCGGUCCAAAAGAAAAGGGCGCAUUUUUGGGCUUAUAGUAAAUCUUGCACUUGCUUAUACAAUAUGCAAGCGUUUAAUUGUUGAGCAUAUAAACCACAGAAAAAGAAUUCUAAAGAUAGGAUAAGAACUCAAGUCAAUUUGUUUUCAAAGUUUCAUUUGCAGUUUGUCUUAGAAGUGUUUGGAUAUGUUAAUACUAAUAUAACUAUGUUUUCAACCAUGUUAAUACUGUUUGUGCAAAGUAUUUAAAUACUUAAGAGAAAUGUUAGCGCAAGCCCUCCUUUAUGUUAUUAUACUUCAUGAAAUGCAGAAAAGUUUAUGCUGGAUUUGACAAAGUUGUGUUUUGAAAAUGUAGAUAACUUAGCAAUACAUAUUUUAAGAGAGUCUGAGAUUUACAAUAACGGUUGAAUAAGUUGAGAUUUAUAAGUCGUUUUAAGCUUAAAAACUUAACAAUGAUAUUUAUCACAUAUAUAAUUAAUUUGUAAGAUUAUCAAGAAAUAAUUUGCAAAUUUCAAUAAUAGAAAGGCUACAAGUGAACAUAAAUACUAAAGUCACAACCUAUUACCCUCAAUCUUAGUAAGUAUAGAACAUGCCUUGUGCUCUCCGCAACAUGCCUUGAACCACAAAUUCGAACCAUAGUUGACGAUUUAAAAUAAUUGUUUCUUUUUCAUUUUUCUUUCAAUUUAUCUAAUUUUUAAUAUUCAUUUUAAGAUUUAAAAUAAUUAUUGAUUCAAAACUAUUUAUGGAAGCAAAGAUAUGAUUUUUAUAAAAUAAUAAGCAAAAUUUUUUUUUUUUAUUGCUUCAGGGUUAAUAAAAUAAAAAUAUGUUUUUCUUUAAUGCAACAUGGCCUCAAUAAGGGCAUUUUCGGCAUUAAGGGGGUUUUUGUUAAAUGUUUGAUCAUUCAAAGGGUGAGACUGUUAUUUGGACAAAUUACAGGGAUUGAUUGGUAAUAUGAUCAAACGUCAGGGGAGGUAAAUGUAAUUAACCCAUAAGAGAAUGAUUGAUGGGAAGAUGAGCUGAAGAGUGAGACAACGAUGAAGAAAUGAGAGAAAAAAUGGGCAUUUCUGACUCCUCGGACUCAAUCCCAUCGGGUAAUCCCGAUAAGGUAAAGGAAAAGAACAAUAAAAGAGCACAAACAUGGUCAAAAUUAUAAGAAAGGCUAUCCAAACAUUAAUAAACGGACACACAAGUCUCCAAAUUUACGGGCAAAACCUGACCACUAAGGGCAUUAUAGAGAAAGAAAAUGUAAAGUCAAUAUCAGAAAAUUCAGGAGCCACAAAUUUGACCUUUAUGCCACAUUAGAAAGACCAAAAUACCCCAUGAAGUCAUUCGAAUUACCAUCGAAAUCGGUCACUGUAGCAAAUGGGCGUUGAUCCUUUUAUAUAUUUUAGAUUAGAUUAGAUGUUAAUAAUUAAUUAAUAAUAAUAAGGGAAAGACAUUCUCGUAGGCUAUUGUAAGCCAUUGAGGGGAAAAGCUCCUGUGUUGACUUUUCCUUUCCUUGGUAGCAAAUUGAAGUCCAGCCGCAAUUGUGGACUUGUAAAGGAAACAUUCUCGUAGGCUAUUGUAAGCCAUUGAGGGGAAAAGCUCCUGUGUUGACUUUUCCUUUCCUUGGUAGCAAAUUGAAGUCCAGCCGCAAUUGUGGACUUGUAAAUCUUUCCUUUCCCGCAGCUUGGAUCGAAUUGGCAGAGAGCAACACAUCAAUAAUUGGCAGAGAAAGAUCAAAAUACCCCAUGAAGUCAUCCGAAUUACGGUGGAAACCGGCCCAUGCUGCACUGUAGCAAAUGGGCGUUCCCCCUUUUAUAUAUUUAAGAUAAGAUAAGAUAAGAUAAGAUAUACACGUUCAAGCAUAUCCAUGAGCUUGGUUGAAUUUUGACCAAUAAUAAUUUGACCCUCGAGAAAAAUAUGUCAAACUAAAGGUGCAUUUGCAGCUUAGUUAUAUGUAUCCGUUUGCCUUGUAUUAUGUACGAGUUUUACCUGCAAAACCAAUUAUGCUUAUCUAUAAGUUGGUGUGCUAAAACAAUGAAAAGUAUAUAUAAAGUUUUAUCAUUUUAUUUUGUCUCUUUCUUACGUGCCUUGACAACAUAAUAAGUGGCUGGAACGUGUUUCAUAAAAUAACUUAUGCUCUUCCAUCUCUCUUCUUUUGCCUUUAUUCGUUUUAUUGCCAUAUAAUUCUAGAUAAUCCUUAUUCUCUUGCCAUUUUUUUUUCCUUAACCCUUAUCCUAUUCUAAUCUUCAAGCAUAAAUUUGUUGUGAGGAACAUUUGGAAUCAAAUCGACAGAAGAAGGAAUAUUUUUAGGGCCACCAUUUUCUGUGUACGGGACAUCGUCCAUUUUCAAGUUCUUCUUUUUGGUUAGCAUUUAGAGUAAUGAGGAAUUGAACAGAAUACUGAGUAACAGUCAUAUAAUUACUACGUGUCGGCUAAAUUAAUUAACCAAGUAUUUAACUUGGGUUGAAAUUCCCAGUAGGAUGUUGUUCUGCUGUGGGCUAAUUUCAAAAACCUCCACUGCUGUUUUUGAUAAUUUCACUUGCCUCUCUUCAACUUCUAGAAAUCUCAUAUACUUCCCUUAAUGGAGAAUUGGGACCCAUGGCUGAUAUAAUGCGUGGCAAAAUGACUUUUAUAUCCUUAGUAUUUAGUGAUAUUAACUAACAAUCCCUAAAAAAUUGCUAUUGGACUAUAUUUGAAGAAAAAAUGAAAGAAAAUUGGCCAAUUAUCUUCGGUAAAUUGGUGCGAAUUUCUCCUCACAAUUCAAAUGGCACACUUUUCUAAUAGUCAGUUAUGUACUAUUAGAAAAAAAGUGUCCUACAUCAUUUAAUUUUUUUAAGUUUUUUAUUUUGGCUUUUAUAUUUAGUUGAGUUACUUUGCAAAUUUAGAUGUUGGUUAGUCUAAUCAUCUAAAGUUUUGCUAAUACAUAUGCUACAUAUUUUUGAAAUUUACAGGCUUUUACUUUUGUUUGCCAAGUUUUAAUUCAUUUAAUAAUUUCUCAAAAUUAAUAAAUAGUUGCAACAAAUAGUUAGGGCAUCUUUGGCACCAAAUUACAUUUUUUUUCUCCAACAAUUUUUUUUCUAUUCAACCUUUUAAGAUUUGGGCUUACAUGUUACAUAAAAGUUCCAAAAAGGAGGGCUAAGUGAGAUUUUCAUAAGUUGAGAGAUUCAAGUGAAAUUGUUAGAAACCUCAUGGGAGGUUUCUAAAAUUAUCCCUUCUGUUAUUACCUGACCACUAAAGAAAGAGUUUAAUGCCAAUAUAAGCCAUUAACCCAAAAAAGUUUGUGGGAAAUCAAGUGGAAAUCCACAAGUUAUAGAUCCUCCUUUUUUCUCGUGAGCUUUUGUUUCAUUUCAUGGAUUUGGAUGUACGUAGACAAUCUAAUGAGCAAAGCACUUGUCCCAGUAUACCAAGUACCAUAUGUAAUACCUGUAACAAAUUACAUGGCAAUUGUAGAUGAUCUGAUACAAUUUUCGUGUUACACUAUGUUAUAAUAAGGUAAUCUUUUGUCCCAUAGACUCACUGAAUCAUGUGAAACUACAAAUACUAUCUAAAACAUGGCAUAACACAAAGGUGAAAGCUAAGAAUUAUAACAUAGGCGUUAUUAUCAUUUUACCCUCUUAAACUAUACUACUACUAUCAAUUUACCUCAUAUUAUUAUCUUUUAGUCACUUCACCCCAUAGGUAAUUCAACUCAGCAUGUUAACAAAUUCUAGACAAAAAUACCCUUUAUUUUAUAGCAUUGCUACAUUAUUAUUAUCACCUUAUCCCUUUAAAUAAUAGUGAUACAAUCGCUUUGCUCCCUAUUAUUAUUUUCUAGGCAUUUUACCCUAUCGCUAAUCUUACCAAUAUGUUCAAAAAUUUUUAAAUGUAUUUACCCUUUUUUAUAUAUAAUUAAAAAUAAAAAAUUUGGAAUGGUAAUUUUGCCUUUUUCUCAUUCUAAGAGUUCCAAAAACAUAAAAAUUAAAAUAUUUUCUCAAAUUUCUUUUUCACACUUAUUAAUACUAGAGAAAUAAAAAGAGAGAGGAGAGAAUGAAUUAGAAAAAUAGAUUUUGCAAAGAAAGAAAAUGAGGAAAAAUCUAAUAUUAUCGUAUUACUUUAAUGUCGUUGGGAUUAUGAUUGAAAUUGGGUAGUUAACAAAAAAGUAAAGUAAUUUUAAAACAAUAAAAAUAUUAAAUUCUUUCUUAUUAUAUUUUUUCAAAAAAGAAUUGGGCUCUCUCUCUCUCUCUCUCUCUCUCUCUUUGCCUCCUAUCUUUCUACUUUCUUUUCAAUGUUAAUAAGAUUGUCAAGAAGAAAGAGAUUAAUGUUUUGACGUUUUUUUUCUUGGUAUUAAAAAGGAGAAGAGCCGCUCUAAAUUUUUCAUUGUUUUUAUUAUACAAAGAGGAGGAUAUUUUUUCUAAAGCUUUUUAACUUACUAAAUUGAUUUAAUGGUGGGAUAAAUUCCUCAAAAAAUAACUCUAGGGGGGGUAAAUUGAUAAUAAGGCAAUUGUUUACAAGCAUAAAGUGAUAAUAAUUUUAAGAGCUAAUCAUGUCUUUUCACUUGAAUUAACAAACUCCGUUAAAUUUGACCGUUAGUUUUAGGAUUAAAGUGACUAAAAAAUAACACUAAAUGAAAAGUUAAUAGCGACACCAAACGUUAAAAGGGUAAAGUAAUAAUAACCCUAACAUAGGAGAUAAAACCUUUCUGUGGCAACCUGUCAAAUCUAUAGAAGAAGGAAUAUUUUAAGUCCAACAUUUACAGGGCUUAAUAUAAGCUAACUUUAAUCAUCAUUUUGUAAGCAGGCGACAUUGUCCAUUUUCAAGUUCUUCCUUGUUUGGUUAGCAUUUAAUAUCGAAUUAAACAGAAUACCCAGUAACACUCAAAUAAUUAUGGAGAAAAAUGAUGUAGAUCAUAUAUGUUUGAAAUCUUUUCCUUUUUCUUCCGAUUCAAAGAGUAUGCUGGGUAUCAUUUUCAUAGUUUCUGAAAUUUAACUCAACCAAACACAUGGGUACCAAUUAUCAACUCGAUAUAUGUUCAUACCUUCUAAUCAAAUGCAUCAGAGCAAUUAUAAGUAUGUCUUUUCUUUUUCCUUCUUUUUUAAAGGUUACUCCUAUGAUUCAACCAAUCUUUAUAUAAAUUAACCCCAAAAAAGUAUGUUUAAAACUAAUGCCCUUAAGUCUGUAUUAAUUCCUCCGAGUUCCCAUGCAGAUAAGUUUAAAGAAAAUUUUAUGAACCAUAAGAGAGAAUCAAGUUCACAAGGAAAUGCAAAGGGCAUCCCAAAACUAGCCUAAACUCUAGAAGUAAGUAGCUUUGCUGGAUUAGGUAUUCUGAAUUAGCUCAAAAGCUAGCCACUAAUGUCUAUUGCUAUUGGUUGAAGAUGGCCUGGGGUUUGGGGUUUAUUGUCAAUGGAGUCAGACCAAUCCGACUUCAGCAUGAUAAAAAGCUCGAUGAGUUUAAUUUUUUAUUGAGCUGGGUUGAGUUUAAGCCUAAAUAUUAUGUCCGAAUUAAAUAUGAACCGAAUUUAGACUUGAAAUCUGAUAUAGGUCCGACUCGUUAAUCUGUACCUAUAUAUAUAAUACUGAUAAGUGCAUUUGUUGUAUGUUUUUAGUAUAUUUUAUUAAUUAGUUUUGGUGGUGUGUUUUAUUUACUUUUAUAGCUAAUUAAUUAGGAUUCUAGUGAAAAUAUACAUUUUAUGAUUUAAGUAUGAACAAUUGCAUUUCUAUGAAUUUUAAUGGUAAAAACUUCAUGUUUUUGUAGGUUUAAUGAUUCAAUCAUCAAAUGGAGUGAAUUGAGAAGAUAAUUGGAUGGUUUUUUAUGAUUUGAAGUGGUUUUAAAGAUAAUAUGAAGUGCAAGAGAUGAAAUGCAAUUAAGGCAAUUUUUCAGCUUUGAUACCUGUUGGUAUUUCGGCUAUAUCUUGAACUACAAGUAUCAAAUUGAGGUGAUUCUUAUGCUAUUUUGAGGCUAACACAUAGCUCUAUAUUUGUUAUGGAAACAUCGAAAUCCAGUUCAUGAGUUUUCCAAGUCAAAAUAUAGUCGGUCAUUUCUGUUGUCGAAAGCUGAAACAGGAUUCUGACUAGUUAAGAGUAUUUUGGUAAUUUUUCAGUCUACAGAGCUCUAAAUUGGAUGAUUCUUUAGUCAUUGGAAAGCUAACUCAAAGGGUUACAACUUUUAUGUUUUGUACAAGACCUAAUUCAGCCUCCAACAUUGAGAAAAUAUCGGUUGAAAUUGGUACCCAAAUAGAGUAAGGAUGAACACUGACCAAAAACGAGUUAGGUCGCGUUUUCAAGGCUGCAUAUUCUUGUUUUGCGGCUGCAACUUGCUUUGCAACUUGUGCUCUGUUCAUACAAGUUUUUUGACCAACUUUUUUGCAAGAAAUCCGACUGGAGAUGUGCAAGCAAGUCAGGAAUUUUGUAAAAAUAACUUUUGAGCGUUUCAAGAGCCAACUUUGCCAACCAGAAACAACUCAUUUGUGGCUUGAAUCUCUCUAUAAAUAGAGGUAUUGGAGAACAUUUUGAUAACUUUGGAAAGCUAGAGAAACUUCACAAAAAUGUAGUCUUCACUAGUUUUUCUUAGUUCAUUAGUAUAGUAUAGUUAGUGUAGUUUAUCCUUCUUGUAUUUAUAGUUAGAUUUAGAUGAAGAUUUGAGAAACAAAGAUGGGGAGAUGUAUCUCAUGUGACAAGGGUGACUUCUCUCCUAUCACUUUCUCUUUUGUAUUUAAGUUCAUAUUUAACUAUAAUACAAGUUUGGAUCUUUUUCUUCAUGUUUAGUUAAAGUUUAUGUUUAAGUUAUGGAUGAACUUGUUAUAUCUUGUUAGUGAUAUUUACUUGGUUAUUUAAUGAUAUUAUUUUGAGCAAGUUAUUUAUCACUUUUGCUUUUCUAAUCAUGAUUAACCGACCAUUAAUUAUGAUAAUCUUAAGGAGUUAAGUUUGUAAUGAAAAUUGGGAUUUAAUACUAGUUCAACGAAGUGAUAAACUUAGAGAGUACACUCACGAGAGUAGAGGUGCAUCUUUGUAGUUUUAGUGACUUGUUUCAUGUAAUUUCAUAGAAGAAAUGAGUUUGUAGUUAAUUUCAUAACCAUGAGAGUAGGUAUGGUUUAAUUACAAUUAUAGUUGAUUCACUACGAGAGUAGGUUUCACAUACAUUAGGAAAUUACACCAUAACUAGACAAGAUAAUAACAUUCACUUAAUCGGUAAUUUUAUUUGCAAGAGUAGUGAGGAAUUCCAUACCUCUAGGAGUUUUAUAUUGCUAUUUUUAUUAAUUUUAUUUCAUGUUUGUAAUGUAGAUUUAAUAUUUUGUACUUAUGAUAGUCUAAAUAAUAAAGGAAUUUGAAAAACAUCGAUAAUUGACAUUCUUCCCUGCGGAUUCAACCCUUAAUACCCUAUAUUCACUUUCGUCUCGUAUACUUGCGAAAAAUUGCAUGUGGGGUAUUUAGAAAUUUAUAAAUGUAAAACUUGACUGUGGAUGAGUUAAUUGUUAUAUAUAUCCCGCGCUUGUCAAAUAUAUUUAUACUUUGGUAUAUAUAAUUAUAUCAAAAUAAAUAUAUAAUUUCUAAAUACUAAUACUUAUAUGUCAAAAUAUAUCAAUAUAUAUUAGAAAUAUUAAAUACAGAAAAAAAACAUAUCAGAAGAUUCAGACAAAAGAAUGACGAAAGCCCUAAUCCCUCUGGUUUCUCCCCUGACCCACUGUCACAGCAGCCUCUACGUUUUCAAUCUCUACUCCACCUCCAUGAUUGGCCUCUCCAAUCUCUAAUCUCCAUCUCUACAAAAGCAUAUAAUGAUAGUUUCAAUUAUAAAGCAUGUAUUUUGUAUACUUUACCAGCUUAAUCUCUAUCUAAUUGAUCAGCAUCACUUUUUGGUCUAUUUUCUUCUUUCCUAUGGGUUUUUACAUGACUCAUGAGACAAAUCAAUUUGAUUAUUUCUAUUUGGAUUCAAAUGCUAUAUUUUCACUGUAAACAAAGGGAGUGGACGAAUAUUAGUAGGAGGAAAUUGAGAAGAAGGUUAUGGAGAAUUUCUAACUUUUGAAAAUGUAUUGACUAGUGAUCAUAUUUUAUUACUAUUUUUCAUGUGCUUUGAAUGAAUUAGAUAUAAUUGUUGUUGAAAAAUUCUUGAUUUAUGUAACUUUUAAUGGACUGUUACUAGUUCACAUACAUUUUUAAUAUUGUGGAUAUUAAAUUAAUUUUAUGACUUAAUAACUAUAGUAAUUAUAUUAAGAAAAUUAAGAAGUAAUAAGUGAAUUUUGGCUAAACCUGAAUUAGAUUCAAAAUUCGAAUGUUCUAUGAACCAAGUGUGAUUUUUACAUUUAUUAACUCAAAACUCAUGAUUUGAAACCCAAAAAGUGUUACUAAUUAGAUGAGUUUAAAUCUAGGCUUGUUAAAGUCAGACUCACAUGGUUCAAUUGACAGGUCUAGUUUCAAAACAAUAUUUAGUUGUUUACCUAAGAAUUAGUUGUUUUUACUAAAUUAUUGAUGAUGCAAAUGACUGGUCCCAAGAAAGAGAAGGGACCAUCCUUGCCUGGCGAAACGAUAAAAGAUAUCAUGAGCCUGUUUUUGACAAAGGAGAAGAAGAAGAGAGGAAAGAAAAGAAAAAAAAAAAAGAAAGAGAAAAAAAAAAUUUCCAUUUUAAAAAUUUUUCCUACAACUUUUACAUUAAGUUAUUGUCAAAUUUUAGGCAAAUACCCAAAAAAUUCAUUUGCCAAAUGGGGCAUUGUCUAGCUAGACAAUUCAUUAAGCUACGUUAUGCUCUUGAACUUGUAUCACAUUUUCACCUUGUACACUAAAUUUUAAUUUGAGAUAUUUUAUACUCUAAACUCUCAAUUUAGAUGCUUUACACCCUCAAUUUUUAGUUUCUUCCAUUUAAAUCCAAUCAAUGAAAACAUUAGUAAAAUUAACAAAAUGAAGAUUGGUAUAAAUUAAUGAUAAUGUAUCAUUUUGUUCUACCUGCAAUAUCCUGAUUUCUUUUGGUUACUUUCAACACAUUACCAUUGAUUUGUAUGGUUCUAAUUACUAAUAUUAUUAGUAAAAUUAAUGAGAUAAAAGAUAGUGUAAAUUAAUGACAAUGUAUCGUUUUAUUCUACCUGUGAUACCUUAGCUUUUUUUUACCACUUUCAACAAAUUUUCACUGAUUUGUAGGGCCUUCUAUACAGUUAAUUUUGCUAAUGUUAUCAUUGAUUAAACUUAGAUCUAAUAAACUUGAGAGUGUAGGAUGUAAAGUAUCUAAAAUUGAGAGUUUAGAAUACAAAAUGAAAAAAUGGUACUCGGUUGAAAGUGCAAAGUAUAGCAAGUACUUUAAUGAAACGUUGUCUUGAUGCACUUACUUUUUAACCUGCCUCAUAUAUAUAUAUAUAUAUAUAUAUAUCCCAUGUUUUUGGUAUAGCAAAUUAGCAAGCCAUCUCAUGCAGUAAGCAAUACCCAAAAGAGUGCUUAGUCGUCAGAUUACUUCCAACUUAAUUUUACUUCAUCCGAGAAUUUUUAGUCAUGGCAACAAAACCUGUAAAGCUUCUAGGUUUCUGGGAUAGCCCAUAUGUGGAUCGUGUUCAAUUUGCACUCAACCUCAAGUCCAUUGACCAUGAAUUCAUAGAAGAGAAUAUUCUGAACAAAAGCAAGCUCCUCCUUAGAUCCAAUCCUGUCCAGAAGAAAAUAGCAGUCCUUAUCCAUGGUGAUGAGCCUAUAUGUGAAUCUCUUAACAUUGUACAGUACAUUGAUGAGGUGUGGACAGAUGGUCCUUCUAUUCUUCCUUCUCAUCCCCGUGAUCGUGCUAUGUCCCGUUUUUGGGCUGCUUACAUUGAUGAAAAGGUACCUAAACAACUUCUCUACUCUAUAAUUAUUCCUGCAAUUUCAGUGAUAGGAGCAAGAAACCAAGAGUAAACUUCACUUAAAAUUACCUUCUCUAGGUUUUAAAUGCCAUAACUAAAACGCUUACUUUUCCAGUCAUUGAAAUUUUCGUGUUGAUAGAUUAUAGGGUAAAUUAUUAGUAACUUCCUUGUAGUUUUGGAUAUUGUCAUAUGAUCAUCCCUAACGUUUCAAAGUAUCUACAUAAUUCUCCUAGUGAUUUUAUAUAAAGUGGAAAGAGAACGAAAACACCUCUAGUUACAAUGGUUAACACCAAUGCACUCCAAAACAUGUGUAAUCAAACUAUUACAUCAACCUAAUACUCUAUAAUCCUCAAAGUGGUUAGACCGCCGUUCUGUUCAGAGAUAACACUAGCAUUUCAAUUAAUGACAUUACGGAGGUUGCUUCUCAUCAAAUUUUCGCUUCAUAUAAAGUCACAGGAAUGUUAGUUGAAUAUUUUGAAACGUUAGGAAAAUCAUGUGACAAUAUGUGAAACCAAUUAGAAUGUUAUUUUGCCUUCUUGUCCCCAAUCGAAUGGAAUUACCAGUUAAUUAGAAAUUCAUUUUCAUGCCUCAUCAUCAAAAUAUGUUGACUAAACCGGGUAGAAUAAGAAUGUUGCAGUGGCUUCCUUUGCUUUGGGAAAUAUACGAGGCCAAAGAGAAGGAGACAACCCUGCUAGAAAAAGUACGUGAAGGUCUAGUAUUGUUGGAGGCUGCUUUCGUAAAGUGUAGCAAAGGGAAAGCUUUCUUUGGUGGAGAUAGCAUAGGUUACCUGGAUAUAGCUCUAGGCUGCUGCUUGGGAGGGCUAAAAGGAAUUAGAAAAAUUGGCCUCUGUGAAACUGCUCGAUGAAACCAAGACACCAGCUCUUUUGGGGUGGGCUGAGACUUUCUGCUCAAACGAAGCUGCUAAGAAUGUUGUGCCAGAGCCUGAGAAGUUGAACAAAUGUCUCAAGGAGUUCCAAGCUCAGGCAGCAGCUGCAACCAAGUGAACAAAGAUGCAUAUGUUUCAUUUAUUAGUUUUGUGGCAAAGAAUUCUUGUUUAUCGUUUUUGUUUGUUAAUCCACAGCCAAAAAAAAAAUCCCUCGCUGCUUCUUAAAUUCCAUCCUCCCCUAUUAAUUUUUUUUUUUUUUUGAAAACUGCAGUAAUUUCUAUAAAACAAGUUUUGUGUAUGGGAGUCCUUUUAAUUGUGCAAGAGUGAUAUACUAAUAUGUUUGUUUCCAAAUUUCUUUCCUCAGGAUAACAAAGCCUCUACCUUGUGUGCUUUUCUUCCAUUUUUUCCUGUGACAAACUUCCUAGUGGGAAGCUCUAUUUGGGAUUUUGAUUCGGUCUUAUCAAACCCGUUUUUUAAAAUAGCAAGCAGGGAAAUUUAGAGCUGUUUCUACCUGAGAUGAGGACCACAAAAAAAAAAAAGUCUAGGAUUGUGGGCAUCAAUGGAUCCUAGGAGGAAAACCGUAUGCAUGGGAAACAAAUAAAUGUAAUCAAAUAAAAUGGUGGUUGAGCACACAGGGAACAGAUCAACGUCAGACUACUGGCACUGAAGAAAUGAAAGGCUUUUAAUAUUUUGUUAGACAACUGGCACCGGAGAAAAUAAAAGACUUUUAAUAUGGUAGUAAGACAACUGGCACUGGAGAAAUAAAAGACUUUUGAAAGCGUAAAGGAUUCCUCAAAAAAAGAAAAAAAGCGUAAAGAAUUAUUAGACGCUUACAUAGGAAAAAUUACAAAUGUAGGAUUUAAAUGGUAAAGGUUGUUAAGGUGAUGCAUUUUCAGCAAAGGUCUUGUGUUCGUAAUUUAUGAUUUCAGAGGUAUGUCUUGACUCGUAAUGCAUUCGAAGUCGAACCGCUUAUACUUUUUAUUACCAAAGAAAAAAGAAUAGCCUGGACAAAUUUCUUUCUUUCUUCUUUAAAAAAUUCAUCUUUAUUCAUGCUGGAUUAUAAAUUUCUUCUUUGUUUGUAUCGAGCAAAGAUUUGGGUAUGAAGUACUACUUUGGGUAAACAAUAAAAGUAAUUAAUUUUCAAAACGACUAUGGGUAUUAUAUUACACACUAAUAUGAAAGACUCAUGUUACACGUCCUCGUACAUUGACAUUUGUUCUUUUCAAGAGUUCAAAUUAAUUAGGGGUAUAAUUGUGAUAUUCAAAGAGAAUGGGUUUCAAUACAUCAGAGCGUGUAACCUACAUUAAAUGGAAGAAAAAUAUUCAAUUUAAUUUCCUCUAGUUUGAAAACCUACAUUAUAACUCCCUAUGGUUUUGACUAAAUUGAAAAUUAGACAGAAAGCAUUAAAUCAACGGUUGUGCGUGAAAUGUCAAUAUUGUCUCUACUAUACAUGAGAUGCUUCCAUUCAAUUUUCAAUUUAAUCGAAAUCAUAGGGAGUUAUAGUGUCAUUUUUCAAACUAGAGGGAGUUAAAUUGAAUAUUCAACAAACCAUAGGGAGUUCAUUUAUAUAAGGGCAAUAUUAACAUUUCACGUAUAACCGUUAGAUUGGAUGCUUUCCGUCCAAUUUUUAAUGUAGUUGAAACCACAAGAAGUUAUAGUAUAGGUUUUUAAACUAGAGGGAGUUAAAUUGAACAUUUAGCUAACCACAAGGAGUUUUUUGGUAUUUUACCCUAAUAAUAAUGAUUAGUGAGCUCAAAGAGUUCGUUAUAACAAAAAACUCACCAAUUUGGCAGUGCGCAGUAGCUCUUAUUUGACCAAGAAAAUAAUUAAUCCCUUGGAGGUUUGCUACCUUUGAGCAAUUUCACUUCUGUUCUUUUCAAGAUUCACCAUUUCCUUUGGAAACUAAGCCAAGAAAAAUGGAGAUUAUGAGAAAAAAAAUGAUCCAAUAAAACAUGGGCAGAGAAUUCUCUUUUCUCCUUUGUGAAAUAGCUCUAGGUGGUGAUUAACUAAAAAGUUCUUCUAACCUUUUUGUUUUUGGAUAAUAAAAAGUUUAGGUAGAUUCAGUUUCCCAUCCCAUCAUAGAUCAAAGCAUUGCCCCAGAAAUCAUAAAUCGCUUACACGAGUUCUCAUAUAUCGCUCACCAGCAUAGUGCUCACAUCAGAUUAGUAGUGAGAUUUAAAUACAUGAUCUUUUGUAAGAAAGUAAUCCAUGCUUACAAACUGAACUAACUUGUGUUACCUCCAACCUUUUAAUUAGACUUGGUUUGCUCCAAGUCAACAUAAUGCCUUCCAAAUCAUUCAUGUCCCAACUGCAAGAUGGGGCUCUCAUCUUUCGGUGCACCAAGUCAACAUAAUGCCCUCCAAAUCAUUCAUGCCCCAAAUCCAAGAAGGGGCUCUUAUCUUGGUAGCUUUGAUCAAGAGGAACGUUGCUUCAUCAUAGUUUAUGGGGUCUUUUGUCGGGUUUAAGAUUAUUUUGUGUAUAUUUAUUCAUGACCUCCCAUCCUUAGCCCAAAUAAUGAAGGGCGAAGCAAAGGACAACCACAAACUAUGACAAAAAUGCCUGGAUGAGUAAUGGAACAAAGUAUAUUAAAGAGACAUAUCUCUCUCAAGAUUAUUGUGUAUGGUGUCACAGAUCAAAUCCUCUUUUGGGAUUAUUUAAUGUUCAUGUGAUCAUAAUUUAGUAAUAUUACUAGCUACUCGUUACACACUACUAUUGUUUCGUGGUUGAGAAUUGAUGGUGGAUGUUCCCAAGGAUCAAACUUAAGGACUAUAUUAUCCGCCAUCUCUUAUAUAUAGAAAGCAUUUAGUUGAUAAUUAAGUCAACAACAUAAAGAGCUAGAGGGACAAGGGCAACCCCCAACUAUGACGGGUGAAUUCUUAGUUUAUGAUGGAAAAAAAAAAGAAUUCUACAACGAGGGCGAUUCUUGGAGUGUAUUCUGCAAAUAGGGGUCUUCGCAUUUGGGAAAUGCGAGCUCACUGAGCUCGCAUUCCUCGAAUGCGAGCUCGAAUUGGAGCUCGCAUUCACUGAGAGCCAAGACAAGGAGGAAAUCAUGCAAAUAUUGAAAAUACUUCAUGCAAGAUGGUUCGGCAGCAGGCUCGCGGCACAGCCUUUAUGGUGUCUGAUGUAGUUUCCUUUCAUCCGACUGCAACUAAUGACUUGAACAGUCUAACACUUAGACUAUAGUAAUAAAAAUUCUAAACAUUUUCCAUCUUUUAGCCGCAAAAAUCCUUAUGUUUAAGCACAAAACAAAUUAGAUGAAAGGAUCAUGCGAGCAUCAAAGAACAGUUUUUUCUUCAACAACAAUGCUUCUGCAAAUUUCGAUGCAGAAAAAUCAUGCAAAGCUUCAAACAAAACUAGUGAACCUAUCACCCCAAAUACCCCUUAACACUGAACACUUCAAAUGAAACCAGGGUUAUUGAUUAUAAACACAAAUCUCAGCAGAUCAGAACUUGCGGCCAAACAAAGACAACCAAACAGCAACUGAAGUAGAUAAAGUUUCAAAGCCGCAAGUCUGAACCAGCAAACUAGGAGUUAAACAUUAAAUUAGAGCUCGCAUUUGCGGAAUGCGAGCUCAAUAAGUAGAGCUCGCAUUUCGCGAAUGCGAGCUCUAUUCUAACCUCGCAUUCGUGAAAUGCGAGCUCUACUGAGCUCGCAUUUCACGAAUGCGAAGACCCCCCGGACGGAAUUCAUUACCAAAAUCACCUCUUUUGUAGAAUUUUUUUAAAAUUCAUCACAAAAUUAGAAAUUUCUCCAACUAUGACAAAAAGGGCCCCUAGAUGAGAGAUGAGCAGUCUUACAUUCACAUUCUUGGGCAUCUUUAUCCCAUCAGAAAUAGAAUAAUCAAGAGCUUCUGCUAUUGCUUCUAUACUUCUUUUCUCUUUCUUUUUCAUUCUCUUCAAAAGGUUGCUGGUAUGAUUCAACCAACCUUUAUAUAGAGUAACCCCACCAAGAAAUGUUCAAAACUAAUGCCCUAAAAGUCUCUGUGAAUUAUUCAAAGUUCUCAUGCAGAAAAGUGUAAUGAAAUUUUAAUGAAUCAUAUAAGAGUGGAAUGACAAACGUCCAAGUUCUUGAGGCACUUGAUCCCUACCAAAAUAGUAGGAAAGAAAAGAAAGGAGGUGCAAAGGAAUUGAAAAACUUGCCUAAACUCUAAAAAUAAGAUGGUCUGUUGGAUCAGGUACUUUAAAUUAGCUCAAAACCUAGCCAUGAUUAGCAAAAAUUGAUGGAGGGUUUCUUAACUUAACAAUAAUAUUUACCAAAGAAUUAGUUUUUAUUAGUUAACAAAAGUUUCUUAAUACUAUCCAAAAAUAUCUCCAGCUACAUUUUAUUACUGUUAUUCUUCUUAAGGCUAAAAAAAUUUCUACUCUUCCAAAACGCAACUAUAUAUGAGAUCAAUGUUUCUUAACCAAACGAAAAAAGGGCAUAUAAACUUGACCUUGUGUUAUUGCAAAUCCUAUCUGCAAGUUUUAGUUAGAAUGGUCGAAGCAAAAUAAACUCUUUCCCCUCUUUCUACCCAAAAAUAAUUUUUAAAUAUGGGAAAAGGAGUCUUUGAGUUUGUUUUCUCUCCUCUAAAUUAAUUUCCUAAUACUUCUUUUAUCAUUUCUAUUUUAUUUUUUUUUUACCUUCCUAUCCCUCUCCAUACCUUUCUCACAGUCAACUAGCAGGAUCCUUAUACUUCUUUUACUUAACAAUAAAAAAACAGAGCUCAAGAAAUGACCUAUGUUAUGGCAAAAUGUAUAAAAUGCAAAUCUUUCUUCAAUCAAAAUCCUUUCUAAUUUUAAGUAUAUACAAAUAUAUUGCAGAAAGAAAAGCUAAAAAAGCACUAAAUCAAGGGCGGGUUAGAUUAAAUGAAAAGGCAGGAGGAGUUGUAAAUAAGAGGUCUUGAAUUUAAAUCCUCUCACUUUUAAAAAAAAAAAAGAAGAAGCACUAAUUCAAUGUUUUUACUUUUUCCACAGGCUGAAUCAUGACAAGUUGUUGGGUAAUUAGCUCAAUGAAGGCUGUCCACAUGAAGCAAUAAAUAGAUCCUAAUAAUACCAUACCUAGAAGCUAUGUUUUCAGAACCGGACCGGAUAGCGACUCGGCCGAGGUCAGGGGUCAGGGGUCAAUGGGUUCGACCGGGGGUCGAUAGGGGUCGAACCGGAUGACGUCAUAAAUAAAAAUUAUUUUAAAAUUAAAAUGUUAUAUAUAUAAUAUCUAAUAAUAUAUUGAUAUUAAUAAAGGCAUAUUCAUAUAUAUUUGAUGUUUCAAAUAUAUUUAACAAGAAAAUACAAAGAAAUUAGAACAAUAAAGUAGCAAUUUAUAUUAAUUUAAUAAAUAUUAACAAGUUUAGAAUUAAAAUUAUGAAUUUAAUUGAAAAAUAACAUCAAAUUUUAGGACAAUAUUUAUAAAGUAUCAAAUAUUUGAGCUAUAUCAAUAAGUUUUAACAAUUUAGGGGGUCAAAACAUAAUAUUAAAAAGUUUGAAUUUUUUUAAAAAAAAUUACUGUUGAACCGGAAAAACCGGUUUUUUCCCGGUCAAACCCGGUCAAACCCGGUUUUUGACCGGCUUUGACCGGAUUUUAAAUUUCCGGUUUUCUAAUGUGACUCGGACCGGCUACCUGGCCGGUUAUAGUAUAUUUUGAGAUAUUUUUAGAAAAUAUUUUGGAAUAUUUAAGAGUAGAAGAGUUUUUAGAAUAUUUAUUGGAUAUUUUUUAGACAUUAAAAAAAAUUUUAGAUUACUUUUUAAAGUAUCUUCUAGAGUACUUUUUAAAAAUUUUAAUAAUAUUUAAAAAACUAAUUUUUGAAAAACUCUUGAAUCCAAACAGGAGUCAUUUCAGAGACAUCACGCCUUCUAUUGUAAAAAGCACACAACUCCUACACAGAAGAAAGUGGUCACCUUAUACAAAAUUUUGCUCAACUUAAAAUAUUUGACACUUUCAUUAAUGAACACUAAAAUGGAAGCUUAUCCUAUUUGUACUCACCAUGGAAAUUUCUGCAACAAACAAUCAUCAUGAGGCAUGUCAAAUCCAGUACAAUACCGGUCUGCAACUAAUUUCUCAACAAGAAUUCAUGGGCAAAGAAUGACAAUAAGUCAAGGAUGAAAUAUAACAAGAACAACCAGACUGAAAGUCACUACUCACAUCUUUUGAAAAGUUCCAAGUGUGUACACUUAUUUGUGGAACUGUGUACUCAAAUGCAGGCUAAGAUUUCACGUUUGUACAAGUAUUUGUAGAACUAAUUGUGUAUUCAGUACACCAUAAAAUUCACUUAUCUACAACUAUUUGUCAAAAUAAUUAUAUUCUCCCAUCUAUCAUAUAUGCCUGAAUCCAGAGGCAUCUCAUAAACUAAUAACAUAGUAUCCACAUGCUAUCUCAUACAAACCAAAAUAAGCCAUCAUGAAAAGCUAAAAAUGUAUGAAUAAAUCAGGAGAGAGUCAUAUAUGCAAUAGUAGGUAUUAGCCCCAUAAUGUGAAUGUAAUCCAUGUCAUAUCAUCUGCAAUAUGCUUCAAGUAACUUGCCUGAACUAAGAUUGUAUUACAGUGCUUGUUUUCUCAUGUAUUUAGCAAGUUCUUGAUGUCUCAAUGGUUCCUACCAUAAAAUCCAUGAUAGCACACUUCAACAUAUUAUCAGUACAGAAACACAAUUUGAACACUUUAUUAUACUUGAAGACAAAGUGGAAAAUUAACAGUUGAAUUAGAUGUUUUAUUUGCCAGUAUGAGCUCAAAUUGAACAUGCUGUCCUUGUUUGAUCCGCUUAUGAAAAGAACUUUCUAAAAUAUUUCCAGGAUCAAAACUUAAAGUCAAGAUACAACAAAUACAAAGUGUUCAUGGUGUAUUUCUGAACAAAAAGUGAUUCGUUACUGUAUGUUCAUUUUGGAAUGCAAACAGGAGAGAAUAAAUUAUGUACACCUAUUGAUCAAGCGGAAUCCACUCUAGUUCUAGUUCUAUUUCCCCAGAUUCUACAUUCUGCAGCUUGAGUGAUACAGCUUGUUUCACCUUUCCGUCAAUUAUGUUUACAGUGCUAUCUUCUAUCAGAGCAUUGUCAUUUGAUUUCAGCCAUUUCCCAAUCUGCAUGUUUUGAAACAUCCCAGCAUCUCAAAUGCCAUUGCAGAGGUUAUCAUUGGCUGGAUAUCAAUUUCAGCUUCCCCCAUUAUGUCAUCAGCAGAAAAUGUAUCAUGAUCAUACACUUGCUGCAGUCACAAAGCAGAAAAAAAAUGUAAGUAAAAAAUAAUGGAAUGAACAAAUGACAAGAUAAAGCGAAAAACCCUUGCUGGAAGAAUUAAGACACCAGAGACCAAUUCCUUAUCACAACUUUCCUAUUUUUAUUCGAUUUAAUGACCCUAUUUAAACACAGUUUUUCGCUGCUCACUCAUCCUUUAACACAACCACACUAAUUUCAUUAUUUUUCACUUUUGACCUGGAUAAACAAUUGAAGUUAUUCUUACCGCUUAAAUGGAAAUUAUAAAAACUAACACUCAGAUGUCAUCAGCAAAUGUAAUAAGGCUUCUUUGCACAAGUUGUAUGGGAAGUGUCAUAAAGAUAAAGCAACUAAUGGCAGAAAAGUUUAUUUACAUACAAAUGGCAGAGAAAUUUAUUUACACACUUAGAACAUCAGCUUAAGAGCGGGAAUACAUACUAUUUUUAAAGAAUAAGCACGUGGAAGUAUAAAAAUGUACAUCAUCUGCCUGUUCACAUACAUUCCACCUCAUCGAACAAUAAUAACAAUAGACAUAAUGGCGGCAAAACAUGGGCAACAAGUAUGGUCUAGUGGCACAUGGACUUUGAGAAGGAAUUAUAACUCCAUUGUCAACAAAUUCUGCCUGAUAUGCAUCCCUUUCUAUCAAACUCCAGAACAAAUGUCCCACUUUCAGAAUGAACUGAAUUGGAAACAACUUCAAUGUACAUGUACAAUGAUUCAUGAGUUUGAGAGAAUAAGAGCAUUGAAAAAACAAUCAUGUGACGCACGCAUGACUAGUAACUUGAAGAACAAUGACAGACAGCUUGAAGGAAAUUAAGCCACCUUACUACAGACCUUUCCCAGAAAUAUAAGCAGCACAAAACAGCAAGAAACAAAAGUAAAUAAAGUAAUUUAUGAUAUUUGAAAUAUAUAUGGAGUUGAAAGAAGAUUUAUAGGAAUUUUGUAAAUAAAGUAAAUUUAUGAUAUUUGUAUACCAUUUGAAGCUGUACAGUAGAAAAAAGGUAUAACAAUGAGGGAGGGAGGGAGCGGGAGAGAGAGAGAGAGAGGCAAGCAUAAGUAUUACCAUCUUUACAGCUCCAUAAUUUUGAGGAACAGAAAGCAUGAGUUCCUCAUUCCAAACUGGAUUCAAGUUGCUCUUUACAACAGCUGUUUGAGCCUUCUAUUAACCAAAAGACAAAAUUGAAACGGUAAAAGAAUACCCUUAAGAUCUGAGGUGAUAAGUGCAUUAUCAAUCACAGAAAACAUUGGGAGGAAAAGAAAAAAAGAAAAAAGCAUUUAGCAUCUGACUUUUUCAGAAAUCGAACAUACACUGUAUUCUAAAUGAAAAUAUAGUAAAGAACCAUCGCUUUUAUUUCCUUCCAAAAAUAUAUGUAUACAAGUAAGAAAUUGGCACCAUCAUAUUCAUCAAGUAGCAAGGAAUAAACAAGAUUGUCUGAUCCAGACAAGUUGCAACAUUAAGUACAACACAUUCUGUGAUAUCAUAAUGAAAUGGGAUAAACUACUGCAUGAUCAUACAUUGAAUAGUCUGGAAACACUCACAAGCUUUAACAUGAUAUUCUUCAGUCACAAAAAUCCAAAAGGAACAGAGAGCAACCAACCUGUUGUCCAAGAGUCAGGACAACAUAUGGAUCACUNNNNNNNNNNNNNNNNNNNNNNNNNNNNNNNNNNNNNNNNNNNNNNNNNNNNNNNNNNNNNNNNNNNNNNNNNNNNNNNNNNNNNNNNNNNNNNNNNNNNNNNNNNNNNNNNNNNNNNNNNNNNNNNNNNNNNNNNNNNNNNNNNNNNNNNNNNNNNNNNNNNNNNNNNNNNNNNNNNNNNNNNNNNNNNNNNNNNNNNNNNNNNNNNNNNNNNNNNNNNNNNNNNNNNNNNNNNNNNNNNNNNNNNNNNNNNNNNNNNNNNNNNNNNNNNNNNNNNNNNNNNNNNNNNNNNNNNNNNNNNNNNNNNNNNNNNNNNNNNNNNNNNNNNNNNNNNNNNNNNNNNNNNNNNNNNNNNNNNNNNNNNNNNNNNNNNNNNNNNNNNNNNNNNNNNNNNNNNNNNNNNNNNNNNNNNNNNNNNNNNNNNNNNNNNNNNNNNNNNNNNNNNNNNNNNNNNNNNNNNNNNNNNNNNNNNNNNNNNNNNNNNNNNNNNNNNNNNNNNNNNNNNNNNNNNNNNNNNNNNNNNNNNNNNNNNNNNNNNNNNNNNNNNNNNNNNNNNNNNNNNNNNNNNNNNNNNNNNNNNNNNNNNNNNNNNNNNNNNNNNNNNNNNNNNNNNNNNNNNNNNNNNNNNNNNNNNNNNNNNNNNNNNNNNNNNNNNNNNNNNNNNNNNNNNNNNNNNNNNNNNNNNNNNNNNNNNNNNNNNNNNNNNNNNNNNNNNNNNNNNNNNNNNNNNNNNNNNNNNNNNNNNNNNNNNNNNNNNNNNNNNNNNNNNNNNNNNNNNNNNNNNNNNNNNNNNNNNNNNNNNNNNNNNNNNNNNNNNNNNNNNNNNNNNNNNNNNNNNNNNNNNNNNNNNNNNNNNNNNNNNNNNNNNNNNNNNNNNNNNNNNNNNNNNNNNNNNNNNNNNNNNNNNNNNNNNNNNNNNNNNNNNNNNNNNNNNNNNNNNNNNNNNNNNNNNNNNNNNNNNNNNNNNNNNNNNNNNNNNNNNNNNNNNNNNNNNNNNNNNUUCAUGUGGUUCUUUAUACAGCAGAAAGAGCUUGGAGCCAUGCUAUGGAAAAGAAAACGCUGCCAGAUGGUCCAAAUGCACGUCAGCGUGGCUAUCUGAUUGGUAGGCUGCGAAAAGCAGUCAAAUGGGCUACUUUGUUUCAAGACUUGUGUUCCAUUAAGGGAGAUUCUAGGACAUCUUUGGAAGCAGAGGUGUGCUGAUUAAUUCAUCAUUUUGCACUGCUGCUGUCCCUGUAUACAAAUAAAGCUAUUUUCGGUCAAAAUACAAUAAGAAUAUGCAAAUUAAGGUUCUAUUGGUAAAUAUUAGUUAUAAUCAUACAAAAAGAGAAGAUAGCCCACAAGUUGGGCCCAAUUACAUACAUGUGUUUAUACUAUUAUUAUUAAGCAAAAUCAAAUAUAUAUAUAUAUAUGUGUGUGUGUGUGUUUAAAAAAUGUAUUCACACACAUAAUUAGUGAGAAAUGAAAAAUUCAUUUUUUGAAAUGUGAGGGAUGGAGAAAUUCAUUUUGUGUAAUGUGAGGGAUGAAAAAAAUCAUUUUAUAAAAUAUGAGGGACGAAAAAAUUUAUUUUAUAAAAUGUGGAGGACUAUAGAUGAGAUUAUGUAAAAUAUAAUUUGACAAAUUUACCCUUAAAAAAUGAUCAUGUGCCUUGCACAUGAUGGAUUCCGGCCAAAAAAUGAUCGAAAACCUAGUUAGGGACUAAAUUUGUCCGAUGUGAAUAUGUAAGGGAUAUAAAAUUACACUUUUAAAAGUGAGGGACGAAAAAAGUUAUUUUACAAAAUGUAAGGGACGUUUUGGACGAUUUUCCCUAAAUAAAAUGAAGAAACUAGUUGUGGAUACUAAAUUCAUAUAAAUGAUGGACGAAAUUAGUAAGCUAUGAUAAAUUUAACAAUGACCCCUAGGCUUUAAGUCUGUUGUCCACGUACCCAUAAACAAUUUGAAUUACACAUUAGACUCCAGUACUUGUCAUAAUCCAUUAAACAGUAGACAACGCAGAGGAGACUAGGAUUUUUAUGUCGAGACCAAACAGGCUUCAUUUACGUUCACUCAGCGACUAAACCAGAAAACCCCGCCGCCGGCAGUGUGCCACAAGCCAGGGGCAUUUUGGACAUCUUCAGAAUCUUUCAAGCCACCUACAUUCAAGCUGUCGGGCUAAUUCCGAUAAAGACGACGCCAAAUUUAAGAUCUGACGGAGAUUUCACAUUAACGAUAUGGCCAAAGAGAACAACUCCUCCGCUAUGGAUGUGGACAACCAGAAUUCGGAAUCCGUUGAUCAGAUUAAUAGCCCUAGGUUCUCUAUCAAUGGUAAUUUACUCUCCCAUAAAGCUCUAGACAGCUAAUUUUGAGGUGAUAAUUUAGUUUUUUUUUUUUGGUGAAUUUACAGUUUUGCAGCUCUUGAAAUCCGCUCAGAUGCAGCAUGGAUUGCGGUUUGGCGAUUACGCUCGUUACCGGUAUAACCUACGCUUGUACACUUAUGGUAUAUGUUUAUGAGUAAUUUGGUACGAUGAAGUUCCGGGAAGUAGGUUUAAUUUUUGUAAGAAAUGCCGUUUGAUAUUGUUUUUACCAGUAUAUAAGCGUAAGUGUGCUCUAUAUAGGUUUAUGAGGGAAUUUAUGACAUUGAUCAUUAGAGGUGGCAGGGUUAAAUUUGUGAAAAAUGUGGUGUGAUAGAGUUGUACUAUUGAGGGAAUGUGAAAUUGACCAGUUUUUGCAAAUUUUUUAGGAGGUACUGUACUGCUCGGCUCAGGAGAUUGUACAAGUCGUUGAAAUUCACGCAUGGCCGUGGUAAAUAUAGUAAAAGGGCGAUUACAGCUUCUAUGGUCACUGAAGUGAGGUAAUAGAUUGCCAAGACCAAUGGUUGAAUUUGAUUGACAUUACAGUUGGUAAAUGUUUUAAUUUCGCUUUUGCUAUUUGAAGAACAAAUAUGCUGUUUUGUCUCUCAUUAAUAAUUUCUUAAUGGUCGUUAAUCUAUCCUGAUUCUGCGUGGUGGUUGGGACACUGUAGGUAUCUUCAUGUGGUUCUUUAUACAGCAGAAAGAGCUUGGAGCCAUGCUAUGGAAAAGAAAACGCUGCCAGAUGGUCCAAAUGCACGUCAGCGUGGCUAUCUGAUUGGUAGGCUGCGAAAAGCAGUCAAAUGGGCUACUUUGUUUCAAGACUUGUGUUCCAUUAAGGGAGAUUCUAGGACAUCUUUGGAAGCAGAGGUGUGCUGAUUAAUUCAUCAUUUUGCACUGCUGCUGUGCCCUGUAUACAAAUAAAGCUAUUUUCGGUCAAAAUACAAUAAGAAUAUGCAAAUUAAGGUUCUAUUGGUAAAUAUUAGUUAUAAUCAUACAAAAAGAGAAGAUAGCCCACAAGUUGGGCCCAAUUACAUACAUGUGUUUAUACUAUUAUUAUUAAGCAAAAUCAAAUAUAUAUAUAUAUAUGUGUGUGUGUGUGUGUUUAAAAAAAUGUAUUCACACACAUAAUUAGUGAGAAAUGAAAAAUUCAUUUUUUGAAAUGUGAGGGAUGGAGAAAUUCAUUUUGUGUAAUGUGAGGGAUGAAAAAAAUCAUUUUAUAAAAUAUGAGGGACGAAAAAAUUUAUUUUAUAAAAUGUGGAGGACUAUAGAUGAGAUUAUGUAAAAUAUAAUUUGACAAAUUUACCCUUAAAAAAUGAUCAUGUGCCUUGCACAUGAUGGAUUCCGGCCAAAAAAUGAUCGAAAACCUAGUUAGGGACUAAAUUUGUCCGAUGUGAAUAUGUAAGGGAUAUAAAAUUACACUUUUAAAAGUGAGGGACGAAAAAAGUUAUUUUACAAAAUGUAAGGGACGUUUUGGACGAUUUUCCCUAAAUAAAAUGAAGAAACUAGUUGUGGAUACUAAAUUCAUAUAAAUGAUGGACGAAAUUAGUAAGCUAUGAUAAAUUUAACAAUGACCCCUAGGCUUUAAGUCUGUUGUCCACGUACCCAUAAACAAUUUGAAUUACACAUUAGACUCCAGUACUUGUCAUAAUCCAUUAAACAGUAGACAACGCAGAGGAGACUAGGAUUUUUAUGUCGAGACCAAACAGGCUUCAUUUACGUUCACUCAGCGACUAAACCAGAAAACCCCGCCGCCGGCAGUGUGCCACAAGCCAGGGGCAUUUUGGACAUCUUCAGAAUCUUUCAAGCCACCUACAUUCAAGCUGUCGGGCUAAUUCCGAUAAAGACGACGCCAAAUUUAAGAUCUGACGGAGAUUUCACAUUAACGAUAUGGCCAAAGAGAACAACUCCUCCGCUAUGGAUGUGGACAACCAGAAUUCGGAAUCCGUUGAUCAGAUUAAUAGCCCUAGGUUCUCUAUCAAUGGUAAUUUACUCUCCCAUAAAGCUCUAGACAGCUAAUUUUGAGGUGAUAAUUUAGUUUUUUUUUUUGGUGAAUUUACAGUUUUGCAGCUCUUGAAAUCCGCUCAGAUGCAGCAUGGAUUGCGGUUUGGCGAUUACGCUCGUUACCGGUAUAACCUACGCUUGUACACUUAUGGUAUAUGUUUAUGAGUAAUUUGGUACGAUGAAGUUCCGGGAAGUAGGUUUAAUUUUUGUAAGAAAUGCCGUUUGAUAUUGUUUUUACCAGUAUAUAAGCGUAAGUGUGCUCUAUAUAGGUUUAUGAGGGAAUUUAUGACAUUGAUCAUUAGAGGUGGCAGGGUUAAAUUUGUGAAAAAUGUGGUGUGAUAGAGUUGUACUAUUGAGGGAAUGUGAAAUUGACCAGUUUUUGCAAAUUUUUUAGGAGGUACUGUACUGCUCGGCUCAGGAGAUUGUACAAGUCGUUGAAAUUCACGCAUGGCCGUGGUAAAUAUAGUAAAAGGGCGAUUACAGCUUCUAUGGUCACUGAAGUGAGGUAAUAGAUUGCCAAGACCAAUGGUUGAAUUUGAUUGACAUUACAGUUGGUAAAUGUUUUAAUUUCGCUUUUGCUAUUUGAAGAACAAAUAUGCUGUUUUGUCUCUCAUUAAUAAUUUCUUAAUGGUCGUUAAUCUAUCCUGAUUCUGCGUGGUGGUUGGGGACACUGUAGGUAUCUUCAUGUGGUUCUUUAUACAGCAGAAAGAGCUUGGAGCCAUGCUAUGGAAAAGAAAACGCUGCCAGAUGGUCCAAAUGCACGUCAGCGUGGCUAUCUGAUUGGUAGGCUGCGAAAAGCAGUCAAAUGGGCUACUUUGUUUCAAGACUUGUGUUCCAUUAAGGGAGAUUCUAGGACAUCUUUGGAAGCAGAGGUGUGCUGAUUAAUUCAUCAUUUUGCACUGCUGCUGUCCCUGUAUACAAAUAAAGCUAUUUUCGGUCAAAAUACAAUAAGAAUAUGCAAAUUAAGGUUCUAUUGGUAAAUAUUAGUUAUAAUCAUACAAAAAGAGAAGAUAGCCCACAAGUUGGGCCCAAUUACAUACAUGUGUUUAUACUAUUAUUAUUAAGCAAAAUCAAAUAGAUAUAUAUGUGUGUGUGUGUGUGUGUUUAAAAAAAUGUAUUCACACACAUAAUUAGUGAGAAAUGAAAAAUUCAUUUUUUGAAAUGUGAGGGAUGGAGAAAUUCAUUUUGUGUAAUGUGAGGGAUGAAAAAAAUCAUUUUAUAAAAUAUGAGGGACGAAAAAAUUUAUUUUAUAAAAUGUGGAGGACUAUAGAUGAGAUUAUGUAAAAUAUAAUUUGACAAAUUUACCCUUAAAAAAUGAUCAUGUGCCUUGCACAUGAUGGAUUCCGGCCAAAAAAUGAUCGAAAACCUAGUUAGGGACUAAAUUUGUCCGAUGUGAAUAUGUAAGGGAUAUAAAAUUACACUUUUAAAAGUGAGGGACGAAAAAAGUUAUUUUACAAAAUGUAAGGGACGUUUUGGACGAUUUUCCCUAAAUAAAAUGAAGAAACUAGUUGUGGAUACUAAAUUCAUAUAAAUGAUGGACGAAAUUAGUAAGCUAUGAUAAAUUUAACAAUGACCCCUAGGCUUUAAGUCUGUUGUCCACGUACCCAUAAACAAUUUGAAUUACACAUUAGACUCCAGUACUUGUCAUAAUCCAUUAAACAGUAGACAACGCAGAGGAGACUAGGAUUUUUAUGUCGAGACCAAACAGGCUUCAUUUACGUUCACUCAGCGACUAAACCAGAAAACCCGCCGCCGCAGGUGUGCCACAAGCCAGGGGCAUUUUGGACAUCUUCAGAAUCUUUCAAGCCACCUACAUUCAAGCUGUCGGGCUAAUUCCGAUAAAGACGACGCCAAAUUUAAGAUCUGACGGAGAUUUCACAUUAACGAUAUGGCCAAAGAGAACAACUCCUCCGCUAUGGAUGUGGACAACCAGAAUUCGGAAUCCGUUGAUCAGAUUAAUAGCCCUAGGUUCUCUAUCAAUGGUAAUUUACUCUCCCAUAAAGCUCUAGACAGCUAAUUUUGAGGUGAUAAUUUAGUUUUUUUUUUUGGUGAAUUUACAGUUUUGCAGCUCUUGAAAUCCGCUCAGAUGCAGCAUGGAUUGCGGUUUGGCGAUUACGCUCGUUACCGGUAUAACCUACGCUUGUACACUUAUGGUAUAUGUUUAUGAGUAAUUUGGUACGAUGAAGUUCCGGGAAGUAGGUUUAAUUUUUGUAAGAAAUGCCGUUUGAUAUUUUUUUACCAGUAUAUAAGCGUAAGUGUGCUCUAUAUAGGUUUAUGAGGGAAUUUAUGACAUUGAUCAUUAGAGGUGGCAGGGUUAAAUUUGUGAAAAAUGUGGUGUGAUAGAGUUGUACUAUUGAGGGAAUGUGAAAUUGACCAGUUUUUGCAAAUUUUUUAGGAGGUACUGUACUGCUCGGCUCAGGAGAUUGUACAAGUCGUUGAAAUUCACGCAUGGCCGUGGUAAAUAUAGUAAAAGGGCGAUUACAGCUUCUAUGGUCACUGAAGUGAGGUAAUAGAUUGCCAAGACCAAUGGUUGAAUUUGAUUGACAUUACAGUUGGUAAAUGUUUUAAUUUCGCUUUUGCUAUUUGAAGAACAAAUAUGCUGUUUUGUCUCUCAUUAAUAAUUUCUUAAUGGUCGUUAAUCUAUCCUGAUUCUGCGUGGUGGUUGGGGACACUGUAGGUAUCUUCAUGUGGUUCUUUAUACAGCAGAAAGAGCUUGGAGCCAUGCUAUGGAAAAGAAAACGCUGCCAGAUGGUCCAAAUGCACGUCAGCGUGGCUAUCUGAUUGGUAGGCUGCGAAAAGCAGUCAAAUGGGCUACUUUGUUUCAAGACUUGUGUUCCAUUAAGGGAGAUUCUAGGACAUCUUUGGAAGCAGAGGUGUGCUGAUUAAUUCAUCAUUUUGCACUGCUGUGCCCUGUAUACAAAUAAAGCUAUUUUCGGUCAAAAUACAAUAAGAAUAUGCAAAUUAAGGUUCUAUUGGUAAAUAUUAGUUAUAAUCAUACAAAAAGAGAAGAUAGCCCACAAGUUGGGCCCAAUUACAUACAUGUGUUUAUACUAUUAUUAUUAAGCAAAAUCAAAUAUAUAUAUAUAUAUAUAUAUAUGUGUGUGUGUGUGUUUAAAAAAAUGUAUUCACACACAUAAUUAGUGAGAAAUGAAAAAUUCAUUUUUUGAAAUGUGAGGGAUGGAGAAAUUCAUUUUGUGUAAUGUGAGGGAUGAAAAAAAUCAUUUUAUAAAAUAUGAGGGACGAAAAAAUUUAUUUUAUAAAAUGUGGAGGACUAUAGAUGAGAUUAUGUAAAAUAUAAUUUGACAAAUUUACCCUUAAAAAAUGAUCAUGUGCCUUGCACAUGAUGGAUUCCGGCCAAAAAAUGAUCGAAAACCUAGUUAGGGACUAAAUUUGUCCGAUGUGAAUAUGUAAGGGAUAUAAAAUUACACUUUUAAAAGUGAGGGACGAAAAAAGUUAUUUUACAAAAUGUAAGGGACGUUUUGGACGAUUUUCCCUAAAUAAAAUGAAGAAACUAGUUGUGGAUACUAAAUUCAUAUAAAUGAUGGACGAAAUUAGUAAGCUAUGAUAAAUUUAACAAUGACCCCUAGGCUUUAAGUCUGUUGUCCACGUACCCAUAAACAAUUUGAAUUACACAUUAGACUCCAGUACUUGUCAUAAUCCAUUAAACAGUAGACAACGCAGAGGAGACUAGGAUUUUUAUGUCGAGACCAAACAGGCUUCAUUUACGUUCACUCAGCGACUAAACCAGAAAACCCCGCG
rnacentral:lncRNA from 1 species